rnacentral:lncRNA from 1 species
CAACAAUUAUGUUGUCAACGGUUGUGGCAGAUCCCCGAGCAGUCGCGGUGCCAGGCCAUCCACAAUGUCGUCCAUGCUAUUAUUCUGCAACAACAACAACAACAACAACAACAACAACAACAACAACAACAACAACAACAACAACAACAACAACCGUCGAGCCAGAUCUCCCUCCAGCAGCCUCAACAACAGUAUCCAUCAGGCCAGGGCUCCUUCCAGCCAUCUCAGCAAAACCCACAGGCCCAGGGCUCUGUCCAGCCUCAACAACUGCCCCAGUUCGAGGAAAUAAAGAACCUAGCGCUGCAGACGCUACCGGCAAUGUGCAAUUUCUACAUCCCUCCAUAUUGCUCGACCACCAUUGCGCCAUUUGGCAUCUUCGGUACUAACUGAGAAGAUAAGAACUCUAGUACUAGAUAUAUAUGAAACACCGUUUCCUUAGUCCAUGGUUUGGUCGUUGUAGCGGUGAAAAAAUAAAGUGGCAUGCACUAUCAUGUAAGAACCCAAACUAUACUAGUUCAAACUUGGGAAUAAAAGACAAACACAUGUCUUGUCUGCAUAUGAUUGUUUGUUUGAGUUCCAUUCAUGUGCCCGUUCACAAGUUCACCCCUAAUUAUAUAUAUUACACAUUAAGUAGAUAUUUAUGUUUCAUUAAUCUAAAGAAAACAAAAUGAGUCUGAAACUUGAAUUAAAUUGAAGUAUUUUCUUGGACUUUCAAAUUAAGUAUUAUUAAAGUAGUAAGGACUAUCCAUAUCCUUGGCUUGCCCUUGAUCAAUUAUUUCCAAGGAAGCAUUCAAUUCAUCAAUCAAUUACAUUGAUUUUUGUGCCUGGUACUUCUCCUCAUCAUGAGUAUCAUUGCGGCUACUCCAAAUCGCCCACAUAACCGAAGCAUUAAUAGCACUCUUCUUGCAUCAAGGAACUAUGGGUUGAAGAUAUCACUUGACCAUGUUUCCGGGUGCAACCUUGGGAGUUUUAUAUCAAAAUAUUCUUAAGAAGAAUCCAAGAAUAAACUUGCAUGCUCACGUGUGAUAAGGGCUUAUGAAGUAACAUUACCUCCCCAUGGCCACACAUAUGGCGCACACAUAACCCCAUCACAUGCCUUUUUAGUUAUGCAUAUGAAAGGUAGGAUGUUUUUAGUUACUCCACCAAUAUACUCUUAACUUUGCUUGUACCAUAAGCUUUCGCUGCCUUUUCAAUUUCCUUCCCCAUUAGACAAACUAGACAGUCCAUCUACCACACCAUACCUUGUGUCUGUACAACAAUUGAACAGAACAAAUGUCAUUUCUUUACGAUACCCAUGACGAAAUGUCCUCUACUGGAUUAUUUGGUCCUGGCAUAUUAAGGAUGGCCACCUCAUCUGAUGGGAUAAACACCUAAUGAAUGAAAGCAGUGUUCCACUCGCCCAUGUUUUUCAUCGAUAAGAUCAGCUACAAGUUGCACCGAAGUUUCUCAAGUGCAUCAUAGUGGUUUCAUCAGCGGCGUGCCCUGCACCCAUUUAUCAUGCCAUAUCUCAGUAGUAUGUGCAUUCCCAAUUUUUUACCGCACAUUAGUAGAAAACAGGGCUUUGGUCCAUGCUGGGUUAGCCCAUUAGUCCUGGUUCAGUCAUGAACCAGGACUAAUGUGAGCAUUGGUCCCGGUUCAUGCGGUAAAGGCAUUAGUCCCGGUUCAAAUGGGACCUUUAGUCCCAGUUGGUGCCACGAACCGGUACUAAUGGUUGCGAUGCCCAUUAGUACCGGUUCGUGGCACGAAUCGGUACUAAUGGUUGAUCUUUAGUACCGGUUCGUGCCACGAACCGGUACUAAUGGGGUUUGAGGCAUUAGUACCGGUUCGUGGCACGAACCGGUACUAAAGGUCCCAUUUUCAAACUGUACCCCCCCUGUGGAUCGCCUUUUCAGUUUUGUAAAAAGCAAAAGAAAAUGAUAAAAACUUCCAAAAUUAAAAUCCUUCAAGAUGUAGUUAUGUUACUACAUCUACUAGUUAGGAAAAUUUAAAAACUUAAAUUUGGACAUGUUUUGCAAAAAGUGUAGGGAAAAUGUAAAGCUAUAACUUUUGCAUACUAUGUCAGAAAAAAAACGUAUAGUAUAUCAAAAUUUUCAGCACAAAAAUCCGCAUCCGAUUUUGUCAUCCUACGGCCUGUUUGCAAAUUUUUAGAAUCCUCAAAUUCUAAAAGAAAAAAAAGUUAUGCUCAAAUUUCAGUUUUUUUUAAUUUUUUUUUUAAUUUUUGGUAAAUCUGGUCAAACUACUUAUUCAAGAAGUAUUAGUGUUACUAAAUAAUUAUUCAAGAAUAUUAGUAUUACUAAAUAAUUAUUUCAGUUUUUUUUGAAUUUUGGUCAAAUUUGGUCAAAUUGUGGUCAAACUGUGGUCAAACAAUGGUCAAACUACUUAUUCAAGAAAUAUUAGUGUUACUAAAUAAUUAUUUCAGUGUUUUUGAAUUUUGGUCAAAUCUGGUCAAAUUGUGGUCAAACUGUGGUCAAACUGUGGUCAAACUAUGGUCAAACUACUUAUUCAAGAAAUAUUAGUGUUACUAAAUAAUUGUUGUUUUUUAGAACAAUAAUUUCAAACUCAAACAGUGAAAUGUGUGACUUCAUGCUCAAGCUUCCUGAGGGUUAAUAGGACUGACAUCUUACUAUUGUCGGGAAAACAACAAGUGCAGACUUGGAAACGAGGGAGAAUAGAACCCGGAAGUUAAGCGUGCUCAGGCUGGGGUAGUGAGAUGGGUGACCGUCCGGGAAGUUAGAUGAUUUGGAAUGAUGAGGGGUGAUUAGAGAUUAGAAGUUAAAUUGAGCAGUGAUGAGGGUGAUUAGAGAUUAGAGGUUAAAAUAAUUCAGAAAUUUGAAAAUAAAAAAAAAUUAAAAAAAUAAAAAAGAAAAUUUUCUGAAAAAUCAUAAAAUUUCUUUAGUACCGGUUGGUGUUACCAACCGGGACUAAAGGUGGACCUCCAGGCAGCGGCGAUGGGUGACCGUCCGGGAAGUUAGAUGAUUUGGAAUGAUGAGGGGUGAUUAGAGAUUAAAGGUUAAAUUGAGCAGUGAUGAGGGUGAUUAGAGAUUAGAGGUUAAAAUAAUUCAGAAAUUUGAAAAUAAAAAAAAUUUAAAAAAAAUAAAAAAGAAAAUUUUCAAAAAAAUCAUAAAAUUUCUUUAGUACCGGUUGGUGUUACCAACCGGGACUAAAGGUGGAGCUCCAGGCAGCGGCCACGUGGACGGCCUUUAGUCCCGGUUCGUGUAAGAACCGGGACUAAAGGGGGAGGCUUUAGUAACGACCCUUUAGUCCCGGUUCCAGAACCGGGACUAAAGACCCUUAUGAACCGGGACAAUAGGCCUUAUUUGUACUAGUGGCAUACCCUCCUUCAAACCUUCUUGGCCUUUCAGAAUAGAACGCCAAGUUAGCGAUGCACUAUGCGGGAACCCGCAUUUGAAAAAAAGAAUCUCAUUUCAUGGUAUCUUCAUAAAAGGACCCUCGUACAUGAGCUAUCUAGAUAGAAAUAGCCAUGUAUGUUUAGCAAACUUUGCAUAAGUGAAUAGAUCAAGGUCGUGGAACCCCAAGCCACCAAUUACACCCGGCCUCUCCACCAACAAGAUGGCCAAAGACAUCAAGGAUACAUAGAGCCAAAAAACAAAAUAAAAAACAGAAGAAAAAAAAUACUCCGCCAUGGUGAUUAAUCACUAGCAUCAGCAGCACUCUAACCACCACCGAAGACAACGCCCCCAAGAAGGGAACAAUGCACAAGCGUUGUCGUUGCCCUAUCGAAGAUCGUGGGUUUUCACCCUGGAAAAAUUUCGAGUUCACCCAAAAACAAUGCCUUCAACAAGGCCAUUGCCAAUUAUAAACAAUAAGUGCCUGAUGACCCACAAGUAUAGGGGAUCUAUUGUAGUCCUUUCGAUAAGUAAGAGUGCCGAACCCAACGAGGAGCAGAAGGAAAUGAUAAGCGGUUUUCAGCAAGGUAUUCUCUGCAACUACUGAAAUAAGUGGUAACAGAUAGUUUUGUGAUAAGAUAAAUGGUAACGAGCAACAAGUAACAAAAGUAAAUAAAGUGCAGCAAGGUGGCCCAAUCCUUUUGUAGCAAAGGACAAGCCUGGACAAACUCUUAUAAUAGGAAAAGCGCUCCCGAGGACACAUGGGAAUAUUGUCAAGCUAGUUUUCAUCACGCUCAUAUGAUUCGCGUUCGGUACUUUGAUAAUUUGAUAUGUGGGUGGACCGGUGCUUGGGUGCUGUUCUUACUUGAACAAGCAUCCCACUUAUGAUUAACCUCUAUUGCAAGCAUCUGCAACUACAACAAAAGUAUUAAGGUAAACCUAACCAUAGCAUGAAACAUAUGGAUCCAAAUCAGCCCCUUACGAAGCAACGCAUAAACUAGGGUUUAAGCUUCUGUCACUCUAGCAACCCAUCAUCUACUUAUUACUUCCCAAUGCCUUCCUCUAGGCCCAAAUAAUGGUGAAGUGUUAUGUAGUCGACGUUCACAUAACACCACUAGAGGUUAGACAAUAUACAUCUUAUCAAAAUAUCGAACGAAUACCAAAUUCACAUGACUACUAAUAGCAAGACUUCUCCCUUGUCCUCAGGAACAAACGUAACUACUCACAAAGCAUAUUCAUGUUCAUAAUCAGAGGGGUAAUAAUGUGCAUAUAGGAUCUGAACAUAUGAUCUUCCACCAAAUAAACCAACUAGCAUCAACUACAAAGAGUAAUCAACACUACUAGCAACCUACUAGCACCAAUCCCGGACUUGGAGACAAGAAUUGGAUACAAGAGAUGAACUAGGGUUUGGAGAUGAGAUAGUGCUGGUGAAGAUGUUGAUGGAUAUUUCCCUCUCCCGAUGAGAGGAGCGCUGGUGAUGACGAUGGUGAUGAUUUCCCCCUCCCGGAGGGAAUUGUCCCCGGCAGAACAGCUCUGCCGGAGCCCUAGAUUGGUUCCGCCAAGGUUCCGCCUCGUGGCGGCGGAGUCUCGUCCCAAAAGGUUCUCUUCUAUUUUUUUCUCAUCGAAAGAAUUCAUAUGGGAGAAGAUGGGCGUCGGAGAGCCACCAAGGGGCCCACGAGGUAGGGGGGCGCGCCCGGGGGGGCGCCCCCCACCCUCGUGAGCAGGGUGUGGGCCCCCUGACCUUCAUCUUUGGCGACGAUUUUUCUUUAUUUAUUUUAAGACAUUUCGUGGAGUUUCAGGACUUUUGGAGUUGCGCAGAAUAGUCCUUCAAUAUUUGCUCCUUUUCUAGCCCAGAAUUCCAGCUGCCGGCAUUCUCCCUCUUCAUGUAAACCUUGUAAAAUAAGAGAGAAUAGCCAUAAGUAUUGUGACAUAACGUGAAAUAACAGCUCAUAAUGCAAUAAAUAUUGAUAUAAAAGCAUGAUGCAAAAUGGACGUAUCAACUCCCCUAAGCUUAGACCUCGCUUGUCUUCAAGCGAAAAGCCGAUAACAAUAAAUAUGUCCUCAUGUUUAGAGGUAGAGGCGUCGAUAAAAAUAAAAUACGGACAUGAAGGCAUCAUGAUUAUUUCAUAACAGCAACAUAUAAAGAUUUCGUCAUAUGAUUACUCAUGUUCAAGUGAUGAUCUUUUCACAAAGCCAAAGUAUGAAUUAGAAACCUUAUUGAGCAUCAACAAAUUAUACCCUUAGUCAUUGAAGCAAUUGCAAUUUAUCAUAACAUCAGAAAGAGUCUAUGUCAGAGUUUAAAAGCAAGUCCACAUACUCAACUAUCACUUAGUCCUUCAUAAUUGCUAACACUCACACGAUACUUGUGGUUACGGAGUUUUAAUCGGACACAGAGAAAGAUAGGGGAUUAUAGUUUUGCCCCACAACCUUUUACCUCAAGGGUAAUGUCAACAAUAAUAAUUCAUGCUCCCCCACAUCCAAUUAGAUAUAUAUAUAUAUCAUGUUCUUUCCAACAUGCUGAGCUUGCCAAAGGAUAAAAUGAAAAAGGAAAGGUGAGGAUCACCGUGACUCUUGCAUAGGGUAGAGGAUAAUAAUAAAAGAUAGGCCCUUCGCAGAGGGAAGCAGAGGUUGUCAUGCGUGUUUAGGGUUGAUGCACAAAAUCUUAGUGCAAAAGAACGUCACUUUAUAUUGCCCCUUGUAUGUGAACCUUUACUAUGCAGUCCGUCGCUUUUAUUGCGUCCACAACAAGUUCGUACAAAGUUUAUUUUCUCCGCACUAAUAAGUCAUGCAUAUUUAGAGAGCAAUUUUUAUUGCUUGCACCGAUGACAACUUACUUGAAGAAUCUUACUCAAUCCAUAGGUAGUUAUGGUGGACUCUCAUGGCAAAGCUGGUUUAAGGGUAUUUGGAAGCACAAGUAGUAUUUCUACUUGGUGCUAAGAAUUUGGCUAGCAUGAGGGGGAAAGGCAAGCUCAACACGGUAGAGGAUCCAUGACAACAUACUUUAUCUCAGAUGUAAGAAAACUCACUAUGUUGCCUUGCUUGUCCAACAUCAACUCUUUAGCAUGUCAUAUUUUAAUGAGUGCUCCCAAUCAUAAAAGAUGUCAAUGAUAAUAUAUCUAUAUGUGAAACCUCUCUUUCCUUAUUACUUCCUAUUAAUUGCAACAAUGACCAAAGCUAUAUUUGUCAACCCCCAACAACUUUUAGUCAUCAUACUCUUUCUAUGUGGAGUCAUUACUUUCACUAAGAUCAAUAUGAACUCUUUGAUUCUUUUUAUUCUUUUUCUUCUAAUCACCCAAGAUCAUGGCAAAAUACUCAAGCCCUUGACUCAACACUAAUCUUUAUUAUAUAGCUCACGGACUCGAUUACAAAGAAGGAUCAUAAAGCAAAACUCAAAACUAGAUCAUGCCAUGACUUUAUUUUACUAAAUCAAGAUACUACUAAUAGGAUCGAACUAAGAAAAACGGUAAAGAUAGGAGUUGUGAUGGUGAUACGAUACCAGGGCACCUCCCCCAAGCUUGGCAGUUGCCAAGGGGAGUGCCCAUACCCAUGUGAUUAUUUCUCCUUCUUUGUUGUUGGUGGUGGAAGUGUUGAUGAUGAUGGAGUUGUCGCAUUUUUCUUCUCUAGCUUGCGUCUAAGGCUAAAAUUUUCAUCCCUCAGAUCCUCAUUCUCGAGCUCAAGUUUCAUUAUCUUUUUGCAUAGUGCUGCCUUGCUGUCCUGCAAAAAACGAGGCGGGAUAGAUUGGACCUUAUGGAGGCUUGACUUCUUGAACUCCACAUGCAUAUCACCAAGUUGAGGUAGGGGAUAGUCCUCUUCGUCGGAACUCGUUUCCUCCUUCCUCUUUGGAUCAUAGUCUUCCUCUUCCUCCGUGGUCCAGCCAUAAUGCUCCACAUCCCCAUAUACUUUUGGAUUUGCAAUAUAAUCAGCCAUGUAGCUCUCUCCCUCUGAAUCUUGGGAAGACAUCUUGCUCUAAUCUGCAGCAGAAACAGCUCGAAACAAAAACAGAGGAUAUUUGCGUGAUACGAGAGUCAAAACCUUCAGGAGUAUAUAUAAUGAAUUUUUACUGGCCAAAAUACGUAUCGUGCAAGGAAACGGAGUCCGGAGGGCACACGACGUGCUCGCGAGGUAGGGGGCGCGCCCAGGGGGGUAGGGCGUGCCCUCCACCCUCGUGGAGGCCUCGUGUCCUCCCCGGACUGCUACUUAUUUUUUUAUUUUUCUAAAUAUUCCAAAACAGAGAAAUAUUGCCUUAAAAAUUGUUUUGGAGUCGGUUUACUUACCGUACCACAUACCUAUUCCUUUUCGGAGUCUGGAACGUUUUGGAGAGUGUCCCUUAUGUACUCCUCCGGGGUUACGGUUUCAAUAACAUUAGUUUCAAUGUUUAUAGGAUUACCUGAGAUAUAGUGUUUGAUUCUUUGGCCGUUCACCACCUUCGGAUUUGUGCCUGCGAAGUUGUUGAUUUUUAUGGCACCGGAACGAUAGACCUCCUCGAUAACGUAAGGACCUUCCCAUUUGGAGAGAAGUUUUCCUGCAAAAAAUCUUAAAUAAAAGUUUUAUAGCAAUACAUAAUCACCUACAUUAAACUCACGCUUUUGUAUCCUUUUGUCAUGCCACCUUUUAACUUUUUCUUUAAACAGCUUGGCAUUUUCAUAAGCUUGGGUUCUUCAUUCAUCAAGUGAGCUAAUAUCAAAUAACCUCUUCUCACCGGCAAGUUUGAAAUCAUAGUUGAGCUCCUUAAUAGCCCAAUAUGCCUUAUGUUCUAGUUCGAGAGGUAAGUGACAUGCUUUUCCAUAAACCAUCUUGUAUGGAGACAUACCCAUAGAAUUUUUGUAUGCAGUUCUAUAGGCCCAUAAUGCAUCAUCAAGUUUUUUGGACCAAUUCUUUCUAGACCUAUUGACAGUCUUUGCAAAAUUAAUUUGAGCUCUCUAUUGCUCAAUUCUACCUGACCACUAGACUGCGGGUGAUAUGGAGAUGCAAUCCUAUGAUUAACGUCGUAUUUAACAAGCAUCUUACGGAAAGCACCAUGAAUGAAGUGUGAACCACCAUGAGUCAUUAAGUAUCUAGGGACUCCAAACCUCGGAAAAAUAACUUCCUUAAGCAUUUUAAUAGAAGUGUUAUGAUCAACACUACUAGUUGGAAUAGCUUCUACCCACUUAGUAACUUAAUCAACAGCAACUAGAAUAUGAGUGUAACCAUUAGAGGCAGGAAAAGGUCCCAUGUAACCAAAGCCCCAAACAUCAAAUGGCUCAAUAACAAGUGAAUAAUUCAUAGGCAUUUCUUGAUGUCUACUGAUAUUACCAAUUCUUUGCCAUUCAUCACAAGACAAAACAAACUUACGAGCAUCCUUGAAGAGAGUAGGCCAAUAAAACCCGGAUUGCAAUACCUUAUGUGCAGUUCUAUCUCCAGCGUGAUGUCCUCCAUAAGCUUCGGAGUGACACUUGCAUAGGAUCUGUUCCUGUUCAUGCUCAGGUACACAACGUCUAAUAACACCAUCUACUCCUUUAUAAAGAUGUGGGUCAUCCCAAAAGUAAUGUCGCAAGUCAUAGAAAAACUUUUUAUUUUGUUGGUAUGUGAAGCUAGGCGGUAUAAAUUUAGCAACAAUAUAAUUAGCAUAAUCAGCAUACCAAGGAGUGCUACGAGAAGUACUUAUGACAUUUAAUUGCUCAUCAGGAAAGCUAUCAUCAAUAGGUAGUGGGUCAUCAAGAACAUUCUCUAGCCUAGACAAGUUGUCUGCAACAGGGUUCUCAGCUCCUUUUCUAUCAACAAUAUGGAAAUCAAAUUCUUGAAGCAAGAGAACCCAUCUAAUGAGUCUACGUUUUGCAUCUUUAUUUUCCAUAAGAUAUUUAAUAGUAGCAUGAUCUGUAUGAAUAGUUACUCUAGAGUCAACAAUAUAGGGCCUAAAUUUAUCACAAGCAAAUACAACCGCUAAAAGUUCCUUUUCGGUAGUAGCAUAAUUUCUUUGAGCAUUCUCUAGAGUCUUACUAGCAUAAUAGAUAACAUUCGAUUUCUUAUCAACUCUUUGCCCUAGAACAGCACCUACAGCAUAAUCACUAGCAUCACACAUAAUUUCAAAGGGUAAAUUUCAAUCAGGUGGCUGAACAACAGGUGCAGAGACUAAUGCUUUCUUAAGUAUUUCAAAUGCUUCUACACAAUCAUCAUCAAAGACAAAUGGUACAUCUUUUUCUAAUAAAUUAGUCAGAGGCCGAGAGAUUUUUGAGAAGUCCUUGAUGAACCUCCUAUAAAAUCCGGCGUGACCAAGGAAACUUCUUAUACCUUUGAUGUCCUUGGGACAUGGCAUCUUUUCAAUAGCAUCAACCUUGGCUUUAUCAACUUCAAUACCUCUUUCAGAAACUUUGUGCCCCAAGACAAUACCUUCAUUAACCAUAAAGUGGCACUUUUCCCAAUUCAAGACAAGAUUAGUUUCUUCACAUCUUUGCAAAAAUCGAGCGAGAUUGCUCAAGCAAUCAUCAAAAGAGGAACCAUAGACGGAAAAGUCAUCCAUGAAGACCUCAAAAAUUUUCUCGCAAAAGUCAGAGAAUAUAGCCAUCAUGCAUCUUUGAAAGGUAGCAUGUGCAUUACAUAAACCAAAAGGCAUACGUCUAUAAGCAAAAGUACCAAAAGGGCAUGUAAAAGUAGUCUUUGAUUGGUCUUUAGCCGACACAGGUAUUUGAGAAAAACCAGAGUAACCAUCUAGACAGCAAUAAUGUGUAUGUUUGCAUAGUCUUUCUAGCAUUUGAUCAAUAAAAGGUAAGGGGUAAUGAUCUUUCUUAGUAGCCUUAUUUAAUUUGCGGAAGUCAAUUACCAUCCUAUAACCUGUGAUAAUUCUUUGCGGAAUCAAUUCAUCUUUAUCAUUAGGGACAACAGUAAUACCUCCCUUCUUAGGGACACAAUGGACAGGACUUACCCACUAACUAUCAGCAACGGGAUAAAUUAUACCUACCUCCAGAAGCUUGAGUAUUUCUUUUCUUACCACUUCUUUCACUUUAGGAUUCAAACAUCGUUGAGGAUCACAAACUGGUUUGGCAUCAGCUUCUAAAUUUAUUUUAUGUUGACAUAGAGUGGGACUGAUGCCCUUAAGAUCAUCCAGAGUAUAUCCAAUAGCGGCACGAUUCUUCUUCAGAGUUUUCAAUAAUCUUUCUUCUUCAUGCUCUGAAAGGUUAGCGCUAAUAAUAAUAGGAUAUAUUUUCUUUUCAUCAAGAUAAGCAUAUUUAAGAUUAUCAGGCAACGGUUUAAGCUCAAACAUGGGAUCACCCUUGGGUGGAGGAGGAUCCCCUAGGAUUUCAACAGGCAAAUUGUGUUGCAGAAUAGGUUCCUGUUUAAAGAAUAAUUCAUCUAUUUCCCUUCUUUCAUUUAUGAACAUAUCAUUUUCAUGGUCUAGCAAAUAGUGUUCUAAAGGAUCAUUAGGAGGUACAGCAAUAGAAGCAAGACCAAUAAUUUCAUCCUUACUAGGCAAUUCUUCCUCACGAUGUUGUUUACUAAAUUUAGAGAAAUUAAACUCAUGGACCAUACCAUCCAAGCCAACAGUAACAACAUUCUUUUUGCAAUCUAUCUUAGCAUUAACGAUACGCAAGAAGGGUCUACCAAAUAUAAUGGGACAAAAGCUAUCUUGUGGAGAACCAAGAACAAGAAAAUCAGCGGGAUAUUUGGUUUUCCCACGCAAGACUUCAACAUCUCUAACAAUUCCCAUUGGAGAUAUAGUAUCUCUAUUGGCUAGUUUAAUUGUAACAUCGAUAUCUUCUAACUCAGCAGGUGCAACCUCAUGCAUAAUUUCUUUGUAUAAGUCAAUGGGUAUAACACUAGCACUAGCACCCAUAUCACAUAAGCCAUGAUAACAAUGAUCUCCUAUUUUAACAGAAAUAACAGGCACGCCUACCACAGGUCUAUGUUUAUCUCUAUCACAGGGUUUAGCAAUUCUAGCAGUUUCACCAGUAAAUUGAAUAACAUGCCCAUCAAUAUUAUCAGACAAGAGAUCUUUAACAAUAGCAAUAUUGGGUUCUACUUUGACUUGCUCAGGAGGUGUAUAAGUCCUAGUAUUGCUUUUAUGAACAACAGUUGAAGCUUUAGCAUGAUCCUUCAUUCUAACAGGGAAAGGAGGUUUCUCAACAUAAGAAGUAGGAACAAUAGGAUCAUUAUAAGUGACAAUCUUUUCUUCAACUUUAAUAGGUGCAGCUACUUUUACUUCUAUGGGAGGAUGAUAUUUAAACCACUUCUCCUUGGGGAGAUCAACAUAAGUAGCAAAAGAUUCACAGAAAGAAGCUACUAUCUCAGAGUCAAGUCCAUAUUUAGUGCUAAACUUACGGAAAAUAUCGGUAUCCAUAAAAGAUUUAACACAAUCAAACUUAGCUGUCAUACCUGACUCCUUACCUUCGUCGAGGUCCCAAUCUUCAGAGUUGCGUUUAAUUCUAUCCAAUAAAUUCCAUCCAAAUUCAAUAGACUUCAUCAUAAAAGAGCCAGCACAAGAAGUAUCGAGCAUGGUGCGAUUAUUAUCAGGAAGCCGAGCAUAAAAUUCUGGAGAAUUGUCAAUUUUGAGAGCUCAUGAUUGGGGCAUGAAUAUAACAUUGAUUUAAGACUCCCCCAAGCUUGAGCGAUGCUUUCUCCUUUGCGAGGCCAAAAAUUAUAUAUAUAAUUGCGAUCACGAUGAACAAGAUGCAUAGGGUAAUACUUUUGAUGAAAUUCCAAUUUCAAUCUUUUAUAGUUCCACGAUCUUGUAUCAUCACAUAGCCUAUACCAUGUCAAUGCGUCUCCCUCCAAAGAUAAAGGGAAAGCCUUCCUCUUAACGGCAUCAUCGGGUAUACCUGCAAGCUUAAAUAGUCCACAAAUAUCAUCCACAAAGCGUAGAUGUUCGUCCGGCUGCUUUGUUCCAUCUCAUGCGAAAGUGUUAGCUAGCAGUUUUUCCAUCAUACCCGAAGGAAUCUGAAAAACAGUUUCAUUUUUAGUAGAUUCAGUAGGUUCAGUAGGUUGAGGAGCAACUCUUGGCUCAACUGGACGGGGUGAAGAUACCCCGAACAAACCCCUCAAGCAAUUACUUUCCAUGGUAACAAGUGACAGAAAAUUUCAGCACACUAAAUAAAUUUUUCCUUACCAAAUUCCACCUACCAAAGGCGCUUCACUCCCCGGCAACGGCACCAGAAAAGAGUCUAGAUGACCCACAAGUAUAGGGGAUCUAUCGUAGUCCUUUCGAUAAGUAAGAGUGUCGAACCCAACGAGGAGCAGAAGGAAAUGAUAAGCGGUUUUCAGUAAGGUAUUCUCUGCAAGUACUGAAAUAAGUUUUAAUAGAUAGUUUUGUGAUAAGAUAAAUGGUAACGAGCAACAAGUAACAAAAGUAAAUAAAGUGCAGCAAGGUGGCCCAAUCCUUUUUGUAGCAAAGGACAAGCCAGGACAAACUCUUAUAAUAGGAAAAGCGCUCCCGAGGACACAUGGGAAUAUCGUCAAGCUAGUUUUCAUCACGCUCAUAUGAUUCGCGUUCGGUACUUUGAUAAUUUGAUAUGUGGGUGGACCGGUGCUUGGGUGUUGUUCUUACUUGAACAAGCAUCCCACUUAUGAUUAACCUCUAUUGCAAGCAUCCGCAACUACAACAAAAGUAUUAAGGUAAACCUAACCAUAGCAUGAAACAUAUGGAUUCAAAUCAGCCCCUUACGAAGCAACGCAUAAACUAGGGUUUAAGCUUCUGUCACUCUAGCAACCCAUCAUCUACUUAUUAAUUCCCAAUGCCUUCCUCUAGGCCCAAAUAAUGGUGAAGUGUUAUGUAGUCGACGUUCACAUAACACCACUAGAGGUUAGACAACAUACAUCUUAUCAAAAUAUCAAACAAAUACCAAAUUCACAUUACUAAACAGUAAAACUGAGCUAGCUAUGCCUCCUCACAGCGAUUUGAACUGCUAAACCGUCCGAUUAAGUACACGGAUGCUUCAGAUUAGUUCACCGCCCCGCAACAUUCUCUCGGGCCUCGUUCGCCUCUUCUGCUCGCUGAACCGACCGAGCCAACGUCUAAUGGGCCGCUGCUCCACAGACCUAUUUUUGAGCGUUUACAUGAAUGGGGCUGCCAUGGGCGUGUGACUGUGAGGUGAUUUACAGCCAAUUCUUGGUGAUUGUGCAGGAGGUGGGCCGCUUGUUGCCUUUCCUAUUCUGUCCGUCCGUCGCCUUUCACACGCAGUGGAUCUGAGUUUUUGGCUGCUUACCGUUCAAUUUUUUUUGCGAGUACUUACGGUUCAAUUGCAUCAUUAUUUGUUUAUUUUCUUUCUCUGUGCAGCAUAUAAUAUGGCAAGGCUACAACGGACCAUGACGCGUGACACACAGAGAAUCUCCCCCACUUAUUCAAAUACCUUAGCAAAUGUGAUGCUUAGACAAACUUUUUUGUACAUUGACGUUCCAAUGCUGAUUUAGAUGGCAUUGUCACCUGUAUCAAUUUUGCAACUUAUACCUAAAGCUUCAAUAGUGCCCCACCAUCUAAAUGUUCUUCUUUUGUUCAGGUUUUUUGAUAUACUUAUAUUAUUAUUUCAAUAAGAUGUACGGGCGUGACAACGUGCGCCUUUAUGUUCUAGUGACUACUAAUAGCAAGACUUCUCCCUUGUCCUCAGGAACAAACGUAACUACUCACAAAGCAUAUUCAUGUUCAUAAUCAGAGGGGUAAUAAUGUGCAUAUAGGAUCUGAACAUAUGAUCUUUCACCAAAUAAACCAACUAGCAUCAACUACAAAGAGUAAUCAACACUACUAGCAACCUACUAGCACCAAUCCCGGACUUGGAGACAAGAAUUGGAUACAAGAGAUGAACUAGGGUUUGGAGAUGAGAUGGUGCUGGUGAAGAUGUUGAUGGAGAUUGCCCUCUCCCGAUGAGAGGAGCGUUGGUGAUGACGAUGGUGAUGAUUUCCCCCUCCCAGAGGGAAUUUUCCCCGGCAGAACAGCUCUGCCGGAGCCCUAGAUUGGUUCCGCCAAGGUUCCGCCUCGUGGCGGCGGAGUUUCGUCCCGAAAGGUUCUCUUCUAUUUUUUUCUCAUCGAAAGACUUCAUAUGGGAGAUUAUGGGCGUCGGAGAGCCACCAGGGGGCCCAUGAGGUAGGGGGGCGCGCCCAGGGGGGCGCCCCCCACCCUCGUGAGCAGGGUGUGGGCCCCCUGGCCUUCAUCUUUGGCGAUGAUUUUUCUUUAUUUAUUUUAAGACUUUCAGUGGAGUUUCAGGACUUUUGGAGUUGCGCAGAAUAGUCCUUCAAUAUUUGCUCCUUUUCCAGCCCAGAAUUCCAACUGCCGGCAUUCUCCCUCUUCAUGUAAACCUUGUAAAAUAAGAAAGAAUAUCCAUAAGUAUUGUGACUGAAAUAACAGUCCAUAAUGCAAUAAAUAUUAAUAUAAAAGCAUGAUGCAAAAUGGACGUAUCAGUGCGAUACCUUGGGUUUUCACCCUAGGAAUUGAGACUUGAUACUCGAGUACCAUCAAAAAUGCAGUCCACCAGUGCUGCCGCCCCCGCUUGCCGAGGCCGCUGGUACAAGUCACCAAACACCUGGCAUACAAUUGUCAUCGCAUCCAAUACACCCUUCUACCGAAGCUUCAAGACCUCCAAUCGCAGUCUCCAUGACUUUCUCCAUAUCUAUCAAUGCCUUGAGAAUCUUGACUUAAACAUGUCCCAUGAUAAAAAAUAAGAAAUCGAAGCUUCACGUCGCAUCCUCUUGAGGCCGUGUUGGUUGAUAAUAUUAGCGCGCACGACCGGAGCCUUUCCGAUCUAGAUAUCCAGGGGCGACAUACACCAAUCCAUAUAGAUCUCCGCUCGAAAAGACCAGAACUCAUCAACGACUAGAUCCAAGAGGUCGACAUCCGGCAGAAAGACGACUUGGCGGAAGAAGAGCAUCAGGGCCAAACCACCAUUAUUAGUCCGAAGCUAAUAGCCCCCACGCCGCCCUCUUCUAUAUCCAGACCCGCAGAAAAAGAUCAACGACGCCGCAUCGUGCCACUCGCAUCCGUGGAGGCCUGAACUUGGCAAGACGCCAACCAUGGCUGGAGACGGGGACCAGCCACUCCUGGCCGGAUCCGGUGACUCCUAGUCCCACCGCUGCCGCUACGGCGGUACCGCGUGUAGCCUACAAGGACAUCCACGAUGAUGUCUGAUUAGAAGGAUACAUGGAUAUACAGAUGAAAAGGCCCUCGUUGUCCCUCCAACAAUAUAUAUAAAGCUUACUGGGAUGUGAGAAAGCUCGCACAAUGUUAUAUUGGCUAUGAAAAUGUGUUGCCAGACAGAGAUAUAAGAUUUUUGUUUGGAAUCCAGAUCGGUUGUGUCAUCCUUAAUCGAUGGUCACUUUAAUUUUUUCGGCGGGCCUUCCCUGUGGUACCGCAGCCUUACAUGUGUAGGGGUUUCAUACAGCUAUUCUGUCCUGUCGGAAAAGGAGAAAACCAAAAUUACUUGGAGUUGAUAACUAAUACGUUUCCUUUAACUACCACAUGCACGGCGAGGAUUUACGGCACGCAAGUGCGGGGGCACUCAGGUCAUGGUGCCGCCUUUUUAUUUUAGCGUCCGAUUUUCAAACUUCUAUAUCUUUUAAACGAAAAAAUCAAUUUAAGUUAUGUUUUCAUAUUCGUGUUUCUUGCUGCCAGCGCUUUCAAAUAAUAUUCAUUUUGAAUAUAUUUUGGCAUCUUUUGGAAACAAUGUUAAUUUUCAUUGUUCGAAACUUAGUACGAGCGACCGAUAAUAUCCAAUUAUUUUGUGUCUAUGACCAACAGAAAAAAUUGCUUAAAGUUGCAUCUUUGAAACUUGUUGAAGAUGGUCAAUUAACAUUUUCUAAUUGCCAUGAGAAGAAGUAUGAAGUGCAGUAGAGAACAAUGUACACAGUAUAUAUACAACAUGGAAGUACAGUAAUAGUGAGUUCACUCGACGGAACCCCGUCACGGCACGGCCAUGUGAAUAGGAUCCACCUCGUACUGCUCCUCUCCUGCUCUGCCCUGAGCAGUAUCGUCCGUCGUCGCCGAGCGGCGCAGCGGCCGGCGGCCGGGGGGAAGCCGAGAUUUCCUCUUUGGAGGCGCCGAAUCCCAGUCGUAACUCGUAAGUCGAAAUCCCUCUCUGUCCCGCCUCUCGAAUCCCCACCGGUCUCCUACCCAAAACUUCCGUGCCGCCAAUGCCCGCCUUUUCUUUGGGUUUCGAGCGAGGAAUCGGAGGGAAAUCUGGGUACUUCCUGUGGCUUGAUACCCCGGCAAUGGCGGCCCUGCUUGCUUUCUGUUACCACUGGGUCGCUCUACUCUUUGCAUGCCCGUCCGCAAGGUGUUCGAUGGAUUGUGCGCAGGGUGUCGGCCCGGCUGGUCUCGUUUCAGCUCUUGGAUGUCUCGGUCCGUUUACCGUCGGUUACUGGAAAUGUGCUCGAAACCCAUGAAAAUGCUGGGAUUUGCGCUCUUUGUUUGCCGUCAUUUGUUUGGUUGCAGGAAGCACCCGGUCUUAAGCAUAGUAUAGAUAAAGUUGUAUGUUCUGCUCUGUUUGUUUGUUUGCUGUCUGAUGAUUGAGACAAGGGCAUAAUCCAAAGUUUGGCACCUGCUCCUGCACGUUUAUGUGUUGGAAACUGGAAUCUGUUGAGAGUAGUAUGGCCACGCCACAUGUCUUGGCUUCCACUCAAGGACCACAUUACUUCUUGACUUUCUUGGAUGCUUGUUGGCCCAACCUUGGAUCUAUAUCUUUCUAAUAGUGUUAUAAAUCAGAAACAUAUCCCCGCAAAAAAAUAGAAAUAAAUCAGAAACACAACAAUUUUUUGUGUUGCUUACUAGAUUCGGUGUAUUUACUUCGUGUGUUUAGUCGAAUCACCUGUCAUUGUUCUCUCAAGUUGCUUUUCCUUGCGAUAUUCAUGUUCAACCCAGCGGUUUAAAAUUCCUGCAAUUGCUUCAUUCAAAGUGAUUUUCACUUCUUUGUUGUUGUUUUCCACAGCAUUUGGGCUGAGGCUCCAAAUAGUGCUACUCUUUUACAUGGACUAUGUUACUUUGGAGAAUACAAGAAUUGUGCAUUGGUAUCACGAUAACAUAUGCCUAAUGGUUUUUCUUACAGGAGGGCGUUUCCAACACAUAAAUAGUUUGCUAGCAUGCAGACAAGUGUCCAGUAGCCUUUGUGCCAUUUGAGGCGUAAUGGAGAUAGCUUUUCUCAUGUUGUUGGUUCUUUCUCUGCUUCUGUUCCCUAAUGGCAUCUGCAAGAGUUUAGCCACACGGCCUCCUGUUGUGAAUAUUGGGUCUAUUCUUCAAUUUGACUCCACCACUGGAGGUGUUGCGGCAGUUGCCAUCCAUACAGCCUUGGAAGAUAUCAACUCCGAUCCAACAGUUCUAAAUGGAACUACACUGAAGGUUCAAAUCAAGGAUACAAAUUGCUUUGAUGGUUUCCUUGGCAUGGUUCAAGGUAGGCUAGCUUUAAUGUCACUCAUUCAUUUCACAACCUUCAAAUAGUUUUUACUUCUAUUGUGGAGUGGUGGCAAUGAUGCCGUGUUCCUUGUAUCAGCUUUGCAGUUCAUGGAGACUGAUGUUAUUGCAAUCGUUGGCCCUCAGUGCUCCACAAUUUCUCAUAUCAUUUCAUAUGUAGCAAAUGAGCUUCGAGUCCCUUUGAUGUCCUUUGCUUCUGAUGCAACUCUUUCAUCGAUACAGUUCCCAUUCUUUGUCAGGACUGGUCCCAAUGACCUCUAUCAAAUGGCGGCUGUGGCAGAAGUUGUUGACUACAACCACUGGAAGAUAGUGACUGCCAUAUACAUUGAUAAUGUUUAUGGUAGAAAUGGCAUUGCUGCUUUGGAUGAUGCACUCGCUUUAAAGCGCUGCAAAAUAUCCUACAAGAUUGGCUUUCCUUCCAACGCUAAAAGGAGUGACCUCAUAAAUUUGUUGGUUAGUGUCAGUUCUAUGGAGUCUCGUGUUAUCAUUCUCCAUACUGGAACUGAACCUGGACUCAAGCUUUUCUCUAUGGCACACCAACUGAACAUGAUGGGCAACGGCUAUGUGUGGAUUGCAACUGACUGGCUGUCCGCAUAUCUUGAUGCUAAUUCAUCAGUUCCUGCUGAGACUAUAUCUGGCCUGCAAGGUGUUCUUACUUUACGGCCACAUAUUCCCAACUCAAAGAUGAAUAAUUUGGUCUCUAAAUGGAGCACGCAAAGUAAAAAGUACAACUACAGUGAUCUUCGUGUAAAUACUUAUGGUUUUUAUGUUUAUGAUAGUGUCUGGGCAGUAGCUCGUGCUCUGGAUGCCUUCUUUGAUGAUGGUGGUAGGAUUUCCUUUUCAAAUGACUUGCAUGAUGAAACUGGAGGAACUCUUCACCUUGAAGCAAUGAGCAUUUUUGACAUGGGAAAUAAAUUACUGGAGAAGAUUAGAAAGGUAAACUUCAGUGGGGUAUCUGGGCAAGUGCAAUUCGAUCCUGUAGGCAACCUCAUUCACCCUGCGUAUGACAUCAUAAAUGUCAUCGGAAAUGGCAUGCGGACCAUUGGUUUUUGGUCAAACUAUUCUGGCUUGUUGUCGACUGUCUCUCCAGAGGCUCUAUAUUCAAAGCCUCCUAAUACUUCUCUCGUCGAUCAGCAUCUCUAUGAUGUUAUUUGGCCUGGGGAGACUGCACAGAGGCCUCGAGGAUGGGUCUUUCCUUCUAAUGCCAAGCAAUUGAAAAUUGGUGUUCCCAACAGAUUUAGCUUCAAAGAGAUCGUCACGGUAGACAAUGCUACUGGGUCAAUGAAGGGUUAUUGCAUCGAUGUCUUUACUCAGGCAUUGGCUUUGCUUCCUUAUCCUGUUAGUUACAAGUUUGUACCUUUUGGGAAUGGUACUGAAAAUCCUAAUUAUGACAAACUCGUACAGAUGAUUGAAUCAAAUGUAAGUAUGGAAUGCCUCUUUUCUUCCUCUAACCAUUUCAUCAUAUACCAUGCUGACCAGGGUCAUCUUGUCCUGCAGGAGUUUGAUGCAGCUAUAGGGGAUAUUGCAAUUACAAUGAGGCGGACAGUAACUUUUGAUUUCACCCAGCCAUUCAUUGAAACAGGCUUGGUUAUCUUGGCUCCGGUUAAAGAGCAUAUAACAUCAUCGUGGGCAUUCUUGCAGCCAUUUAGUUUGGAGAUGUGGUGUGUUACAGGGCUGUUCUUUCUUAUUGUGGGUGUGGUUAUUUGGGUUCUUGAACAUCGGAUCAAUGACGAUUUCCGUGGUUCAGUAUGUCAACAAAUAAUAACUAUUUUCUCGUAAGGAGCUGACCUUUACCUUUUGUAUCGUCUUCUUGUAUAUCAUUUCUGUUUUCGAAGUGUUGAUGUUUUAACAAGUCUUGUGCAAUAUGUUGCAUACAGCGAGCACCUUAGAGCAGUGGCCAGUUAACAAACCUAAAUGAAGCAUCUAGUGAUUACCAAUGAACUACUCCCUCCGUCCCAUAAUAUAAGAGUGUUUUUUGACGGCGGGAGUAUUAUCUUAAUAAUCUUGUGAGACAUAUAUACAUGCACAGUAUAUAUAUUCGCUUAAUGAUAUUUAUGAUGCAUUGCUCUAUUUUUUCCUGUUUUCAUGUACUUCUCCACAUGUAUUUGCCAAAUGCUCUUAUCAUGACGUGAUUCCUUGCUGUGAGUAUAAUUUCAAAUUUUAUUGCCUGCAGGUUCAGCUUUUCGACUUUGUUCUUCGCACACAGUGAGUAAACCAACCUUUUCUCUUAUGUGUUUUUUGGCUAUAACAUUUUGUUCUGAGGCAUGACUUGUGAUUUCAUCCGUGUCUGCUCGCAGGAGAAAAUACGAUGAGUGCCUUAGGGCGUGGUGUCCUGAUCAUAUGGCUGUUUGUUGUUUUGAUAAUUGUAUCCAGCUAUACCGCGAGUCUUACUUCCAUCCUGACCGUGCAACAACUUGAUACUUCUAUAAAAGGAAUUGAUGACCUGAAAAAUAGCGAUGGUCCUAUUGGUUUCCAAGUUGGUUCUUUUGCACAAGACUACAUGGUCAAGGAGCUCAACAUCUCACGGUCAAGGCUAAGAGCUCUGGGUUCACCACAAGAAUACGCGGAUGCCCUCAAGAUAGGCCCUAAGGAAGGAGGUGUUAUGGCCAUUGUCGACGAGCGCCCCUAUGUUGAACUGUUUUUGUCAACCUACUGCAAAAUUGCGGUAGCUGGCACAGAUUUCACCAGCAGAGGAUGGGGCUUUGUAAGUACAGUUAAACCAUAUUCUUUUAUGUAAAUUAGAAUAUAAGAACAAAACAUUUUUCUGUUAAUAUCCUGGAAUAGAAGUUUUAACUUUGAAUAGCUGUGUCUAGUAUCUAGUUUAUUAUGCAACUGUUCUUGCACAUAUCUGUGGGUACUUUGUUUCACAAAUCAAAAUGUAGCACCUUACAAGUUCAUUCUGGCAGGCAUUUCCAAGGGACUCCCCUUUGCAAGUAGACCUCUCCACCGCAAUCCUGUCUCUGUCAGAGAAUGGGGAGCUGCAGCGGAUCCAUGCCAAAUGGCUCAAUACAGGGGAGUGCGCAACUGAAAACAGUGAGUUUGUCGACUCGAACCAGCUCCGCCUUGAGAGUUUCCUUGGUCUGUUCCUAAUCUGUGGUGUGGCAUGUGUUCUCGCGCUGCUACUCUACUUUGGUAUCAUGCUAUGCAAAUACCUGAGGCAUGAACCGCGGAAGAGCCUCAGAAGAUUCAUCUCGUUCGUCCAUGGGAAGGAGCCGCUGAAGAACAAGGAGAGGCGGUCCAUGAGCCUGCCUGGAAGCUCGACGCCAACAACGCCGAUGAGCAGCCUUAGUUCCCUUGACAUGGAAAGGCCGGCCAGGCCAGUCAGAAACGGCAGCGUUAUUGAUAUGGAAAGCUAGUUCAUGUGUAGAAAGCUAGUUAACAAUGCGGUCGACUAACCUAGGUUCUGGUAGUCGGACAGCAGGGGUGUAUAGGGGGAUUCAAAAUACUUCUUAAGUACUCCCUCCGAUUCAAAUUAAUUGACGUUGACUUAGUACAAAGUUGUACUAAGUUGGCGUCAAGUAAUUUGGAUCGGAGGGAGUACUAAAGUUUAGAAAUAAGAGAAGGAAGGAUUAAUAAGAAGUAGAAAUAUUGAAAUGCUCAUCCUGUCCUACAUAUAUUGUUUUUACCUUUGCAUGACUGUAUUUUGGGGGAUACUGUGUCGGUUCAGACUUGCCGUUUGGCAGCGUGGCCUGUUCAUGUGUUUGAUAGGGCGUAGUAGUGUGUGGGUACUUCAGUUAGAAGGUAUGCAGCGGACCGAGUCUAUUGACCGUGUGGCGAUGCCUGUAGUUUGUAGCACUAAAUUUUGAUGCUCAUUCAUAAACUAAUUUAGAUAAAAGCCGCACAAAAAAUGUGCUAGUUUUUUGUUGUUGUUGCUCACGUACUCUGUUUUGUCUCAGUUUUAGUCCAGGGCAACUUUGAAGCUUAUCUUAGGGUGGUAGCCAUAAAAAUGUGUUAGCACCUUACACAGGAGAAAUAGGUAAAGACCUUAUUAAGAAGUGAAGAAGAAUAGACGUCUCCAGUUUUUGUUUCUCCAACUCCAUGCCUACAAUGUAAAUUAUUUAUGGAUUAGCUCCAGUUGCUGCAACUGUACUCUUUCCGGUAGGUCUGAGAUGCGACUGAGCAUCCUAAGCUAGCUACUUGUCUCCCUUAAGUUUUACAGCAAGACAAAUGCACUGGACUGCAAAGAGGAAAUUCCCGCAGGUUCGUAGUGCAUCUGUUUUGGUUCUUGCAUUCACACCAAUCAUAAAACAGUGUUUGUUAGUAGCGGAGUGGUAGGCAGAAGCAAAUCAAACCAUCAUUUUUCUUCUAAUUACACUUGUAAAAGCAUCGAUACAUCUCCACCGCUUAAUUUAUUUGUCAUUCUGUUCAGUACCUGGUUCAGGAAGAGUCUUUUUCCUAUGCAAAAUAUAUAACGUAUAUGUUCCUAAUUCCGAUUGCAGGCAUAUUCAUCGCGCUUGUGUUUUGACGUGUCGCGGGGAACCAAGAGUCGUUCAGCAGGGCGUUUCUAGGAUACGCCACGGGUCUUACAGUAAAGGUAACGGUGAUGAACUGGUUUCAAGCUGUGCUGAUCAGUUCUGCUGUUACUAAUAUAUCAUGGCAUCCUGCUGCUCUCGGUCGAUGUUCUGUCAUCUCUGAAAAAUAUCAUUAUCACCUGUUUUAUUUCCCCGUCUUUUUUGCGCUUUGAUGCCCAGCCUGCUCUGUUGCACAUUGUUCCUGGCACGUGACUGGUUUGGUCGCCGUUCACUCUCCAUGGAAUGGAGAAGUGAAAGCGGGCAAGUAAGCCUAUAUACCUUUUGUCCCUUUUGUGUAGAUCAGAGAAAAUAACUGGCAAUCUUGAUCAGCCUGGUUUUGAGACGCGACUUGUUUGCCACUGACUGUUUUGCGUUGGUUGGAGAGGAGGAAGAAGACGAAGGUCCCAACCGUGAGAGCUAAAAGGUGAACCAGCGCUCGCCUUUUUAAUUACUAGGAGAAAUAAACAUUGAGGCAGCAAUUUCUUCCGGCAAGAUCAAUUGGCAGCUAAUUAUGUAGGCUGGAUGGCAUUGAGAAAUCCAGAANNNNNNNNNNNNNNNNNNNNNNNNNNNNNNNNNNNNNNNNNNNNNNNNNNNNNNNNNNNNNNNNNNNNNNNNNNNNNNNNNNNNNNNNNNNNNNNNNNNNNNNNNNNNNNNNNNNNNNNNNNNNNNNNNNNNNNNNNNNNNNNNNNNNNNNNNNNNNNNNNNNNNNNNNNNNNNNNNNNNNNNNNNNNNNNNNNNNNNNNNNNNNNNNNNNNNNNNNNNNNNNNNNNNNNNNNNNNNNNNNNNNNNNNNNNNNNNNNNNNNNNNNNNNNNNNNNNNNNNNNNNNNNNNNNNNNNNNNNNNNNNNNNNNNNNUAUAUACAUUGUGUAUUCAAACAUAAAAAGUGCAAAACUCACUCACAAAUAUUUGACUAUUCAUACAAAAAAAAAAGAAUUUCCUGAAAUAAGGGAGCACAUCUUCUCCAGAAUUGAUCACUGAGGUCAUCUAUUGAGCAAUCCAGGUUCACCUAGUUAUCUAUUUCAAAAUUUAUGGACAACAAUUUGGGUGGUGUUUUUUCAAACAAGGCACAUAUUUAUAGUUCAUUGAAAUACAUCUAUCUUUUGACCUCAUUAAUAUCUCAUCCUUCAUCAUAAACAUACAGAGAAACCGCUCGUUUCUCACAUGUUCCUGAGACGAUAACACCAUAGCUAUUACUGCCCCUUCUCUCUUAAUACCUUCCACCCUUUCCAUUAUAAAUAAUAAAACUGAAACAUAUCAUUCUCUUGAUUGUAUUUUUUCUAAAAUGUUUAAGGUGUAUGUGUCAUUGAGUGUGAAUAUAUUCUGUUGCAAAGUUUCACGAAAUUUAAUUAGUAUGCAACCUGUGCACAAGAGAAAUAAAUAUUAAAAUAAAUUUAGUUAUUUUUGUUAGCCCGCCAUUAUUUAAAAAAAAGUGAAGUCACUUUUUCAUGAAAGCUGGAGAUAAAUUGUGUAUAAACAUAAAAAUGAUGGAUUUUCCUAUCUUUCUCUCUGUCACACACACGCGCGCGCGCGCAUGCACACGCGUGCAAACUUAGGAUUUUAGGAAAUAAUGGGAGCAAAGGCCAUGUGAAAAUAUGAGGUACUCCCUCCGUCCUCGAAUAAGUGUACGUUUGGCAUUCAAGUCUUCAUACUUUUUCUCAUGGCACAGGUUUGCCUUCUCAUGAUGAUGGCCGCACUGUGUGCACAAGCCGCUGGGAGGCCUGUGGCAUGCUUACCAUGGAUAGCGGGGUGUUGCCCGAGGAACUAUUUGUGUUGUGGUGUCGGUGCCGUUGCCCCGACAUCCCAUGCAUCGCAGGCCACCUCUGUACCUUGAGUUAUGGUUUCGCUUGAUCUCCUCUCAUAACAUAGUUGAUAUAGCACAGUAGCAUCACAAAGGUUGCAUGGUUUCAUUGAUUCAUCUCUUCUCUACUCGAACUUGUGAUGCCACUUUUGAACAAUGUCAUUGCUAUGUCUUCUUAUAACUUGUUGGGAUUAACCACGAUGUAGUGGUUCCCUUGUCCGGCACGGACAGAUAGUGGUAGCAGUCACCGAUUUAACAUUGGAUUUGUAAUAGGACUCGGACUAGUUUAGGACUAGCAUAGCUCCUUUAAAUAUCCAUGUACCCCUACGUUGUAGUACUGUACCGAACCAGAUCAAAGCAAUACAGAUCAACAGGACCGACAAGGCCCUGUUUAGCCAUCAACUCGCGUGUUCCUGUGUUAUCGUGUGUAUCGUGUGUUUCGGCGUCGGCAAAACCGAUUUGCUAGUUUGACUAAGCGUAAGGCUGUGCAAAGCUAGCUAGACGUUGUGCCUGCUUGUACGUGCAUAUCUCUAGAGAAAAGCCAGCUUAUGUACACGUGUACGUCCGAAAGUACUCAGACGUACGGGAUCUGUGCCAACAUAACUAAUAAAAUGGGAGGAUAUUUUUAUCUUAUUUGAAUUGUGUUGUAACAUUACCUACUAAUGUGGAUGAUCUAGGUGGACCACAUAGAUCGGAUCUUCUAAAGAUGUAAUCUAGGACUUUGCAAGAUGAUAAAAUUGUCCUUUAUCUUGCUCCACACCUUUUCGUAGAAGUUGGUCGGCCGUCGGCGUCCCUUCAUCUGUGCCUGCUUGCGGUGCAUGCCGUAGAAUGCUCCAUGUUUUGUAGUUGUACAAUAACCUUUGACGUAACUUUUUUUCGACGUGCCAGCCAUCAAUAUUUAUAAUGAGACCUUGACCAUGGAUGGCAAGUAAUUCGCCCUGUGCUGAUGUCGUCGGGUGACCCGCUCACUGAUGUUUUGACUCAAGGAGUCGCUAUGUUCCCUGAAUGAUCUUUUUGUAUAUAAUUGGUUGUUACUUUAAUUAGAAGAAACCACACAAAUCAUAAGUGUUAUUAGUAAAGUGGUAGGCAUGUGCAAAUCAAAACGCCAUUUCCCUUCUAAAUACACUUGUAAAAUCAUUAUGAGUGUCUUCUUCUGAUUUCUUCUGAUUUCUUCUGAUUUAAUAUUUAUGCAAGACACAUUACGAGUGCCAGCUGUGCUGUAACUUUUUUUGUGAGGCACAGCAACUGGAUUGUUGUCGAUACAAGGUAAAACAGAAACUAGUAUCAGAACUUCUGUAUUUAGAAACCUGUUACUAAUAUAUAGUGGCAUCUUUAUCGCUGUUCACUCUCCAUAGAGUGGGGAAGUAAAAUCGGUAAGUAAGCCUAUUUACCUAGUCGCCGUUCAUUUGUUCACCGAGUCGCGAGACAGCGGGAGGAAGGAGAAGAAGGUCCCAACCGUCAGACCAAAAAGGUGGACUCGACUAUUUUCAGUUAUUAGUAGGAGUAAGAAGCAUUGCAAAUUGCUCCGUCUGUUCAAUCCGUAUAUAUGUAGUCCAUAUUAAUAUAUUCAAAAUAUUUUAUAUUUGUGAACGAAGGGAAUAAUUAAUAGUAAUGCAACAAGGGGAGGCCAGUCAGCAGCUAACUAAAUGUGCUGGAUGAGACUGGAGAAAUGAUAAACGAUUUACAUGAUAGAACUACUCUUUUCUUGUUAAGGAAUGAAAGAAUGGAUGAUUUUAUCCGUUCGGAACAAAACCCAUCCAGUUAGACGUUGUCCUGAAUUCCGACGCUUUUGAAAGUUUUCUCGCAGAAAUAUGUGUGUGUAUUCCAGUUGUAUCAUUAGCAAACCAAGGCUGUAUAUAUUAUAGCACAAAGAAUGUUUGGUUGAUUCGUUCAGGCGAAUCAGGUUUCGUGGUUGACUGCCAAAGUUACGGCUAUUUCUGCCUUUGGCGCAGACAAGAGAUUCUGCACUGUAAGGCCUCGUUUGACAUGGAGGGAUUCGUGAGGAUUUGAGGUGUGGGGAUUGGAGGGGAUUUGGUGAAUCCCUCCCCUCCAUCCAAUCUCCUCAAUUCCCUUUGCAUCCAAUCCCCUGAAAAAACUCGUUUGGUAGGCGGACAGUGGAGGAGGCGUGCACUGCCGCUGCCCUCGAGAUUCUGCUUUCGCAAGGCCCUUGACUAGAGUUCUGAACCGCACGGGUGCGAGGGGAUUGGAAGGGAUCGGAGGGGGUUGGGCUGUGCAAACCCCACCUAUCAAAUGGGCCGACGAGGUUUCGUGGGGCUUCUUUCCCUCCCAGGGUUCAUCCUCUCCAAACCUCUUGAAUCCUCCUGCGCCAAACGAGGCCUAAAGAAAAAGCUGAAAGCUCUCUUUUCUCGUGUGUUUCUGUUCUCUUUCACCUUGUCGGAAAACAGCGUGCACCGGGGACGCUCGAUUCCAUUGCAGGCAUCAGUUCAAUCUAUCAUGCUACAGGGAACCGGCUCUAUCUUCUUUUUCCUUUUCUUUUAGGUCGUGAACGCAAGUCAUUUGAGAUAUUCACAUAGGACUUACAAAAUCGGUACGUUCUGACGGAAUUGGACGCACACGAUGGAAAAUAUAGAUAUUCCUAAGGUAGAUUUAUCAACAUCAGUGUGGAGCUAAAGUGUUUGAUGUUUUGUAUGAAUGGUCUGGUCUGAACAAUAAAGCCGGCCACUCAUGACCUACUUUUGGGCUUUCUUUGUAUUAGUGUAUACUAGCAAAAGGGCCCGUGUAUGGGAGAGAAAAAAAAUAUAAUCUUGAAUGGCCAUGAUCACAUUUUUUUGCAUCACCGAGAUACACUAUCACUAUCAAUUUCGGGAAAUCAUGUACAUUUUUUAAACUUGUGGCAUUUUGCAAAUUCAUGAACACUUUUACAAAUUUUCAAAUAUAUUCUUAAAUCAAGAACAAUUUUUGAAAUUCAUGAACAUAUUUUCAUUUACCGAACAUUUUUGAAAAGCAUGAUCAUUUUGGAAUCAGCGAACAUUUUAUGAAUGAAUAAACUAUUUUGUAAGUCACGAACAGUUUUCCAAAUAUUUGGAUAUUUCCCCAUUCAUGAACAUUUUUUGAAUUGGGGACAUUCAAUUUUAUUAACAUUUUUUUAUACACGAAUUUUUAAAAAGUCAUAAAUGUUUUUUGAUAUCACGAACAUUUGUUUUCAAAAUUUUGAACAUUUUUUGAAUCAGAUUGUUCCAAUAAAAUUGCAACCAUUUUUUGAAUACACAAACAUUUUAUGAUUUAUUAAAACUUCAUUUGAAAAUAAUUUUUUAAUUUUCAAAUAUCUUUUGCAUUCCGAAAUUAAUUAAAGUAGAAAAAAUGAAAAGAAAGAUAAAAGGGAAAUUUUAAAUAGGGGCCACUCGGACAUAGGCCGGCCCAAAUGGGCGGCCGCGCCUUCUCCCAACCUGCAGAGCCCAGUAUAGGAGGUCCCUACUACAUGGGCCAGUCCAGACAGGGAUACCCCUGUGUGAAACAUUUUUAUCACUUAUACGUGAUAUUUGUGGGUGAUUUCUAUGACGUACCAUCAGAAGAAAUAGCCCCUUUCUUAUUACUAGCAAAAAGGUCCGUGCAUUAUAACGGGAGAAAAAAAAUUAGAAUCUCCAAUGGCCAUGACCAUAUUUUGCUCCAUCACCGAGAUACCCUAUCUCUCUCAAUUUCGUGAAAUCAUGAACACUUUUUGAAAUCACGAACAUGUUUUAAAACUCUUACACAUAUUUGAAAUAGUAAACAUUUUUCAAAUUCAUGAACUUUUGUACAAAUUUUCGGAUAUUUUCUAAAACUAAGAACAUUUUUGGAAUUGAUGAACAUUUUAUAAUAUUUGCAAACAUUUUUAAAAAAAUUUGAACAUCUUUAGAAACAAUUUUCUCUAAUUGACGAACUUUUUUGUGGAAAUUGAUGUAACAAUUUUAGAAAUUUCUGAACAUUUUUUGAAAUACAUGAUUAUUUUUUGAAUCAGUGAACAUUUUUUAAAUGACUAAACUGUUUUGUAAGGCACCAAUAGUUUUUUGAAUUUUUAGGAUAUUUUUCCAUUCAUGAACAUUUUUUGAACUGGCGAUUAAAUUUUCAAUUUCAUUAAUAAUUUUGGAUGCAUAAACUUUUAAGUAAAAUGAGGAACAUUAUUUAAUUCCCAAAAAAAUGUUUUUAUAAUUUUCAACAUUUAUUGUCCAAGCAAUUGGUUUUUACAAAAUGGCGAAUGCAUUUUGAAUCCACAAACAUUUUAUGAUUUACGAAAAUUUUAUUUCAUGGUACUCAUUAUUUUAAUUUUCGAAACCUUUUUGAAAUCCCAAAUUAUUUAUAGUAGAAAAAACGAAAACAGAAAAGAAAAAAGAAAAUAGAAAACCUAAUUCAAAAAACAGGCCAGCCUGAAAUGGGCCGGCCUAAACGGGCGUGCAGCGUCUUUUCCCAGCGUGCAGAGAGCAUUAUAGGAGGUCCCAACUGUAGGGCCGGCCCAGAUGGGGGAAUUCCCCUGUGCGAAACUUCUUUUUAUCACUUAUAUGUCGAGAUGUGUUUGGGCGUUAUCAGAUGAAAAUAUUGUGUCUAAGAUGACGGCGAGCACGGAGCCAAGUGCGAAGAAUUGCCUUUUUGAACUUCAUGAGUCACUAGACCACGCGAGCUUCUCAAGGAUGAUUGUCACAUUAUGGGCUGUGUGGUAUGCAAGGCGCAAGGUGAUUUAUGAAUCUCUUUUUCAAAAUCCACACUAGACAAUUUCCUUUGUAGACUCUUAUCUUCAAGAGCUACACCAGGCUAUCGCUUGUGAACCGAGGUUACAAGGUCAAGCGGCAAGGGAGCAGCAACGACGUUGGAUUCCACCUCCGCCUGGCUCACAUAAGAUAAACGUGGAUGGUGCAUUAUCAAGAAACAGGCGAGUGGGAGUUGCAGCCGCAAUCUGCCGUGAUUCAAAUGGCAACUAUCUUGGCGCGUCAGCGGUGGUCUAUGGGGACGUACGCGACCCGAUUAUCCUGGAGACAUACGCGUGUCGGGAGGCUCUAGCGCUGGCGGAAAAUCUACACGAGCAGAAUAUCAAGGUGGCAUCGGAUUGCCAAGGUGUGGUGCAGGACAUCAAUGAAGGGACAGCUGGCCCCAAUGCGGCUGUUAUACAUGAAAUAACGAACCGUAAAGAUAGUUUUACGUCUUGCUCUUUUGUUUUUGAGCGUAGGAAUUUUAAUUUCGAGGCUCAUAAUCUCGCUAAAUUUGCUUGUAACCUAGAUAUAGGUAGACAUGUUUGGUUGGGUACUCCUUAUGACCCAAGCCGUGUACCUAUGAACAUUUUUAUGAAUCAAUAAAGACAGCGAGAUUUCUCAAAAAAAAAACUUAUAUGUGGCAUUGAACUCGUGAAGCAUGCGCUAUCCCUUCCAGAUGGCCACCAUGUCUGGCUCGGUCAACUAGACAGACUUUCUUUCGUCCCUGUAAACGUUUUGACGAUAUAAAAAAAAGCUUCAGAGUUUGUCUAAAAAAAACUUAUAAGUGGCAUUGGUGGGUAAUAUUUUGCAACUUUAGAGGUAAUUUCCAUGACGUACCACCAGAAGCGCAAUAGCCCCUUUACUAUUAUUAGGUACUCUUUUUUCCUUGUGGAGCUUUGGAAAUGAGAGAAUUUGAAUAUAGUAACUCUCGGAAACUCUUAUUGGACGAGAGAAAUUUAAUAUGUUAUUGGCAUGGCUUCUACCAACUAAAAUAAGAAGUAUUUUAUUGGAUAAACGGACAAUUUCCUUUAAUCGAUGAACAUUUUUUUGAAAAUUGGUGGAACAACUUUUGAAAUUCAUUUUUUUUUGAUUUAACAAACAUUUUUUUAACUUAACAAACAUAUUUUGAAAUACAUGAUUAUUUUUUGAAUCUGUGAACGUUUAUGAAUGAAAAAACUAGUUUGUAAAUCAAGAGCAGUUUUUGAAUUUUUUGGAUAUUUUUCUGUUCAUGAACAUUUUUUGAAUUGGUGAAAUUUUUCUCAAUUUCAUUAACAAAAGUCAGUACACAAACCUUUUUAAAAAUUAAUGAACAUUAUUUUUUACCGAAAAAUAAAAUUGUUUUUUUCAAAAUCGUGAACAUUGUUUGAAUCCACAAACAUUUUAUGAUUUAUGAAACAUUUAUUUCAAAAUACACAUUUUUUUAAUUUUCGAAAUUUUGUGAAAACCAAAUUAUUUAAAGUAGAAAAACAAAAACAGAAAAGAGAAAGGAAUAAUAGAAAACGAAGUUGAAAAAAUAGGCCGACCGAACAUUAGCCGCCCCAAACGGGCACGCUGCAUCUUCUCCCAGCGCGUAGAGCGCAGUAUAGGAGGUUCCUAUUACAUGGGCCGGGCCAAGCGGGAGAUUUCUCUGCGCGACGCCGCAUCAUGCCACCCACAUCCGUGGAGGCCCGAACUUGGCAAGACGCCAACCACGGCAGGAGACUGGGACCAGUCACUCCUGAGCUGAUCCGGCGACUCCCAGGCCCACCCCUGCCACUACGGUGGCACGCGGGUAGCCUACAAGCCCAUCCACGACGAUGCCUGAUUAGAAGGAUACAUGGAUAUACAGAUGGAAAGGCCCUUGUUAUCCCUCAAGCAAUAUAUAUAUAAAGCUUAAUGGGUCCCAAGAAAGCUCGCACAACCGCUUGUGUCAUCCUCAAUCUAUGGCCACUCUAAUUUUUCCGGUUGGACCUUCCCUGUAGUACCACAGCAAGGCUUGCGUGUGUAUAUAUUUCCUUUAACUACCAUGUGCAGGAUGAGGAUUUACUGCACACAAGUGCGGGGGCACUCAGGUCCUGGUGCCAGCUUGUUAUUUUGGCUUCCGAUUUUCAAACUUCUAUAUCUUUUAAACGAAAAAAUCAAUGUAAGUUAUGUUUUCAUAUUCGUGUUUCUCAUGGCCAGCGCUUUCAAAUAAGAACCAUCUUGAAUAGAUUUUGGUGACUUUUGAAAACAAUGUUAAGUUUCAUUAUUUGAAACUUAGUACGAGCGACCGAUAAAAUUUAAUUAUUUUGUGUCUACGACCAACAUAAAAAAUUGCUUAAAAUUACAUCCUUGAAACUUGUUGAAACCGGGUAUUUUUUGAUGUAAAAAGGUAAGUUUCAUUAUUGAAACUUAAAUUUUUUUGAGGGAUUCUUUUUACCAUGCCCUACUUCACAAAUCGCGAGGCAAAUCGAGCAUGCGGCAUGGCCUGGCCGGUGAGUUAUGAAAGAUGGUGCAUUGUAGAUUUCUUUCUCCCAGUCCUGCGAAUGAAAGAUGGUGCAUACAAAAGUCUAUCCUAUAUGCGUACAUGUGCAUGAUCAGAACAUGUUUUUACGUGUGUCUACUAUAAAUCUCGACCAUUUUUAACACAAAUCAUGACCAUUAAAAUACAUGAUUAGUGAAUCAUACUAUCUUAACCUAUGUGAAAUCAUGUGGAGUAAUAUAAUAUAAUAGAUAGAGAGAUCCAUGUUGUAUUAUUUUUUGUUUAGAAAAAAUAUCUGUCAGUACAUAUCUAGAUUUAUGCAACAUUUCAUGGUGGAAAGUUUGUAUUGUUUCAUACUGAACACCAAAGUUUCCCCGUAAAAGAAAAUAAUGCAUAUGCAUAUGCUUUUAUAUUAUUAUUAUUGUUUCAAAUAUAUUCAUAUAUUAUUUUGGAUUGUACAAUCAUAAUUUUUCUUAUCUCUCUUGUUCCACUACAUGCUCCUAGUCAAUGAAUUAUGUUUUUUUUUCAAUAAUGGGCGUUUUUGUUAACUCAAAAUAUAGCAUCAAGUGGAUACAAAACAUAAUGAAACCCGGCCUCUGUAUAACUAAGAUGCACACAGCCAAAAGCAGAAGUCUGACAAAAAUAAGAUAAGAAAAUCGACAUAUCAACAACAAUGAGUCAUAUAGGACCGCUAUGCCUCUGUCGAAGGAGGUGGUGGUGCGAUCCGGAGAUUAUGCUGCCAUCCAUGCUGAGUAAAAACCUCACUGGCCACUUACUCCAACCGUAUACACACCACCAUGAACAACGGUUGGUAUGCAGUUCGGUGUAGCAUACACCAUGUAGGAAGCGAGUGCUUACUCCUAGUUACUGAAUUAUAUACACCAAAUAAACCCAUUUACACGUAGUUAAUGACAAAAAAAAGUUGAUGCUUGCUACGCAGAUGUGUAGUACUCCCUCCGUCCGAGAAUACUUGUCAUCAAAAUGGAUAAAAAGAGAUAUAUUUAGAACUAAAAUACAUCUAGAUACAUCCCCUUUUAUCCAUUUUGAUGACAAGUAUUUCCGGAAGGAGGGAGUAUAAAUUAAGAAGUGCAAGAUAAGAAAAACAUUGCUGGCCCUUGAUUCGUUGUUGACCCUCAGCAUGCCAUCAUCAACUUGUAGUUAAUUACCAUACAAAUUAGCUCUUUCAUAGAGUUGGAGGCUAGCUCCUUUGAUCAGCACGCGCUUAAACACAAAGAACACGUACAUGUUUUCUCUCCGGAGUUCAACUCUUGAUUGGCCAGCAAAAAUGGUCCGACCGGUUAGAGGAAAGGGCAUGUUUGCUAGUACGCCUGGAUGAAAUGCCUUUGAUUAGGGCAUCUCCAACGGCAAUCAGUAAAUUUCCUCCCGCGUUCAUCCACGGGCAGGGGAUCAAUCCGCAGAUGCAUACAGGAAUCGGCCAUCCAACGUUGUCCGCAUAUAUUUCGAACACUUUUUUUAAAAAAAUCGGAUGAAAUUCAUGCAAAUACAGUGGAUUUCAUACAAACCAAACAAAAACGUUUACAUUUUGAACAUAUUUUUUUACUAAAAACUCUACAGCCAGCGCCGGCGACGGCGAAUAUCCACUCCGGCGACGUGGAUACCCUUGACUAGUCUACUGCCGGCCGCAGCGGAUCUCCAAUGUCGUCCCCAUGUCCAGCAGCUGUGAGCCCUAGAGGUAUAUGUUUGAACGCAAAGAGCGGCUCGCCUUCCUACCGCUCAUCGGAGUGGAACAACCAGCUGAUGCUUCUGCUAGUGGGGAAGGGUCCCUACGCUACAUGGAUCAGAGUUGGUUUUGGGUUGGGAACGGCGGUGGCCUGCCAGAGGGCAAGACACCGGCUGUGAACGUUGGUGUCACCUAACCCAAGCGACAGCUUCUCCUCGAUGAUGGCGGCGAGCGCGGACGUGUUGGACACCACCUCGUCGAUGUCCAUGCAGCCCGCUUCUUUCUCUGUAAGCAGGACACAGUUACGCGCGCGGUGACAUCGGAUGAUGCGGUGACGGGCACGUGAGGGGUGGUACGACAUGGUACCGUCAAUGGCAGCCACGAUGCCUGUGCCACCGUGCUCCCUCCCCAGUGCCGACCUGGAGCAACUCGCCACUCCUUGGCUCGUGACCGGCGGGCUUGACGGGCCACCUAGCACUACUAGGAAAAUGCUUAUAGAUAGAAGUUUACCGGUAGCGAGUUUUUUGACCCCACGCCACUAGUAAUUACCAGUAGUGCUGUGUAGAAAACACGCUACUACUAACAUAUAACAGCAGUGUUUGUUUGCUUGGGCCGCGCUACUAUUACAUGGGCCGCAGGGCAGAAUCAAUAGCCCACUUAGCUGUAGCGUUUGUUCUGAAAGGGUGCUACAGCUGGUGGGCUUAGCAGUAGGGUGGUGCUCCAACCAAAGCUACUACUAUAGCUAAAGAAAACCGGCCCGAUCGAGCGCCCCCGCACCCCCCUCCUCUCACAAUCGAUCCCCUCCGCCCGACGACGACGCCGCCGCGGUUAGGGUUCGUCCUCGGCCGCCUCACCCCCGUCGAUGGUGCCGUGCGCCGCCACCACGCGCGGUCGCCUCUCGCCUCCUCCGACGCUCUAGCCCCGUAAGUCCCCCUCUCGAUCUCCUCCUCCCUGCGCGCGCCACAGUAGCUCCUCUCGAUCUCUCGGUUAGGGUUCGUCGUAGGGGCUCCAAUCGAUUUGCCGCGGCAGCUCGCCAUGUUUUGGGAUUUAGGGAUUGCACGGUUGCUCCGCGCUUCGAUGCAUGGCUCCAAUCGAUUUGCCGCGGCGGCUCGCCACUCCCCUUGCUGCCCCUACGCGGCGCUCCGCCCUCUCUGUUAAUUAGUAUCACAUAUGAAUUAAUAGGAUUAGUAUCACAUAUGCAUCUCUAGAUCCUACUGUUAAUUAGUAUCACAUAGGGGAGAGAGUAGAGGAUUUUGUUGCUCAUUGAAACUUAGGAGAGAGUAGAGAGAAGUAGCUAGAGAAGUAGAGGCUUUUAGCACAUAUAAUUGAAACUUGGGUUUCAAUUCUUGGCUGCUGCCCCUGGAGGAGUGGUGGCAGCGGCGGUGCCUAGUGUUCUAGGGUUUAGAGAGGGGGCGUCCAUGUCAUGCCUUUUCCGGAGAGGAGCCACGGGCGGCGUCGGUUGCCGUGUGCCGUUUCGUGAACGCCUCCACACGCUCAAGUUUGUCGAUGAUGGUCGUAGGAUCGGCUCCCCUUCUGAACGCCUCCACAUCGGUCGUUUCGAGAAGGGGUACGUGGGGUGCACCUUCGGUCUACACUUUGCAUCAUUUACGCUCGACCUACUGUAUGAUUGGAUCCUUUUCCUCUCUUUACGUAUUUCCCACUUGUUGCUGACAUGAUUGUUGGUUUGGUUCUACUCCGUGCCUGGCUGGGAGGAGUUUUGGUGGUUUUCAUGUUGGGGUUUGGGUUGGUUGUUUGAUGUGUGCUUAUUGUUACCAGGGUGUUGCCGAUUUGGCAUUGGAUUGGGCUGGCUCAUGUUUGACUUUUUGCUUUGUGGUUGGGUGGUUUCGACUUUUCUGAUGUGAUGUUAUGGAUAUUGCUUCUAUAGGAGUGUAAGUGCUCGGUUCGGGUUGUAUCAAGUGUUUUCCUUGUUGUUUCUCAAAUUAACCCUAAUGAAUAUUGAUGGUCAGAUGGGUUAGUGUUCGGUUUGGUUAACAAAUGUAGAUUUUUUUGAGGUGAUGUUCAUGGCCAAAAAAGUAUAGGCUUGGCCACUAGGUGUUGUUCAUGUGAGAGACAAAGCUACAAGCUCAUGUUCCUAUCAUAGAAAAAUAGUUAAUUUGUAAGUGCUAUACUCAGAAAUCAUCAAGAUUUAGGAUUACUGAUAUGAGAAGGGGGUAGUUUAUUUAGUGUGCUUUGUUGUGAUUAACGAAGAUGAGAUGAGAUCAAAGUAUUAUUAUGUUUUGCCAUAUAUUUGUUUGUUACAUCUCUAGAUUAUUGAGCUACUAGUAUUGUUUAACCUUGUGUUUAGUGCAAAUUUCAUGCUGAUAGCAACGCUUCAUCUGAAGAGUUGGGGACAUUAGUUUACUAGAUUGCUAGCUUUCUUGGUAUGCUUUGUUGGCAAUUUGCUGACAGGAUUCUAACUUUGUUUGAGUCCGCGACAGAAUAAGUUUGACACAGAUUUGAGGUGCGCAUGAAACUCUUGUGUUUUAUCAUACAAUCAAUCUACUUUUGCAAUUUGUUAUUGUUGGACUGAACUUUAUGUUUACUUUUUAGUUGUUGUUUUGCUUGCCAUGUGAACUAUAGCUAUGAAAACUUUAUGUUUACUUUUUAGAUCGUUAAUCCUUUAAUCAUAUUGCUUUAGGGAAAUGGCGCCACCACCACCACCACCAUGUCGACGGUGCAAGUCAAGGUGCGCCAACAGCCUUGCAACUGGCAUGCUGUUUGGCAUCUACUUCGAGUCUAGUUUUCUUCAUGCGGUGGUAAUAAAUUAUAUGAAACUAGUAACUACUAUUUUGUUUUUAGUGUUAUUGGCAUUAAUGCAUUGUGUAUAUAUCAUUUUGCUUUUUGUACACAGAUCGUCCCAUGCAAUGUGAGGUCAGAAUUCAACAAUCUGACUGGAGACUCUGUGACAUUUGAGGCUCCUGGGGGCCCCUACACUAUGGAGAUUGAGAAAGGACGAAAGAUGACGCGGGUGGGAGGAGAUGGAUGGGCCCGUUUCAUCGACAACAUGCGUAUCACCGGUGGUGAGUUGAUCAGCUUCUCCUUCAGAGCUGAACGACCCAAGCUGGCCGUGAUUUAUAUCAACAAAGCAGAAGAUUAUGAGGAUGAUGAGGAUGAUGACGACCCACUCGGUGAUGCCAUCGUAGCUCAAAGAAUGAAGUUGAGCGAGGAGGAGGUGUGCAACCUAUGGGACAUCAUUCCGCCACGUGCUGACUUCGUCGGGGUGCCAUUCGUGACCCGUCUGACAAGUACCAUGGUUGAUCGGCAUAUGAUGGUAUGUUGCAUUUACUGUAGUUUUUAGAGUAAUUUGAUGAUAUGCUUUAUUGUUAUACUUAGUGUAGAGUCCGAUGAUAUAUAUGCAUAGUGAAUCUUAUAUGCUUUAUUAUUAUACUUUAGUGUAGAGUCCGAUCAUAUAUAUGCUUACUGAAUCUUAUAUGCUUAGUGAAUCUUAUAUGCUUUAUUGUUAUACUUAGUGUAGAGUCCGAUGAUAUAUAUGCUUAGUGAAUCUUAUAUGCUUUAUUGUUAUACUUAGUGUAGAGUCCGAUGAUAUAUAUACUUAGUGUAGAGUCCGAUGAUAUAUAUGCUUAGUGUAGAGUCCGAUGAUAUAUAUGCUUCGUGUAGAAUGUGUGAGGCUACUUAUUAGUUGAUAUGUUUUUCUUAUCCAGAAAUUGCCAAAGAGCCUAUCUGAGAGUUAUGGUAUCAAGCCUGAUGAAGAAGGCUCUGCUGGAAUACGCCUUACCGCAAGGGGCUCCGUCGCCACUUCUGCGUACGGCGUGGACACGGACGGUCGCACACACUUCAACUCGGUUCGGUGGAAGAGCUUCCUCGUCGGCAAGAAUCUUCAUGUUGAACAGACAAUCCUAAUUACUAUCAGGAACACCCACCGCCCAUGCUUGAGGAUGAUGGUCGUCAUCGACAUCAUCUAGAACUUCAUAUGCAUGCGUGUGGCUGUUGAACCAUAUAUAUGCUAGUAUGACUACCUAGUAGACUUAUCAACUAUGAUCUAUCCAUGCAUUGUUGACUACUAAAUGAGUUUGUGAGAUUGUGUGGUUAUAUUAAAUGUGGUACUGUCGUUAAUGUUUGUGAGAUGGUUCUGUGAACUUAGUUUAUUUGCACUGGACUUGUCUUGAUUUCCAUGAAUAUUGCACCUGACUCCUUUUUUUAUUUUUUAUUUCUAUUUGCCUAGUUGUAGCGUGGGGAGAAAAUAGGGCGCUACUACUACGUGAUGAUAGUAGUAGCGCUGGUGGAGGAAGCAUCGCUACUAAUAAGUAUUUUAGCUGCAUCGCUUGUUCAGAAAUGCGCUACUGUUAAAUAAUAGCUGUAGCACCUAGCAGUAGCGCGGGUGCCCGCGCUACUGGUAUGUAAAAAACCAGCGCCACUAGUAAGCUUUUCUCUAGUAGUAUAGCCAUUGUUUAUGCCAGACAACUCUUCUUCCUGCUCGUCAGAUGCCAUGGAGAAAACUGUUCAAGGAGGAAAAUGGUGAGUGGAGGUGUGAUGCGGUCUUGCUCGACAUCUGACAUUGUUUAAACAGCUAGGGGACACGAGGAGCCAACCAGUGUUCUGUUUAAUGCCAGCCGGCUCGCGAACGGACAUGUGGCCGGAGUAAUUAUCCUGGCAUAAGCGCGGGUUUAAUGGUGGAAGGCAGGCAGUCUGUAGGAAUGAGGCGAGGAUGUGUGUUUAGCGGGCGUGCAGCGGGGCAGCACCCUCGGCUGGCGUGCCGCUUCCGUUGCGAAGGCAGUGAGAGGCCGCGUCCGCUCUGCAGUGGCAUGAAUGCGGGCAGCUGGCGCGCCACUUCCAUUGCGAAGGCAGCGAGAAGCCGCGUCCGCUCUGCAGCGGCAUGAAUGCUGGCAGCUGGCGCAGAGCGGGAACGCGUGCGGGCGAGGGAGGAGGGGGUUUGGGUGGGCACGGGUGGUCAGAAGCGGUUGUGGGUGUUGUCCGGAUGCCUGCAAAGCCACCAUCCCCAUGUUCGUCUUCGGUUUGUGGGAGAAAGUACGUACGGAUCGCCCUGUGGACCGAUACAAGCCCGCAUUCGAUGGCACAACACGUCCAGACCAUGUGGUCCGAAUGGUUGUAGAUGGUUUAUUUGAGAGUCGGUGUUGGAUAUGCCUUAGAGUUUAUGAUACCAUUGUGUUUUUCUAAUCAUAAAAAAAUACUUAUAAUAAGUUAUAAGGAAAGACACGUAUAUAUGUUAGGUUCACACUCCAGCUUUCCUCUUACAUAUGUUUUUUCUGAUCCGACUGAUUCCAAUAGAGUGAGCCUAGCGUUGUUUUUCUAAAAACUCGAGGGAUAAGGAGACAUGCAUACACAUUGUUUCAAGCAAAUCACAUCCACUCUUUUUAACUCAUUUUUUCUUGUUUUAAUAAUAUAAUAAAUCAUUUUUAAUUUUUAUUUCAAAUAGUUGACGUGUAAUUUAUAUUGUAAUCUAAGGAAAAUGUUUGGAUUUUACUUUGAAAUAUAUUUCAAAUGGCCAUGAUGGAAUCACAUCCAUUUACUUUAUUUUUAUUUGGAUUUGCUUCAAAAGAUAAAUAAUGGGUAGAGGUCAUGUCAACUUUUCUGAGAAGUUUGCUAAUCAAAAUAUAAUUUUUAUCUUAAUACAAUCCAUUAUUUGACUACUCUAUUGAUUUGUAUUUAAAGACAUCUAUUUUUAGCACGCAUGAAAAACAUAACACAUAUCUUUCCACACAUAAUGAACGGUUGUCAUUAGAAUUCAUGCCAUGCCACAGCCUCCCUCUGACCCUGCCAAUAUUGUUGCAGCUGCGCUCGCAAGCCUUUGCGUAGAUGAUCAUUUAUAUGAUUUGUGUAAAACAAAAUAAGAUCUACAAACGAAUAGAAGCUAGAGCGUACCUUGGCGUGCACACACAUUGCAAGCCAUACUAACUUGAUAAGUGUUAAUGACUUGUACAACAUAUACAUCAAUUAAGACAAGUAAAAGCGAUUUGAUGAGUCAUGGUCUAUCAAAGCAGCCACAUUACUAGUCUAAUCCAUCUUAACAGGUCACGCAUGAUUACAAUCUUGUUUGUGUGCAAGUCAAGCCUAUCUAGUUUACACGUAACAACUUGUAGAACAUUACAAAAUUGAUGUUUGCUAAUAACUUCUAGAACACUACAACACUUGACAUGUAAAAGGAAUUUGAUGAGUCAUGGCCUACUAAAGCAAGUUACAUUACUAGUCUUAUCUAUCUUAACAUGCCACACAAGAUUACAAACUAAGUUCUGUGCCAGCCAUGCUUAUCUAGUUUAUGUGUAAAAAUUUGCAAAACAUUACAAACUUAGUUUCAGAAAAGUAGGCAAUCUAGAUUAGUGUUUGAGUUGUAAAGUGAAGAAGAUGAGUCAUGCGUGUUAUCACACCUUUUUGGUGGUGGAAUGAUAGUGCAACAACAAGGAACUUUAAUGACUAGUCCAAGAAUACACUUGUAAGUAGUGCCACCAAACACAACAUACCAAAUUAUGAUUUUGGGAAGCAUCCAAACACUUUACACACAAGCAAAUGCCAAUUGUGAAAGAGAUCAUGCCAUGACAGCUAUAAAUAGGCCCGUAGCAUGAUGAUCAUCCUUCCUCAUCCAUCAUUCUCAUAAGUAGAGUGCAUCAUUAAAGGCAAGCAAGCAGUGGUCAAUACAAAUCCAUCAUGAAGACCUUUCUCAUCCUUGCCCUCGUGGCGACCACCGCCACAACUGCAGUUAGAGUUCCAGUGCCACAAUUGCAGCCACAAAAUCCAUCUCAGCAACAGCCACAAGAGCAAGUUCCAUUGGUACAACAACAACAAUUUCCAGGGCAGCAACAACAAUUUCCACCACAACAGCCAUAUCCGCAGCCGCAACCAUUUCCAUCACAACAACCAUAUCUGCAGCUGCAACCAUUUCCGCAGCCGCAACCAUUUCUGCCACAACUACCAUAUCCGCAGCCGCAAUCAUUUCCACCACAACAACCAUAUCCACAACAGCGACCAAAGUAUCUACAACCACAACAACCAAUUUCGCAGCAACAAGCACAACAACAACAACAACAACAACAACAACAACAACAACAACAACAACAACAACAACAAAUCCUUCAACAAAUUUUGCAACAACAACUGAUUCCAUGCAGGGAUGUUAUCUUGCAACAACACAACAUAGCGCAUGCAAGCUCACAAGUUUUGCAACAAAGUACUUACCAGCUAUUGCAACAAUUGUGUUGUCAACAACUGUUGCAGAUCCCUGAGCAGUCGAGGUGCCAAGCCAUACAUAAUGUUGUUCAUGCUAUUAUUAUGCAUCAACAAGAACAACAACAACAGUUGCAACAACAACAACAACAGCAACUGCAACAACAACAACAACAACAACAACAACAACAACAACAACAACAACCGUCAAGCCAGGUCUCCUUCCAACAGCCUCAGCAGCAAUAUCCAUCAAGCCAGGUCUCCUUCCAGCCAUCUUAGCUAAACCCACAAGCUCAGGGCUCCGUCCAACCUCAACAACUGCCCCAGUUCGCGGAAAUAAGGAACCUAGCGCUACAGACGCUACCUGCAAUGUGCAAUGUCUACAUCCCUCCACAUUGCUCGACCACCAUUGCGCCAUUUGGCAUCUUUGGUACCAACUGAGAAGAGAAGAACUCUAGUACUAGAUAUAUGAAACACCGUUUUCUUAGUCCAUGAUUUGGUCGUUGUAGCAGUGAAAAAAUAAAGUGACAUGCACUAUCAUGUAAGAACCCGAACUAUACUAGUUCAAACUUGGGAAUAAAAGACAAACACAUGUCUUGUCUACAUAUGAUUGUUUGUUUGAGUUCCAUUCAUGUGCCAUCACAAGUUCACCCCUAAUUAUAUAUAUUAUGCAUUAAGUAGAUAUUUAUGUUGCAUUAAUCUAAAGAUAAAAAAAUGAGUCUGAAACUUGAAUUAAAUUGAAGUAUUUUCUAGGACUUCCAAAUGGAGUAUUAUUAAAGUAGUAAGGACAAUCCACAUCCUUGGCUUGCCCUUUAUCAAUUAUUUCCAGAGAAGCAUUCAAUUCAUCAAUCAAUUACAUCGAUUUUUGUGGCUGGUACUUCUCCUCAACAUGAGUAUAUUCAUUGCGGCUACUCCAAAUCGGCAUGAAUGAGGUACUGGUGCUCUGGAGCAGUGCUAGCUGACUGCUUCUCAUGUGAAGGGACGCAGGCACAGGAGAGGUGUUCCGGGUGGGCCAGGGGAGUAAGAAGUGGCCAUGGCAGUGGUUCGGACGCUUGCAAAGUCCCGUAGUUUGUAUAUGGUUUACGGGAAAAUGCACAUUUGGACCGGCCUGCGGGCCGAUAUAGGACCGUAUUGGAUGGAGAAACAUGUCCUCAUCGUUGUGAGCGGUUUGAGGGUUAGGUUUGGAGAUAGCCCUUACUUGGCCCCUCGUUCUGAAAACACGUUUGACGAUAGUUUUGUCUCGGUUCAAAUAUAUGUCAAGUUUGACAAAGUUCAUAGGAAUUUUUUUAUCAUAUCUACAGUACCAUACAAAUACACCGUAGACAAAAAACAUAUUUCACACUGCACCAUGAAUUGGUCAGGUAAAUGUUGGGUAUGGAGACUCUAUUCUCUUUUGGCAUGAGUUGCCUCGGUCUCAAAAGUUUCAUGAACUGUUCUCUUUUGCCACUAAGAAAAAGCUCUCUUUGCCUGAUUUUAUUCAUAGUGACCAUAUGGCUCUCUAUUUUCAUAGGCAUAUCACCCUGCAAGCUCUUGCUCAAUUCAUUGACAUCAUUGACUUAGUUCAUUAAAAAAAUUCAAUAAAGGGAAUAAAAUAAUAUCACGAAGAUACCAAUUACACCCGUCCUCUCUAUCAACAAGAUAUGCAAAGACAUCAAGGAUACGCACAGCCAGAAAAAAUAUAGAAGAAAAAAGACUGCUCCAAGGUGAUAAAUCACUAGCAUCAGUAGCACUCUAAGCACACCGAAGACAACGUCCAGAUUACAAAAAAGGUUCUCCAAAAGCAACCCCCCAAGAAGGAAACAAUGCACAAGCGUUGUCAUUAUCCGAUUGGAGAUCGUGGGUUUUCACCCUAGAAAAAUUCGAAGCUCACCCAAAAACAUUGCCUUCAACUAGGCCAUUGCCAGGUACAACCAAUAAAGGCUAGACCUUAGAUUUUUACCCUAGGAAUUGAGACUUAGUACUCGAGGAGUACAACCAAAAAUGCAGUCCUCCAGUGAUGGCGCUCCCGCUUGCCGAGCUCGCUGUUUUGGGUCACCAAACACCUGGCGCACAUUCUUUCUGGCAUCAAUUACACCCUUCCACCAAAGCUUCAAGACCUCCAAUCGCAGCCGCCAUGACUUUAUCCACCUCUAUCAAUGCCUUGAGAAUCUUCACUUGGACAUGUCCCAUGACACCAAUAAGAAAUCAAAGCUUCUUGCCGCGCCCUCUUGAGGUCGUGUUGGCUGAUAAUAUGGGCGUGCGCUACUGGAGCCUUUCCGAUCUAGAUAUCCAGGGUCGACAUACACCAAUCCAUAUAGAUCUCCGAUGGGAAAGACCGAAACUCGUCAACGACUAGAUCUAAGAUGUCGACAUCCAGCAGAAAGACGACUUGGCGGAAGAAUAGUACUAGGGCCAAUCCACCAUUAUUAGGCCAAACCUAACAUCCCCACAUGCCGCCCUCCUCUUGAUGUAGACCUACAGACAAAUAUCAGCGACGCCGCAUCGUGCCACCUGCAUCUAUUGAGGCCCGAACUUGGCAAGAUGCCAACCAUGGCAGGAGACUGGGACUAGCCACUCCUGGGCACUGAUCCGGCAAUUCCCUGGCCCACCCCUGCCACUACGGCGACACCGCGGGUAGCCUACAAGCCCAUCCACGACAAUGCCUGAUUAGAAGGAUACAUGGAUAUACAGAUGGAAAGACCCUUGUUAUUGCUCAAGCAAUAUAUAUAUAAAGCUUAAUGGGGCCUAAGAAAGCUCGCACAAUUUUACGGUGGCUAUGGAAAUGUAUUGCCAAACUGAGACAUAAGAUUUUCGUUUGGCAUCCAGACCGUUUGUGUCAUUCUUAAUUUAUGGUCACUCUAAUUUUUCCGGCUGGGCCUUCCCUGUGGUACCGCAGCAAGGCAUGCGUGUGUAUACGUUUCCUUUAAGUACCAUGUGCAGGAUGAUGAUUUACUGCACGCAUGUGCGGGGGCACUCAUGUCCUGGUGCCGGGUUUUUAUUUUGGCUUCCGAUUUUCAAACUUCUAUAUCUUCUAAGCCAAAAAUUCAAUUUAAGUUAUGUAUUCAUAUUCGUGUUUUUCGCGGCCAGCGCUUUCAAAUAAGAUCCAUUUUGAAUACAUUUUGGCGACUUUUUGAAACACUGUUAAGUUUCAUUGUUUGAAACUUAGUACGAGCGACCAAUAAAAUUCAAUUAUUUUGUGUCUACGACCAACAGAGAAAUUUUCUUAAAAUUACAUCUUUGAAACUUGUUGAAACCGGGCAUUUUUUGAUGCAAAAAGGUAAGUUUCAUCAUUGAAACUUUAAGGUUUUUGAGGGAUUUUUUUCCUUGUGGAGCUUUGGAAAUGAGAGAAUUUGAUAAAGUAAAUCUCGGAAACUCUUAUUGGACGAGAGAGAUUUAAUAUGAUAUUGGCAUGGAUUCUACCAACUAAACGAAGAAGUAUUUGAUUUGGUAAACAGACAAUUUCCUUUAAUCGAUGAACAUUUUAGGAAAAUUGGUGGAACAACUUUUGAAAUUCAAAAAAAAAAUUCUUGAUUUAACGAACAUUUUUUAACUUAACGAACAUUUUUAAAAAAUACAUGAUCAUUUUUUUGAAUCUGUGAUCGUUUUAUGAAUGAAUAAACUAGUUUGUAAGUCAUGAACAGUUUUUAAAAUUUUAGGGUAUUUUUCCAUUCAUGAACAGUUUUUGAAUUGCUGAAAUUUUGUUCAAUUUCAUUAACAAUUUUUAGUACACAAACCUUUUUAAAAAAUCAUGGACAUUAACUAGUACGUGAAAUCCCUAAUUAUUUAAAGUAGAAAAAAUAGAAAAGAGAAAGUAAUGGAAAAUGAAGUUAAAAAAAUAGGCCGACCGAACAUGGGCCGGCCCAAACGGGCGCGUUGCGUCUUCUCCCAGCGUGUAGAGCGCAGCAUACGUGGUCCCUACUGCAUGGGUCGGCCCAAGCGGAAGAUUUGUCUGUGUGAAACUUUUUUUAUCACGUACUGGUGGCAUUGGUGCAUAAUGCAUGUUUGCAUCUUUAGGGGCACUUUUCCUGACGUACCGCUAGAAGCAAUAGCCAUUUUAUUAUUAGUUAGAGAUUAGGUAUAGAUAUGAACCACCGGUAAAUUAGGUAGACGAUAGAUGACGACUCUAAAGAAGAUCACAUGUGUCAAGCUUGGAAUAGGCUAACAGAUGUUAGGGCAUCUCAAAUGUAAACCCAUAAAACAGACAUCACAAAUGUCCUUGAACACAAAACGGGCAUGAUAGGGGAGGGAGCCAUCAAACCUUGAUGGCUGCUACCCAUAUUUCUCUCACAUUUCUCCAGCAUUUCAUCGAACAGUUGAUGUGCAGUAGUAGGACACGUCUGGUUCACGCAGCUGGCGCGUCAUGGGAGUUCUGCCUCAUCGGGCAUGACUGAUGUGUCGCAGGAUGACGGGUGUGGUCUCGGGCGCGUCAGUAGCGGCCACGACGACAAGAGGAGGCCGCGCCAUGGGCGGAGCUAGCCACGGGAGCCAGCAUUGGCGCGGCACUAGACACAGCCAGCCCACGACAUGCCGGGCACGGUGGCAAGAGAGCUUCAUGAGGCCAGAGCCGAGCUAGGCCUUGAGUUGUUCGCCGAGCAGCCAUGGAGGGCAUGGGGAGAUGAGAUGCACAGGGAGAGAGGAGUGGAGAGAUAGGAGGAGGCGGAGAUGAGGAUGGAGUGCUCGCUGGCAGCUGCCCUCAUGGUCGUCCGUAGCCGGCGUAAGUGCUCUCCGUUUAGUGUUAUUUGUACAGAGAGGGAGGGAGUGGAGAUGUGGUGUUUCUUUUGGUUAGCUGGAUGUUCAGACUCUCGCAUAGUCCCUCAAAUUUGUUCCUGUGAUAUCGAAAUUUGAACAUGUGGGCUGGUCCGCGGAUAUUUAGAGGUCCCCACUUGAAGAAUAAAAGUGGUCUAGACACUACUAUCUGACAUUUUGCCCUUAGUAGUUGGUGGAUAUCGAUGUGCUGUCCCUCCAACCUAUAUUAAAAGAUUCAUUCACCAUCCGAUCCCUUCUACAAAACACGUCAUUGCUUUCCAUGAUUCUCUUUUGUCAAUGUGUGAAAUAUUAGAAUUUGAGUUGUUUGGUGAAAUGUACGAGCUGACCGCCAAAAGGACAGAUUUUUACUUUUAUUUUCUACUAUUUUCUUUAUUUUAUAGUUUUUGGCAAGUGCAUUUUCAUAUGGUCAAUGUCUAGACCAUUUGAACAGUUUAUUUUGAAUUUGUUUCUUCCAUUCUAGCUAAAUAUAAGAAUUUACAAUGUUCGUUUUAAUUCUUUGGAAUAAACAUUUAUUACUAGUAUUAAAAAGACUAAAUUAGCUGCCGCAUUUUUAUUCCCUAAUCANNNNNNNNNNNNNNNNNNNNNNNNNNNNNNNNNNNNNNNNNNNNNNNNNNNNNNNNNNNNNNNNNNNNNNNNNNNNNNNNNNNNNNNNNNNNNNNNNNNNNNNNNNNNNNNNNNNNNNNNNNNNNNNNNNNNNNNNNNNNNNNNNNNNNNNNNNNNNNNNNNNNNNNNNNNNNNNNNNNNNNNNNNNNNNNNNNNNNNNNNNNNNNNNNNNNNNNNNNNNNNNNNNNNNNNNNNNNNNNNNNNNNNNNNNNNNNNNNNNNNNNNNNNNNNNNNNNNNNNNNNNNNNNNNNNNNNNNNNNNNNNNNNNNNNNNNNNNNNNNNNNNNNNNNNNNNNNNNNNNNNNNNNNNNNNNNNNNNNNNNNNNNNNNNNNNNNNNNNNNNNNNNNNNNNNNNNNNNNNNNNNNNNNNNNNNNNNNNNNNNNNNNNNNNNNNNNNNNNNNNNNNNNNNNNNNNNNNNNNNNNNNNNNNNNNNNNNNNNNNNNNNNNNNNNNNNNNNNNNNNNNNNNNNNNNNNNNNNNNNNNNNNNNNNNNNNNNNNNNNNNNNNNNNNNNNNNNNNNNNNNNNNNNNNNNNNNNNNNNNNNNNNNNNNNNNNNNNNNNNNNNNNNNNNNNNNNNNNNNNNNNNNNNNNNNNNNNNNNNNNNNNNNNAUUCAUAUUUAAAAGGUAUGAUAGAACAAAAGUUAUUUUUUCAAUCAAGUCUUGAAAUUGAAUAAAUUUAUAAUGUAUAUACAUAUAUUUCCAUACAUUUGUAUGUGUUUAUCGAGAUUUUAUUGUCAUUAAAUAUCAUGUUAGGGAUUUCAAAAGUGUGCUUUCUAACAUGUAUCUUAGUUGUAGUUUCUAGUGCAAUACUAUGUAAUCAUAUUUACAGAAAUUUCUAGAGCAUGAAAUAUAUGUCUUGCAAGUUGCAUUCCGUAAUAAGUUGGCAUCAUGACCAUGCUAUUGGUUACAAUUAUUUUUUAUUUUAGAUGAUAACAAAUAACAAAAAAAUUUAUAAAAUAUAAGGGUGAAUCAUGCAAGUGAGGAGAACACACCAAUGAUGAAAGACAUUGCAUUUCCACGUGGAAUUCAUAUUGACAAACCUUAAGAAUCACAUGCAUUUGUAUGUUUUUACAAAUUAUGCCCCAUUUGCGGGACUCAAAUACAAGUCAGUUCAGGGUGUGGAGCUACGAGAAAACGUAGCAUUCAAGACUAGAUGAGCCACCGACUUAAAAAACAAAUAAGUAAAAAUGGAGCAAAUAGGAGUAGCUGGAAAAUUAUUUGAAAGAUUAAGAGUAGCUGGAAAGUUAUUUGAAGGAAAUGGAGCAAAUAGCUAUGCAAGAAGUGCUCUCGCUAGAAAAUAAAUGUUGCAUUAGAUGAUCGACUUGAAAACACACAUAUGAAGUGGUGGAGCCAGAAUUUUCACAAUGGGUAUGUGAUACAUCUCCAACGUAUCUAUAAUUUUUAAUUGUUUCAUGCUAUUAUAUUAUCCAUCUUGGAUGUUUUAUAUGCAUGUAUAUGCUAUUUUAUAUGAUUUUUGGGACUAACCUAUUAACCUAGAGCCCAGUGCCAGUUUUUGUUUUUUCCUUGUUUUUGAGUUUUACACAAAAGGAAUACCAAACGGAGUCCAAUUGACCUGAAAAUUGACGGAGAUUGUUUUUAGUGUUAUUGGCAUAAUGCAUCGUGUAUAUAUCAUUUUGCUUUUUGUACACAGAUCGUCCCAUGCAAUGUGAGGUCAGAAUUCAACAAUCUGACUGGAGACUCUGUGACAUUUGAGGCUCCUGGGGGCCCCUACACUAUGGAUAUCGAGAAAGGACGAAAGAUGACGCGGGUGGGAGGAGAUGGAUGGGCCCGUUUCAUCGACAACAUGCGUAUCACCGGUGGUGAGUUGAUCAAGCUGGCCGUGAUUUAUAUCAACAAAGCAUAAGAUUAUGAGGAUGAUGAGGAUGAUGAUGACCCACUCGGUGAUGCCAUCAUAGCUCAAAGAAUGAAGUUGAGCGAGGAGGAGGUGUGCAACCUAUGGGACAUCAUUCCGCCACGUGCUGACUUCGUCGGGGUGCCAUUCGUGACCCGUCUGACAAGUACCAUGGUUGAUCGGCAUAUGAUGGUAUGUUGCAUUUACUGUAGUUUUUACAGUAAUUUGAUGAUAUGCUUUAUUGUUAUACUUAGUGAAGAGUCCGAUGAUAUAUAUGCAUAGUGAAUCUUAUAUGCUUUAUUGUUAUACUCUAGUGUAGAGUCCGAUCAUAUAUAUGCUUACUGAAUCUUAUAUGCUUAGUGAAUCUUAUAUGCUUUAUUGUUAUACUUAGUGUAGAGUCCGAUGAUAUAUAUGCUUACUGAAUCUUAUAUGCUUAGUGCAUCUUAUAUUCUUAGUGCAUCUUAUAUGCUUUAUUGUUAUACUUAGUGUAGAGUCCGAUGAUAUAUAUACUUAGUGUAGAGUCCGAUGAUAUAUAUGCUUAGUGUAGAGUCCGGUGAUAUAUAUGCUUCGUGUAGAAUGUGUGAGGCUACUUAUUAGUUGAUACGUUUUUCUUAUUCAGAAAUUGCCAAAGAGCCUAUCUGAGAGUUGUGGUAUCAAGCCUGAUGAAGAAGGCUCUGCUGGAAUACGCCUUACCGCAAGGGGCUCCGUCGCCACUUGUGCAUAUGGCGAGGACACGGACGGUCGCACACACUUCAACUCGGUUGGGUGGAAGAGCUUCCUCAUCGGCAAGAAUCUUCAUGUUGAACAGACAAUCCUAAUUACUAUCAGGAAUACCCACCGCCCAGGCUUGAGGAUGAUGGUCGUCAUCGACAUCAUCUAGAACUUCAUAUGCAUGCGUGUGGCUGUUGAACCAUAUAUAUUUGCUAGUAUGACUACCUAGUAGACUUAUCAACUAUGAUCUAUCCAUGCAUUGUUGACUACUAUAUGAGUUUGUGAGAUUGUGUGGUUAUAUUAAAUGUGGUACUGUCAUUAAUGUUUGUGAGAUGGUUCUGUGAACUUAGUUUAUUUGCACUGGACUUGUCUUGAUCUCCAUGAACAUUGCACCUGACUGCUUUUUUUUAUUUUUUAUUUCUGUUUGCCUAGUUAUAGCGUGGGGAGAAAAUAGGGCGCUACUACUACGUGAUGAUAGUAGUAGCGCUGGUGGAGGAAGCAUCGCUACUAAUAAGUAUUUAAGCUGUAGCGCUUGUUCAGAAACGCGCUACUAUUGAAUAAUAGCUGUAGCGCCCUAGCAGUAGCGCGGGUGCCCGCGCUACUAGUAUGUAAAAAACCAGCACCACUAGUAAGCUUUUCUCUAGUAGUAUAGCCAUUGUUUAUGCCAGACAACUCUUCUUCCUGCUCGUCAGAUGCCAUGGAGAAAACUGUUCAAGGAGGAAAAUGGUGAGAAGAGGUCUGAUGCGGUCUUGCUCGACAUCUGACAUUGUUUAAACAGCGAGGGGACACGAGGAGCCAACCGGCGUUCUGUUUAAUGCCAGCCGGCUCGCGAACGGACAUGUGGCCGGAGUAAUUAUCCUGGCAUAAGCGCGGGUUUAAUGGUGGAAGGCGGGCAGUCUAUAGGAAUGAGGCGAGGAUGUGUGUUUAGCGGGCGUGCAGCGGGGCAGCACCCUUGGCUGGCGCGCCGCUUCCAUUGCGAAGGCAGUGAGAGGCCGCGUCCGCUCUGCAGUGGCAUGAAUACGGGCAGCUGGCGCGCCGCUUCCAUUGCGAAGGCAGUGAGAGGCCGCGUCCGCUCUGCAGCGGCAUGAAUGCGGGCAGCUGGCGCAGAGCGGGAACGCGUGCGGGCGAGGGAGGAGGGGGUUUGGGUGGGCACGGGUGGUCAGAAGCGGUUGUGGGUGUUGUCCGGACGCCUGCAAAGCCACCCUCCCCCAUGUUCGUCUCCGGUUUGCGGGAUAAAGUAUAUACGGAUCGCCCUGUGGACCGAUACAAGCCCGCAUUGGAUGGCACAACACGUCCAGACCAUGUGGUCCAGAUGGUUGUAGAUGGUUUAUUUGAGGGUCGGUGUUGGAUAUGCCUUAGAGUUUAUGAAUCCAUUGUGGUUUUCUAAUCAUAAAAAACACUUAUAAUAAGUUAUAAGGAAAGACACGUAUAUAUGUUAGGUUCACACUCCAGCUUUCCUCUUACAUAUGUUUUUUUCUGGUCCGACUGAUUCCAAUAGAGUGAGCCUAGCGUUGUUUUUCUAAAAACUCGAGGGAUAAGGAGACAUGCAUACACAUUGUUUCAAGCAAAUCACAUCCACUCUUUUUAACUCAUUUUUUCUUGUUUUAAUAAUAUAAUAAAUCAUUUUUAAUUUUUAUUUCAAAUAGUUGACGUGUAAUUUAUAUUGUAAUCUAAGGAAAAUGUUUGGAUUUUACUUUGAAAUAUAUUUCAAAUGGCCAUGAUGGAAUCACAUCCAUUUACUUUAUUAUUAUUUGGAUUUGAUUCAGAAGAUAAAUAAUGGGUAGAGGUCAUGUCUACUUUUCUGAGAAGUUUGCUAAUCAAAAUAUAAUUUUUAUCNNNNNNNNNNNNNNNNNNNNNNNNNNNNNNNNNNNNNNNNNNNNNNNNNNNNNNNNNNNNNNNNNNNNNNNNNNNNNNNNNNNNNNNNNNNNNNNNNNNNNNNNNNNNNNNNNNNNNNNNNNNNNNNNNNNNNNNNNNNNNNNNNNNNNNNNNNNNNNNNNNNNNNNNNNNNNNNNNNNNNNNNNNNNNNNNNNNNNNNNNNNNNNNNNNNNNNNNNNNNNNNNNNNNNNNNNNNNNNNNNNNNNNNNNNNNNNNNNNNNNNNNNNNNNNNNNNNNNNNNNNNNNNNNNNNNNNNNNNNNNNNNNNNNNNNNNNNNNNNNNNNNNNNNNNNNNNNNNNNNNNNNNNNNNNNNNNNNNNNNNNNNNNNNNNNNNNNNNNNNNNNNNNNNNNNNNNNNNNNNNNNNNNNNNNNNNNNNNNNNNNNNNNNNNNNNNNNNNNNNNNNNNNNNNNNNNNNNNNNNNNNNNNNNNNNNNNNNNNNNNNNNNNNNNNNNNNNNNNNNNNNNNNNNNNNNNNNNNNNNNNNNNNNNNNNNNNNNNNNNNNNNNNNNNNNNNNNNNNNNNNNNNNNNNNNNNNNNNNNNNNNNNNNNNNNNNNNNNNNNNNNUAAUACAAUCCAUUAUUUGACUACUCUAUUUAUUUGUAUUUAAAAACAUCUAUUUUUAGCACGCAUGAAAAACAUAACACAUAUCUUUCCACACAUAAUGAACGGUUGUCAUUAGAAUUCAUGCCAUGCCACAGCCUCCCUCUGACCCUGCCAAUAUUGUUGCAGCUGCGCUCGCAAGCCUUGGCGUAGAUGAUCAUUUAUAUGAUUUGUGUAAAACAAAAUAAGGUCUACAAACGAAUAGAAGCUAGAGUAUACCUUGGCGUGCACACACAUUGCAAGCCAUACUAACUUGAUAAGUGUUAAUGACUUGUACAACAUAUACAACACUUAAGACAAGUAAAAGCAAUUUGAUGAGUCAUGGUCUAUCAAAGCAAGCCACAUUACUAGUCUAAUCCAUCUUAACAGGUCACGCAUGAUUACAAUCUUGUUUAUGUGCAAGUCAAGCCUAUCUAGUUUACACGUAACAACUUGUAGAACAUUACAAAAUUGAUGUUUGCUAAUAACUUCUAGAACACUACAACACUUGACAUGUAAAAGGAAUUUGAUGAGUCAUGGCCUACUAAAGCAAGUUACAUUACUAGUCUUAUCUAUCUUAACAUGCCACACAAGAUUACAAACUAAGUUCUGUGCCAGCCAUGCUUAUCUAGUUUAUGUGUAAAAAUUUGCAAAACAUUACAAACUUAGUUUCAGAAAAGUAGGCAAUCUAGAUUAGUGUUUGAGUUGUAAAGUGAACAAGAUGAGUCAUGCAUGUUAUCACACCUUUUUGGUGGUGGAAUGAUAGUGCAACAACAAGGAACUUUAAUGACCAGUCCAAGAAUACACUUGUAAGUAGUGCCACCAAACACAACAUACCAAAUUAUGAUUUUGGGAAGCAUCCAAACACUUUACACACAAGCAAAUGCCAAUUGUGAAAGAGAUCAUGCCAUGACAGCUAUAAAUAGGCCCGUANNNNNNNNNNNNNNNNNNNNNNNNNNNNNNNNNNNNNNNNNNNNNNNNNNNNNNNNNNNNNNNNNNNNNNNNNNNNNNNNNNNNNNNNNNNNNNNNNNNNNNNNNNNNNNNNNNNNNNNNNNNNNNNNNNNNNNNNNNNNNNNNNNNNNNNNNNNNNNNNNNNNNNNNNNNNNNNNNNNNNNNNNNNNNNNNNNNNNNNNNNNNNNNNNNNNNNNNNNNNNNNNNNNNNNNNNNNNNNNNNNNNNNNNNNNNNNNNNNNNNNNNNNNNNNNNNNNNNNNNNNNNNNNNNNNNNNNNNNNNNNNNNNNNNNNNNNNNNNNNNNNNNNNNNNNNNNNNNNNNNNNNNNNNNNNNNNNNNNNNNNNNNNNNNNNNNNNNNNNNNNNNNNNNNNNNNNNNNNNNNNNNNNNNNNNNNNNNNNNNNNNNNNNNNNNNNNNNNNNNNNNNNNNNNNNNNNNNNNNNNNNNNNNNNNNNNNNNNNNNNNNNNNNNNNNNNNNNNNNNNNNNNNNNNNNNNNNNNNNNNNNNNNNNNNNNNNNNNNNNNNNNNNNNNNNNNNGUCCAACCUCAACAACUGCCCCAGUUCGCGGAAAUAAGGAACCUAGCGCUACAGACGCUACCUGCAAUGUGCAAUGUCUACAUCCCUCCACAUUGCUCGACCACCAUUGCGCCAUUUGGCAUCUUUGGUACCAACUGAGAAGAGAAGAACUCUAGUACUAGAUAUAUGAAACACCGUUUUCUUAGUCCAUGGUUUGGUCGUUGUAGCAGUGAAAAAAUAAAGUGACAUGCACUAUCAUGUAAGAACCCGAACUAUACUAGUUCAAACUUGGGAAUAAAAGACAAACACAUGUCUUGUCUACAUAUGAUUGUUUGUUUGAGUUCCAUUCAUGUGCCAUCACAAGUUCACCCCUAAUUAUAUAUAUUAUGCAUUAAGUAGAUAUUUAUGUUGCAUUAAUCUAAAGAUAAAAAAAUGAGUCUGAAACUUGAAUUAAAUUGAAGUAUUUUCUAGGACUUCCAAAUGGAGUAUUAUUAAAGUAGUAAGGACAAUCCACAUCCUUGGCUUGCCCUUUAUCAAUUAUUUCCAGAGAAGCAUUCAAUUCAUCAAUCAAUUACAUCGAUUUUUGUGGCUGGUACUUCUCCUCAACAUGAGUAUAUUCAUUGCGGCUACUCCAAAUCGGCAUGAAUGAGGUACUGGUGCUCUGGAGCAGUGCUAGCUGACUGCUUCUCAUGUGAAGGGACGCAGGUGCAGGAGAGGUGUUCCGGGUGGGCCAGGGGAGUAAGAAGUGGCCAUGGCAGUGGUUCGGACGCUUGCAAAGUCCCGUAGUUUGUAUAUGGUUUAUGGGAAAAUGCACAUUUGGACUGGCCCGCGGGCCGAUAUAGGACCGUAUUGGAUGGAGAAACAUGUCCUCAUCGUUGCGAGCGGUUUGAGGGUUAGGUUUGGAGAUAGCCCUUACUUGGCCCCUCAUUCUGAAAACAUGUUUGACGAUAGUUUUGUCUCGGUUCAAAUAUAUGUCAAGUUUAACAAAGUUCAUAGGAAUUUUUUUAUCAUAUCUACAGUACCAUACAAAUACACCGUAGACAAAAAACAUAUUUCACACUGCACCAUGAAUUGGUCAGGUAAAUGUUGGGUAUGGAGACUCUAUUCUCUUUUGGCAUGAGUUGCCUCGGUUCCAAAAGUUUCAUGAACUGUUCUCUUUUGCCACUAAGGAAAAGCUCUCUUUGCCUGAUUUUAUUCAUAGUGACCAUAUGGCUCUCUAUUUUCAUAGGCAUAUCACCCUGCAAGCUCUUGCUCAAUUCAUUGACAUCAUUGACUUAGUUCAUCGAAAAAAUUCAAUAAAGGGAAUAAAAUAAUAUCACGAAGAUACCAAUUACACCCGUCCUCUGUCACACCCUGCAUUUUGUAACAUUUCAUUUUCAAUAUUAAAGCAUGAAAAUUUGGACCAACAAAAACUUUUUGCAUUAUUUGGCUUUUAUUUGGAGUUGGUUUCCUCUCUGUGUUUCUUUCAAGUGCUUCUUGAAGUCAACUACUCUACCCUCUAAAUUCCAUCUCCUUACCCCAAGCUCCUGACCAAUGACCAUGCCAUGUGAAUAGUGCUAUAUAGAAUUUUCUUACAAAAAUAAUUUGGCCAGAAAGUAUUUUCUAAAAUUAGUUUUCCAAAAACCCCUGAAUUGAGGUUUGCACUGCAAGUACUUGAUUAAGGGCAGUAAAAAUCUUUCCAAAAAUACAUUUGACUCCUAUUAGAUAUAGGAUACCCAGAAACCACAAAAAUAUAAUUUUAAAAGUUACUGUUCUAUUUUAUUUAAAGGAUUUUUCUUAAGGCCAGAAAUGGUCUUUAAUAGGAAAAAAUUANNNNNNNNNNNNNNNNNNNNNNNNNNNNNNNNNNNNNNNNNNNNNNNNNNNNNNNNNNNNNNNNNNNNNNNNNNNNNNNNNNNNNNNNNNNNNNNNNNNNACUGGUCGGAGACCGGAGAAGGACUUGUCUUUGGGCCUGAUAUCCUUCGUGAAGCAGAAGAGCAAGUCCAGCUUGUCAGAGAGCGUCUGAAGUCUGCCAAGUCAAGGCAGAAGAGCUAUGCGGACUCACGUCGCAGAGACAUAAACUUCCGAGUUGGAGACCAUGUCUAUCUCCGGGUCACCCCUCUCAAAGGAGCCCAGCGCUUUCAUGUCAAGGGAAAGCUCGCUCCGAGAUACAUUGGGCCCUUCAAGAUCACUGAGCGACGAGGGGAGGUGGCUUACCAGUUGGAACUUCCACCUGAACUUUCUGAUGUGCACAACGUGUUCCACGUGUCACAACUCCGGAAGUGUCUCCAAGUUCCAGACAAGCCCGACCUCUACAAGGACGUCAAUCAUCAAGCCAUUGAUCUUCAACCUGAUUUGACUUAUCGUGAGCGGCCCAUCUGCAUUCUGGAUGAGGCUGAACGAUGCACUCGAAGCCGCACCAUCAAGUACUUCAAAGUCCAAUGGAGCAAUCACACCGAAGCAGAAGCAACUUGGGAGCGUGAAGACUACCUUAGAUCCGAAUUUCCGUAUCUCUUUUAAGCCUAGUUUACGAAUCUCGGGGACGAGAUUCUUGUAAGGGGGGUAGGUCUGUCACACCCUGCAUUUUGUAACAUUUCAUUUUCAAUAUUAAAGCAUGAAAAUUUGGACCAACAAAAACUUUUUGCACUAUUUGGCUUUUAUUUGGAGUUGGUUUCCUCUCUGUGUUUCUUUCAAGUGCUUCUUGAAGUCAACUACUCUACCCUCUAAAUUCCAUCUCCUUACCCCAAGCUCCUGACCAAUGACCAUGCCAUGUGAAUAGUGCUAUAUAGAAUUUUCUUACAAAAAUAAUUUGGCCAGAAAGUAUUUUCUAAAAUUAGUUUUCCAAAAACCCCUGAAUUGAGGUUUGCACUGCAAGUACUUGAUUAAGGGCAGUAAAAAUCUUUCCAAAAAUACAUUUGACUCCUAUUAGAUAUAGGAUACCCAGAAACCACAAAAAUAUAAUUUUAAAAGUUACUGUUCUAUUUUAUUUAAAGGAUUUUUCUUAAGGCCAGAAAUGGUCCUUAAUAGGAAAAAAUUACUUUACUGUUUCAAAAAUAUUUGACAAAAUUUAGGGAAACUCAUAGGACAUAUAUUGUCCAUAUAUAAGAGUUUCAACACCUGGUCAUGUUCAAAAUAUUGGUCAAAUCCCUCUAAAACCCUUUCUGGAUAUUUCAAGCUUUUGAAAUAUUUACAAAGGAAAUAUUCUCCAAAAAUUCCAGGAAAAUUUCAUCAUGUCACAUAUGACAUAUUAGAUGAUCUUGCCAAGUCUCAUGACUUGGAGAACAAGAUAACACCAUCAAAACCCCUCAAAACUAUCUCUGUCCAUUCUGAAGUUUGAUCAACUUUACAUUGCCAAGUAUGUCCAAAUGUGCUCAAACUUGGUGGACAUGCUUCAUUGGUCUAAUGAUGCAUCUGGACCAAAUGGCACAGGUUGGGGAAUAGUAAGUCUUGGUCAAAGUGCCUCAAAACCCUCUCUGACCAGAGUCAAGUUUGAACUACUUUGCACUACCAACUUUUUCUCCAGGACCCCAACUUUGGUGAGCCUGAUCAUGUGACCAAAUAAGGCUACCACACCAAGUGGCACAUCAAGGAGAAAUGAUUUACUCCACUGGAUCUACACAAAUCCAUUUCUGCCCAUUUCUAGGGUUUGCAAAAGUUGCAUUGGCAACUUUGUCCAAAUAAGCUCAAAAUGGGUGGAAGGCUCUAAAUAUAUGUGACAUUUCACCCCAUGGAGUAUCUUGGCCAGUGGAAGUCAUUAGCUUACCCAAAACUCCAUCAAACACCUUCUGGCAAAAUACUAAAAAGCCUCUUUUUGCCACUUUCACUAAUCUCCUUGAGUUCAUCUUUUUACCACAACCCCUCCUCACUCCCCUCAGUCACUUAGACACUUUUCUACCCGAGGAAGCAAUGUGGAGGAAGGAGGGAAUCACGUUUGUCCUCUCUGGACAACAGCUUCCCUUCUCUCUCCCAGCCUCUCUCUCUCCCCUCUGCACCCCAGAGCAUCCCAGGCUCUUUCCAGGUUUUGCCCCCUUCCACUGUAGCCUCCAGACAGAAAAGGACGCGCGCACGACGCGGAAAACCCGCGGAUGCCGGCCAAAGUCGCGCUCUGGAGCGCCUGCCAGAGCGCCGACCGUUGACACCGCGCCUCCCGACCGCCUCGUGCCUUCCCAUCGCGCCAGUUGAUGUGUCUCGACGUCUGCGACACGCCGCCGUGCCGUCCCCAUUGUCUCUCCCUCUCUCUCCCCUCCUGCAGCGCGUGCCCGACGCCGCCCGGCUCGGCCAAUGGCCGGCCUCACACGCGCGGGCGCCAGAACCCUCCCCCGCUCUCUCUCCUCCUCCCUGGCGCCCUACUCCAUCCCCACGAACACCGUGGACAGCUCCAACUCCUCUCCCACGACCUCCAGAGCCGAUCCCGCGGGCGCCCGUAGGCCACGCCUACGGUGAACCGCGGCCAGCCCAUAUAAGGCGCCCCCGAGCCUCUCUCUUCCUCCCUGUCGCCCCUCCACACACCCAAUCGGCCUCCCGCACCACUCCUCCCUCUCCAGUACCACCCGAGCUCGAGAUCGAGCUCGAGCUCCGCCGCCUCGGCUCGUCGGCGUCCGCACGGUACAGGCCUUCUCCGCACCAGCUCUCUCUCGAUCUGAAACCGCGAGGCGCCACUGAUUCUUUCCCCCCUAUUUUCCCCUUGUUUUGCAGCCGGAAUCGGCCGGAGCCACCGACGCCCGAAGCGCCUCCGCCGCGGGACCUCGUCGCCGGCGAAGCAGGCCACUCCGGCGACCAUCUCCACCACCACCAGAACCGCGACUUGCCCCUGAGUCCGACGGUAGUCUCCGCAUCCCUUCCCGUGCCCUGUACCGCCGCCGGCGAGCUCGCCGUCGCCUCUGGCCGGAGGUAGACGACGGCCGCCGUGGGGCCGGCCCGUCAGCCACACGCCCUGACGGGUGGGAUCCACCCGUCAGGUUUAAAACGUGCGCGCGCGCGCGCACCGAUCUGCCGUCGGCCGAAGGCGUAUUCAGCCUUUACGCCUUCGACGUGGCGGCCGCGUGGGCUGGUUCUUCCCUGGGCCUGCUGCUGCUGUGGCCUCUCUGGCCCAGUGGCACAGCGCCGUUUUUCUUUUUUCCUUUUCUGUCUUAUUUCCAAAAAUUCCACAGGACAGAAUAUUAAUCCAAAUGCAUUGAUUCCAAUUUCUAAAUUCCUAGAAUAUUGCCACCUAUUUAAUGGUGCAACUUUCAUUCAAAUCCAACCACCUUUUCUUCUCUGUAAAUAUUUAAAUGUGGUUGUUAGCAUUUAAAUAAGCCUUUGAAAAUCCAUAACUCCUAUUUUGCUGCUCCAGAACCAAAACCAAAAGUUGUCCCCUUCCUAGCCUUCCUCCUAGUAUUUUACAAAAAUAAGUUGACAUUUUUGUGAGCACUUUGACUUUUCUGUUUUUAUUAUUGUCUUAUUUUUCCCGUUGUUUUCUUGCGACGUUAGAUUCCGUGUUUGACGAGGUAGCUGAGGAAGAAGGAGGAGCAGAGCCUGAAGACUUUGAAGAUCAAGCCAACCAAGGCAAGCAGCCCUUUGACCAUGACUAUGAUACCCCUUUAUAUGCAUGUCAUUUUUAGCCCUUUAUUAUCGAUGCAUCGGAAUCAUGAUGAGAUGGUGAACCACGUGGGUUGGUUACCACGAUUACUUCCUCGUUGAUACUUGCAGUGCGCAUGGCCCUACCUUCUUAUGAGGGUUAUGCCGGUGGGAGUAGGUAGGAUGCAAAUGUAGAUGCUACGCAAAUGGGGUGGGUUUGUGCAUGGUGAAGGAGGCAAUGUGAUUUCAAAAGUCUUUUCGAAAACCCCGUCGGGUGCCACCUAUGCCCGAGGGAGAUGAUGAGAUGGGUGACCACUUGAUGACGAAGUGGUGUGCCAAGGAAGGUGUGUGUUGUUUUCAAAACGGAUUGGUCGGAGUUGCGACCGUUAUUCCAACCUUACAAGCGCGACCACUCUACCCUUAUAUGGGAAAGGGCAUUAUUGAGUACCUAGACCGAUACUAGCUUGGAGCCCGCAUUACUAGUGACGGGGGAGAGUUGGUGCUCUCUCUUGGGACGGGGUCGUGCCAGGUAGGGCGGCCAUGACUGUUUUCACAAGGCACCGGACACACCGUUGGUACCCCGUGCUUGUGGUAUGUGAUGAAAAUGGGAGCGAGGCUCCACAACUUUAUGAUGUGAAAUGUUCGGCACGGGGGUUACUACCAAUCGAGUGGACUCCAUGUUAGUGUCGUCUAGGGAAAGGUAGUGAUCGGGUGCUUACCCCGGGUACUUGAGGUACCGCGGGUCGUGGAUGACACGGAAGUUCCCCGGAUCUAGUGGGUAAAGUGUGCAACCUCUGCAGAGUGUAAAACUAUUCGAAUAGCCGUGUCCACGGUCAAGGACAGUUGGGUAACCGCUCUUGGGCUACGUCCACUUGUUUUCAAACCCGGUGUGUGUGAGAUGAUGGUGUUGUCUUGGAUCAAGUCAGAGGACUUGACACGAUUGAGAUGGGUUGGUGCCCUCUCUGUUUAUGAUAAAUGGGUUGGUGCCCCUUUAUAUUUAUGUUGAUAUCUGUGACCAGAUCUUAUGGUUACUUGAAUUCUCUUGAUGCAUGCUUUAUAGGAUGUUGAACAUGUCCUGCACUCAAAACUAGCUUUAUGCAAAACUUUACCUAUGUCAUGCAUUACUGUACCUUGAACCAAAUCAUGGGUUGCUUGCGAGUACAUUCAAAGUACUCAUUGGCUUGCCACUGGUUAUUUAAUUGACCAGGCAUGGGAGAACCGGAGUUCGAAGAAGAGUUCUUUGGAGACGAUCAUGCGAACUAGGACGUUCCCAGUCAGAAUGCCUGUAGGGUUAAGGCAGAUGGCAUGGGUUCUACUUAUCGACGACGAUUUCCGCUGCUAUGUUUCAUUUGAUGUUCAGCCCUUAAGGCUUUAUCGAUGUAAGACUUGACCAUGUUGGUCUCUAUUUGUGUAAGACGGUAUGAAUGGAUGUAAGACUCUUGUUAUUCAGCUUCUGUGUGUUCAGUGAGCAUUGAUCUCUGGGAUCACUGUACACGUGCAUUCGGUGAUCACGACUUGCGAGUCGGGGUCCCCACAUCCUCUCUAUCAACAAGAUAUCCAAAGACAUCAAGGAUACGCACAGCCAGAAAAAAUAUAGAUGAAAAAAGACUGCUCCAAGGUGAUAAAUCACUAGCAUCAGUAGCACUCUAAGCACACCGAAGACAACGUCCCAAUUACAAAAAAGGUUCUCCAAAAGCAACCCCCCAAGAAGGAAACAAUGCACAAGCGUUGUCAUUAUCCGAUUGGAGAUCGUGGGUUUUCACCCUAGAAAAAUUCGAAGCUCACCCAAAAACAUUGCCUUCAACUAGGCCAUUGCCAGGUACAACCAAUAAAGGCUAGACCUUAGAUUUUUACCCUAGGAAUUGAGACUUAGUACUCGAGGAGUACAACCAAAAAUGCAGUCCUCUAGUGAUGGCGCCCCCGCUUGCCGAGCUCGCUGUUUUGGGUCACCAAACACCUGGCGCACAUUCUUUCUGGCAUCAAUUACACCCUUCCACCAAAUCUUCAAGACCUCCAAUCGCAGCCGCCAUGACUUUAUCCACCUCUAUCAAUGCCUUGAGAAUCUUCACUUGGACAUGUCCCAUGACACCAAUAAGAAAACAAAGCUUCUUGCCGCGCCCUCUUGAGGUCGUGUUGGCUGAUAAUAUGAGCGUGCGCUACUGGAGCCUUUCCGAUCUAGAUAUCCAGGGUCGACAUACACCAAUCCAUAUAGAUCUCCGAUGGGAAAGACCGAAACUCGUCAACGACUAGAUCUAAGAUGUCGACAUCCAGCAGAAAGACGACUUGGCGGAAGAAUAGUACUAGGGCCAAUCCACCAUUAUUAGGCCAAACCUAACAUCCCCACAUGCCGCCCUCCUCUUGAUGUAGACCUACAGACAAAUAUCAGCGACGCCGCAUCGUGCCACCUGCAUCUAUUGAGGCCCAAACUUGGCAAGAUGCCAACCAUGGCAGGAGACUGGGACUAGCCACUCCUGGGCACUGAUCCGGCAAUUCCCUGGCCCACCCCUGCCACUACGGCGACACCGCAGGUAGCCUACAAGCCCAUCCACGACAAUGCCUGAUUAGAAGGAUACAUGGAUAUACAGAUGGAAAGACCCUUGUUAUCGCUCAAGCAAUAUAUAUAUAAAGCUUAAUGGGGCCUAAGAAAGCUCGCACAAUUUUACGGUGGCUAUGGAAAUGUAUUGCCAAACUGAGACAUAAGAUUUUCGUUUGGCAUCCAGACCGUUUGUGUCAUUCUUAAUUUAUGGUCACUCUAAUUUUUCCGGCUGGGCCUUCCCUGUGGUACCGCAGCAAGGCAUGCGUGUGUAUACGUUUCCUUUAAGUACCAUGUGCAGGAUGAUGAUUUACUGCACGCAUGUGCGGGGGCACUCAUGUCCUGGUGCCGGGUUUUUAUUUUGGCUUCCGAUUUUCAAACUUCUAUAUCUUCUAAGCCAAAAAUUCAAUUUAAGUUAUGUAUUCAUAUUCGUGUUUCUCGCGGCCAGCGCUUUCAAAUAAGAUCCAUUUUGAAUACAUUUUGGCGACUUUUUGAAACACUGUUAAGUUUCAUUGUUUGAAACUUAGUACGAGCGACCAAUAAAAUUCAAUUAUUUUGUGUCUACGACCAACGGAGAAAUUUUCUUAAAAUUACAUCUUUGAAACUUGUUGAAACCGGGCAUUUUUUGAUGCAAAAAGGUAAGUUUCAUCAUUGAAACUUUAAGGUUUUUGAGGGAUUUUUUUCCUUGUGGAGCUUUGGAAAUGAGAGAAUUUGAUAAAGUAAAUCUCGGAAACUCUUAUUGGACGAGAGAGAUUUAAUAUGAUAUUGGCAUGGAUUCUACCAACUAAACGAAGAAGUAUUUGAUUUGGUAAACAGACAAUUUCCUUUAAUCGAUGAACAUUUUAGGAAAAUUGGUGGAACAACUUUUGAAAUUCAAAAAAAAAUUCUUGAUUUAACGAACAUUUUUUAACUUAACGAACAUUUUUAAAAAAUACAUGAUCAUUUUUUUGAAUCUGUGAUCGUUUUAUGAAUGAAUAAACUAGUUUGUAAGUCAUGAACAGUUUUUAAAAUUUUAGGGUAUUUUUCCAUUCAUGAACAGUUUUUGAAUUGCUGAAAUUUUGUUCAAUUUCAUUAACAAUUUUUAGUACACAAACCUUUUUAAAAAAUCAUGGACAUUAACUAGUACGUGAAAUCCCUAAUUAUUUAAAGUAGAAAAAAUAGAAAAGAGAAAGUAAUGGAAAAUGAAGUUAAAAAAAUAGGCCGACCGAACAUGGGCCGGCCCAAACGGGCGCGUUGCGUCUUCUCCCAGCGUGUAGAGCGCAGUAUACGUGGUCCCUACUGCAUGGGUCGGCCCAAGCGGAAGAUUUGUCUGUGUGAAACUUUUUUUAUCACGUACUGGUGGCAUUGGUGCGUAAUGCAUGUGUGCAUCUUUAGGGGCACUUUUCCCGACGUACCGCUAGAAGCAAUAGCCAUUUUAUUAUUAGUUAGAGAUUAGGUAUAGAUAUGAACCACCGGUAAAUUAGGUAGACGAUAGAUGACGACUCUAAAGAAGAUCACAUGUGUCAAGCUUGGAAUAGGCUAACAGAUGUUAGGGCAUCUCAAAUGUAAACCCAUAAAACAGACAUCACAAAUGUCCUUGAACACAAACCGGGCAUGAUAGGGGAGGGAGCCAUCAAACCUUGAUGGCUGCUACCCAUAUUUCUCUCACAUUUCUCCAGCAUUUCAUCGAACAGUUGAUGUGCACUAGUAGGACACGUCUGGUUCACGCAGCUGGCGCGUCAUGGGAGUUCUGCCUCAUCGGGCAUGACUGAUGUGUCGCAGGACGACGGGUGUGGUCUCGGGCGCGUCAGUAGUGGCCACGACGACAAGAGGAGGCCGCGCCAUGGGCGGAGCUAGCCACGGGAGCCAGCAUUGGCGCGGCACUAGACACAGCCAGCCCACGACAUGCCGGGCACGGUGGCAAGAGAGCUUCAUGAGGCCAGAGCCGAGCUAGGCCUUGAGUUGCUCGCCGAGCAGCCAUGGAGGGCAUGGGGAGAUGAGAUGCACAGGGAGAGAGGAGUGGAGAGAUAGGAGGAGGCGGAGAUGAGGAUGGAGUGCUCGCUGGCAGCUGCCCUCAUGGUCGUCCGUAGCCGGCAUAAGUGCUCUCCGUUUAGUGUUAUUUGUACAGAGAGGGAGGGAGUGGAGAUGUGGUGUUUCUUUUGGUUAGCUGGAUGUUCAGACUCUCGCAUAGUCCCUCAAAUUUGUUCAUGUGAUAUCGAAAUUUGAACAUGUGGGCUGGUCCGCGGAUAUUUAGAGGUCCCCACUUGAAGAAUAAAAGUGGUCUAGACACUACUAUCUGACAUUUUGCCCUUAGUAGUUGGUGGAUAUCGAUGUGCUGUCCCUCCAACCUAUAUUAAAAGAUUCAUUCACCGUCCGAUCCCUUCUACAAAACACGUCAUUGCUUUCCAUGAUUCUCUUUUGUCAAUGUGUGAAAUAUUAGAAUUUGAGUUGUUUGGUGAAAUGUACGAGCUGACCGCCAAAAGGACAGAUUUUUACUUUUAUUUUCUACUAUUUUCUUUAUUUUAUAGUUUUUGGCAAGUGCAUUUUCAUAUGGUCAAUGUCUAGACCAUUUGAACAGUUUAUUUUGAAUUUGUUUCUUCCAUUCUAGCUAAAUAUAAGAAUUUACAAUGUUCGUUUUAAUUCUUUGGAAUAAACAUUUAUUACUAGUAUUAAAAAGACUAAAUUAGCUGCCGCAUUUUUAUUCCCUAAUCAUCUUGAAGGCUAUCUACACUUUGAUUAAAUUGUCAUAUUUUUUUUUGUGAUAUAUUGUUUCCAUUAUGUAUAUUAACUCCAAUAAAAAUGAUGAUAAUCUAUUCUCCUUAAGUUAUUAUGAAUGUACUAAAUAAUUAAAUAAUAAAAAAUUACUUACAAAAUAAUAACAUCUAAACAUGCCCUAUGAAUACCAGGUAGAUAUCUAACUCAGGCACUUGUCCGCAAAAUAAAUGUUCUUCAAAAAAAUAUUGAAAGUAGUUAAAUUAUUUAAAAUGAAUAAAAAGCACAUGCUCCAUUCUACUUUACCACUCUAGAUGCACUGAUUCGUUGUGGCAAUAGAAACACUAAAUUUCAGUCCCACUUAUAAAGUUUGCUAAGGGAUAUCUGACAAUAAAAAUUAAAAUAAAAUAUUUUUAUAUUAUUUUUUACUUAUUAAAUUAAUUAUUCUAUCUGUGUAAUUUUCUGUUACUUACAUAAAAUAGUUAACCAUAUAACAAUGUUGCUAAAUAAUAGUUAUAAUGUUUCUUUGUUAUAUAGUUGCAACAUAUAUCAGUAAAAUAGUUGAUUCAUAUUUAAAAGGUAUGAUAGAACAAAAGUUAUUUUUUCAAUCAAGUCUUGAAAUUGAAUAAAUUUAUAAUGUAUAUACAUAUAUUUCCAUACAUUUGUAUGUGUUUAUCGAGAUUUUAUUGUCAUUAAAUAUCAUGUUAGAGAUUUCAAAAGUGUGCUUUCUAACAUGUAUCUUAGUUGUAGUUUCUAGUGCAAUACUAUGUAAUCAUAUUUACAGAAAUUUCUAGAGCAUGAAAUCUAUGUCUUGCAAGUUGCAUUCCGUAAUAAGUUGGCAUCAUGACCAUGCUAUUGGUUACAAUUAUUUUUUAUUUUAGAUGAUAACAAAUAACAAAAAAAAUUAUAAAAUAUAAGGGUGAAUCAUGCAAGUGAGGAGAACACACCAAUGAAGAAAGACAUUGCAUUUCCACGUGGAAUUCAUAUUGACAAACCUUAAGAAUCACAUGCAUUUGUAUGUUUUUAUAAAUUAUGCCCCAUUUGCGGGACUCAAAUACAAGUCAGUUCAGGGUGUGGAGCUACGAGAAAACGUAGCAUUCAAGACUAGAUGAGCCACCGACUUAAAAAACAAAUAAGUAAAAAUGGAGCAAAUAGGAGUAGCUGGAAAAUUAUUUGAAAGAUUAAGAGUAGCUGGAAAAUUAUUUGAAGGAAAUGGAGCAAAUAGCUAUGCAAGAAGUGCUCUCGCUAGAAAAUAAAUGUUGCAUUAGAUGAUCGACUUGAAAACACACAUAUGAAGUGGUGGAGCCAGAAUUUUCACAAUGGGUAUGUGAUACAUCUCCAACAUAUCUAUAAUUUUUAAUUGUUUCAUGCUAUUAUAUUAUCCAUCUUGGAUGUUUUAUAUGCAUGUAUAUGCUAUUUUAUAUGAUUUUUGGGACUAACCUAUUAACCUAGAGCCCAGUGCCAGUUUUUGUUUUUUCCUUGUUUUUGAGUUUUACACAAAAGGAAUACCAAACGGAGUCCAAUUGACCUGAAAAUUGACGGAGAUUGUUUUUAGUGUUAUUGGCAUAAUGCAUCGUGUAUAUAUCAUUUUGCUUAUUGUACACAGAUCGUCCCAUGCAAUGUGAGGUCAGAAUUCAACAAUCUGACUGGAGACUCUGUGACAUUUGAGGCUCCUGGGGGCCCCUACACUAUGGAUAUCGAGAAAGGACGAAAGAUGACGUGGGUGGGAGGAGAUGGAUGGGCCCGUUUCAUCGACAACAUGCGUAUCACCGGUGGUGAGUUGAUCAAGCUGGCCGUGAUUUAUAUCAACAAAGCAUAAGAUUAUGAGGAUGAUGAGGAUGAUGAUGACCCACUCGGUGAUGCCAUCAUAGCUCAAAGAAUGAAGUUGAGCGAGGAGGAGGUGUGCAACCUAUGGGACAUCAUUCCGCCACGUGCUGACUUCGUCGGGGUGCCAUUCGUGACCCGUCUGACAAGUACCAUGGUUGAUCGGCAUAUGAUGGUAUGUUGCAUUUACUGUAGUUUUUACAGUAAUUUGAUGAUAUGCUUUAUUGUUAUACUUAGUGAAGAGUCCGAUGAUAUAUAUGCAUAGUGAAUCUUAUAUGCUUUAUUGUUAUACUUUAGUGUAGAGUCCGAUCAUAUAUAUGCUUACUGAAUCUUAUAUGCUUAGUGAAUCUUAUAUGCUUUAUUGUUAUACUUAGUGUAGAGUCCGAUGAUAUAUAUGCUUACUGAAUCUUAUAUGCUUAGUGCAUCUUAUAUGCUUAGUGCAUCUUAUAUGCUUUAUUGUUAUACUUAGUGUAGAGUCCGAUGAUAUAUAUACUUAGUGUAGAGUCCGAUGAUAUAUAUGCUUAGUGUAGAGUCCGGUGAUAUAUAUGCUUCGUGUAGAAUGUGUGAGGCUACUUAUUAGUUGAUACGUUUUUCUUAUUCAGAAAUUGCCAAAGAGCCUAUCUGAGAGUUGUGGUAUCAAGCCUGAUGAAGAAGGCUCUGCUGGAAUACGCCUUACCGCAAGGGGCUCCGUCGCCACUUGUGCAUACGGCGAGGACACGGACGGUCGCACACACUUCAACUCGGUUGGGUGGAAGAGCUUCCUCAUCGGCAAGAAUCUUCAUGUUGAACAGACAAUCCUAAUUACUAUCAGGAAUACCCACCGCCCAGGCUUGAGGAUGAUGGUCGUCAUCGACAUCAUCUAGAACUUCAUAUGCAUGCGUGUGGCUGUUGAACCAUAUAUAUUUGCUAGUAUGACUACCUAGUAGACUUAUCAACUAUGAUCUAUCCAUGCAUUGUUGACUACUAAAUGAGUUUGUGAGAUUGUGUGGUUAUAUUAAAUGUGGUACUGUCAUUAAUGUUUGUGAGAUGGUUCCGUGAACUUAGUUUAUUUGCACUGGACUUGUCUUGAUCUCCAUGAACAUUGCACCUGACUGCUUUUUUAUUUUUUAUUUCUGUUUGCCUAGUUGUAGCGUGGGGAGAAAAUAGGGCGCUACUACUACGUGAUGAUAGUAGUAGCGCUGGUGGAGGAAGCAUCGCUACUAAUAAGUAUUUUAGCUGUAGCGCUUGUUCAGAAAUGCGCUACUAUUGAAUAAUAGCUGUAGCGCACUAGCAGUAGCGCGGGUGCCCGCGCUACUAGUAUGUAAAUAACCAGCGCCGCUAGUAAGCUUUUCUCUAGUAGUAUAACCAUUGUUUAUGCCAGACAACUCUUCUUCCUGCUCGUCAGAUGCCAUGGAGAAAACUGUUCAAGGAGGAAAAUGGUGAGAAGAGGUGUGAUGCGGUCUUGCUCGACAUCUGACAUUGUUUAAACAGCGAGGGGACACAAGGAGCCAAACGGCGUUCUGUUUAAUGCCAGCCGGCUCGCGAACGGACAUGUGGCCGGAGUAAUUAUCCUGGCAUAAGCGCGGGUUUAAUGGUGGAAGGCGGGCAGUCUAUAGGAAUGAGGCGAGGAUGUGUGUUUAGCGGGCGUGCAGCGGGGCAGCACCCUUGGCUGGCGCGCCGCUUCCAUUGCGAAGGCAGUGAGAGGCCGCGUCCGCUCUGCAGUGGCAUGAAUACGGGCAGCUGGCGCGCUGCUUCCAUUGCGAAGGCAGUGAGAGGCCGCAUCCGCUCUGCAGCGGCAUGAAUGCGGGCAGCUGGCGCAGAGCGGGAACGCAUGCGAGCGAGGGAGGAGGGGGUUUGGGUGGGCACGGGUGGUCAGAAGCGGUUGUGGGUGUUGUCCGGAUGCCUGCAAAGCCACCCUCCCCAUGUUCGUCUUCGGUUUGUGGGAGAAAGUACGUAUGGAUCGCCCUGUGGACCGAUACAAGCCCGCAUUGGAUGGCACAACACGUCCAGACCAUGUGGUCCAGAUGGUUGUAGAUGGUUUAUUUGAGGGUCGGUGUUGGAUAUGCCUUAGAGUUUAUGAUACCAUUGUGUUUUUCUAAUCAUAAAAAAAUACUUAUAAUAAGUUAUAAGGAAAGACACGUAUAUAUGUUAGGUUCACACUCCAGCUUUCCUCUUACAUAUGUUUUUUCUGAUCCGACUGAUUCCAAUAGAGUGAGCCUAGCGUUGUUUUUCUAAAAACUCGAGGGAUAAGGAGACAUGCAUACACAUUGUUUCAAGCAAAUCACAUCCACUCUUUUUAACUCAUUUUUUCUUGUUUUAAUAAUAUAAUAAAUCAUUUUUAAUUUUUAUUUCAAAUAGUUGACGUGUAAUUUAUAUUGUAAUCUAAGGAAAAUGUUUGGAUUUUACUUUGAAAUAUAUUUCAAAUGGCCAUGAUGGAAUCACAUCCAUUUACUUUAUUUUUAUUUGGAUUUGCUUCAAAAGAUAAAUAAUGGGUAGAGGUCAUGUCAACUUUUCUGAGAAGUUUGCUAAUCAAAAUAUAAUUUUUAUCUUAAUACAAUCCAUUAUUUGACUACUCUAUUGAUUUGUAUUUAAAGACAUCUAUUUUUAGCACGCAUGAAAAACAUAACACAUAUCUUUCCACACAUAAUGAACGGUUGUCAUUAGAAUUCAUGCCAUGCCACAGCCUCCCUCUGACCCUGCCAAUAUUGUUGCAGCUGCGCUCGCAAGCCUUUGCGUAGAUGAUCAUUUAUAUGAUUUGUGUAAAACAAAAUAAGAUCUACAAACGAAUAGAAGCUAGAGCGUACCUUGGCGUGCACACACAUUGCAAGCCAUACUAACUUGAUAAGUGUUAAUGACUUGUACAACAUAUACAUCACUUAAGACAAGUAAAAGCGAUUUGAUGAGUCAUGGUCUAUCAAAGCAAGCCACAUUACUAGUCUAAUCCAUCUUAACAGGUCACGCAUGAUUACAAUCUUGUUUGUGUGCAAGUCAAGCCUAUCUAGUUUACACGUAACAACUUGUAGAACAUUACAAAAUUGAUGUUUGCUAAUAACUUCUAGAACACUACAACACUUGACAUGUAAAAGGAAUUUGAUGAGUCAUGGCCUACUAAAGCAAGUUACAUUACUAGUCUUAUGUAUCUUAACAUGCCACACAAGAUUACAAACUAAGUUCUGUGCCAGCCAUGCUUAUCUAGUUUAUGUGUAAAAAUUUGCAAAACAUUACAAACUUAGUUUCAGAAAAGUAGGCAAUCUAGAUUAGUGUUUGAGUUGUAAAGUGAACAAGAUGAGUCAUGCGUGUUAUCACACCUUUUUGGUGGUGGAAUGAUAGUGCAACAACAAGGAACUUUAAUGACUAGUCCAAGAAUACACUUGUAAGUAGUGCCACCAAACACAACAUACCAAAUUAUGAUUUUGGGAAGCAUCCAAACACUUUACACACAAGCAAAUGCCAAUUGUGAAAGAGAUCAUGCCAUGACAGCUAUAAAUAGGCCCGUAGCAUGAUGAUCAUCCUUCCUCAUCCAUCAUUCUCAUAAGUAGAGUGCAUCAUUAAAGGCAAGCAAGCAGUGGUCAAUACAAAUCCAUCAUGAAGACCUUUCUCAUCCUUGCCCUCGUGGCGACCACCGCCACAACUGCAGUUAGAGUUCCAGUGCCACAAUUGCAGCCAAAAAAUCCAUCUCAGCAACAGCCACAAGAGCAAGUUCCAUUGGUACAACAACAACAAUUUCCAGGGCAGCAACAACAAUUUCCACCACAACAGCCAUAUCCGCAGCCGCAACCAUUUCCAUCACAACAACCAUAUCUGCAGCUGCAACCAUUUCCGCAGCCGCAACCAUUUCUGCCACAACUACCAUAUCCGCAGCCGCAAUCAUUUCCACCACAACAACCAUAUCCACAACAGCGACCAAAGUAUCUACAACCACAACAACCAAUUUCGCAGCAACAAGCACAACAACAACAACAACAACAACAACAACAACAACAACAACAACAACAACAACAACAACAAAUCCUUCAACAAAUUUUGCAACAACAACUGAUUCCAUGCAGGGAUGUUGUCUUGCAACAACACAACAUAGCGCAUGCAAGCUCACAAGUUUUGCAACAAAGUACUUACCAGCUAUUGCAACAAUUGUGUUGUCAACAACUGUUGCAGAUCCCUGAGCAGUCGAGGUGCCAAGCCAUCCAUAAUGUUGUUCAUGCUAUUAUUAUGCAUCAACAAGAACAACAACAACAGUUGCAACAACAACAACAACAGCAACUGCAACAACAACAACAACAACAACAACAACAACAACAACCGUCAAGCCAGGUCUCCUUCCAACAGCCUCAGCAGCAAUAUCCAUCAAGCCAGGUCUCCUUCCAGCCAUCUCAGCUAAACCCACAAGCUCAGGGCUCCGUCCAACCUCAACAACUGCCCCAGUUCGCGGAAAUAAGGAACCUAGCGCUACAGACGCUACCUGCAAUGUGCAAUGUCUACAUCCCUCCACAUUGCUCGACCACCAUUGCGCCAUUUGGCAUCUUUGGUACCAACUGAGAAGAGAAGAACUCUAGUACUAGAUAUAUGAAACACCGUUUUCUUAGUCCAUGAUUUGGUCGUUGUAGCAGUGAAAAAAUAAAGUGACAUGCACUAUCAUGUAAGAACCCGAACUAUACUAGUUCAAACUUGGGAAUAAAAGACAAACACAUGUCUUGUCUACAUAUGAUUGUUUGUUUGAGUUCCAUUCAUGUGCCAUCACAAGUUCACCCCUAAUUAUAUAUAUUAUGCAUUAAGUAGAUAUUUAUGUUGCAUUAAUCUAAAGAUAAAAAAAUGAGUCUGAAACUUGAAUUAAAUUGAAGUAUUUUCUAGGACUUCCAAAUGGAGUAUUAUUAAAGUAGUAAGGACAAUCCACAUCCUUGGCUUGCCCUUUAUCAAUUAUUUCCAGAGAAGCAUUCAAUUCAUCAAUCAAUUACAUCGAUUUUUGUGGCUGGUACUUCUCCUCAACAUGAGUAUAUUCAUUGCGGCUACUCCAAAUCGGCAUGAAUGAGGUACUGGUGCUCUGGAGCAGUGCUAGCUGACUGCUUCUCAUGUGAAGGGACGCAGGCACAGGAGAGGUGUUCCGGGUGGGCCAGGGGAGUAAGAAGUGGCCAUGGCAGUGGUUCGGACGCUUGCAAAGUCCCGUAGUUUGUAUAUGGUUUACGGGAAAAUGCACAUUUGGACCGGCCUGCGGGCCGAUAUAGGACCGUAUUGGAUGGAGAAACAUGUCCUCAUCGUUGCGAGCGGUUUGAGGGUUAGGUUUGGAGAUAGCCCUUACUUGGCCCCUCGUUCUGAAAACACGUUUGACGAUAGUUUUGUCUCAGUUCAAAUAUAUGUCAAGUUUGACAAAGUUCAUAGGAAAUUUUUUAUCAUAUCUACAGUACCAUACAAAUACACCAUAGACAAAAAACAUAUUUCACACUGCACCAUGAAUUGGUCAGGUAAAUGUUGGGUAUGGAGACUCUAUUCUCUUUUGGCAUGAGUUGCCUCGGUCUCAAAAGUUUCAUGAACUGUUCUCUUUUGCCACUAAGAAAAAGCUCUCUUUGCCUGAUUUUAUUCAUAGUGACCAUAUGGCUCUCUAUUUUCAUAGGCAUAUCACCCUGCAAGCUCUUGCUCAAUUCAUUGACAUCAUUGACUUAGUUCAUCAAAAAAAUUCAAUAAAGGGAAUAAAAUAAUAUCACGAAGAUACCAAUUACACCCGUCCUCUCUAUCAACAAGAUAUGCAAAGACAUCAAGGAUACGCACAGCCAGAAAAAAUAUAGAAGAAAAAAGACUGCUCCAAGGUGAUAAAUCACUAGCAUCAGUAGCACUCUAAGCACACCGAAGACAACGUCCAGAUUACAAAAAAGGUUCUCCAAAAGCAACCCCCCAAGAAGGAAACAAUGCACAAGCGUUGUCAUUAUCCGAUUGGAGAUCGUGGGUUUUCACCCUAGAAAAAUUCGAAGCUCACCCAAAAACAUUGCCUUCAACUAGGCCAUUGCCAGGUACAACCAAUAAAGGCUAGACCCUAGAUUUUUACCCUAGGAAUUGAGACUUAGUACUCGAGGAGUACAACCAAAAAUGCAGUCCUCCAGUGAUGGCGCUCCCGCUUGCCGAGCUCGCUGUUUUGGGUCACCAAACACCUGGCGCACAUUCUUUCUGGCAUCAAUUACACCCUUCCACCAAAGCUUCAAGACCUCCAAUCGCAGCCGCCAUGACUUUAUCCACCUCUAUCAAUGCCUUGAGAAUCUUCACUUGGACAUGUCCCAUGACACCAAUAAGAAAUCAAAGCUUCUUGCCGCGCCCUCUUGAGGUCGUGUUGGCUGAUAAUAUGAGCGUGCGCUACUAGAGCCUUUUCGAUCUAGAUAUCCAGGGUCGACAUACACCAAUCCAUAUAGAUCUCCGAUGGGAAAGACCGAAACUCGUCAACGACUAGAUCUAAGAUGUCGACAUCCAGCAGAAAGACGACUUGGCGGAAGAAUAGUACUAGGGCCAAUCCACCAUUAUUAGGCCAAACCUAACAUCCCCACAUGCCGCCCUCCUCUUGAUGUAGACCUACAGACAAAUAUCAGCGACACCGCAUCGUGCCACCUGCAUCUAUUGAGGCCCGAACUUGGCAAGAUGCCAACCAUGGCAGGAGACUGGGACUAGCCACUCCUGGGCACUGAUCCGGCAAUUCCCUGGCCCACCCCUGCCACUACGGCGACACCGCGGGUAGCCUACAAGCCCAUCCACGACAAUGCCUGAUUAGAAGGAUACAUGGAUAUACAGAUGGAAAGACCCUUGUUAUUGCUCAAGCAAUAUAUAUAUAAAGCUUAAUGGGGCCUAAGAAAGCUCGCACAAUUUUACGGUGGCUAUGGAAAUGUAUUGCCAAACUGAGACAUAAGAUUUUCGUUUGGCAUCCAGACCGUUUGUGUCAUUCUUAAUUUAUGGUCACUCUAAUUUUUCCGGCUGGGCCUUCCCUGUGGUACCGCAGCAAGGCAUGCGUGUGUAUACGUUUCCUUUAAGUACCAUGUGCAGGAUGAUGAUUUACUGCACGCAUGUGCGGGGGCACUCAUGUCCUGGUGCCGGGUUUUUAUUUUGGCUUCCGAUUUUCAAACUUCUAUAUCUUCUAAGCCAAAAAUUCAAUUUAAGUUAUGUAUUCAUAUUCGUGUUUUUCGCGGCCAGCGCUUUCAAAUAAGAUCCAUUUUGAAUACAUUUUGGCGACUUUUUGAAACACUGUUAAGUUUCAUUGUUUGAAACUUAGUACGAGCGACCAAUAAAAUUCAAUUAUUUUGUGUCUACGACCAACAGAGAAAUUUUCUUAAAAUUACAUCUUUGAAACUUGUUGAAACCGGGCAUUUUUUGAUGCAAAAAGGUAAGUUUCAUCAUUGAAACUUUAAGGUUUUUGAGGGAUUUUUUUCCUUGUGGAGCUUUGGAAAUGAGAGAAUUUGAUAAAGUAAAUCUCGGAAACUCUUAUUGGACGAGAGAGAUUUAAUAUGAUAUUGGCAUGGAUUCUACCAACUAAACGAAGAAGUAUUUGAUUUGGUAAACAGACAAUUUCCUUUAAUCGAUGAACAUUUUAGGAAAAUUGGUGGAACAACUUUUGAAAUUCAAAAAAAAAUUUCUUGAUUUAACGAACAUUUUUUAACUUAACGAACAUUUUUAAAAAAUACAUGAUCAUUUUUUUGAAUCUGUGAUCGUUUUAUGAAUGAAUAAACUAGUUUGUAAGUCAUGAACAGUUUUUAAAAUUUUAGGGUAUUUUUCCAUUCAUGAACAGUUUUUGAAUUGCUGAAAUUUUGUUCAAUUUCAUUAACAAUUUUUAGUACACAAACCUUUUUAAAAAAUCAUGGACAUUAACUAGUACGUGAAAUCCCUAAUUAUUUAAAGUAGAAAAAAUAGAAAAGAGAAAGUAAUGGAAAAUGAAGUUAAAAAAAUAGGCCGACCGAACAUGGGCCGGCCCAAACGGGCGCGUUGCGUCUUCUCCCAGCGUGUAGAGCGCAGUAUACGUGGUCCCUACUGCAUGGGUCGGCCCAAGCGGAAGAUUUGUCUGUGUGAAACUUUUUUUAUCACGUACUGGUGGCAUUGGUGCGUAAUGCAUGUUUGCAUCUUUAGGGGCACUUUUCCUGACGUACCGCUAGAAGCAAUAGCCAUUUUAUUAUUAGUUAGAGAUUAGGUAUAGAUAUGAACCACCGGUAAAUUAGGUAGACGAUAGAUGACGACUCUAAAGAAGAUCACAUGUGUCAAGCUUGGAAUAGGCUAACAGAUGUUAGGGCAUCUCAAAUGUAAACCCAUAAAACAGACAUCACAAAUGUCCUUGAACACAAAACGGGCAUGAUAGGGGAGGGAGCCAUCAAACCUUGAUGGCUGCUACCCAUAUUUCUCUCACAUUUCUCCAGCAUUUCAUCGAACAGUUGAUGUGCAGUAGUAGGACACGUCUGGUUCACGCAGCUGGCGCGUCAUGGGAGUUCUGCCUCAUCGGGCAUGACUGAUGUGUCGCAGGACGACGGGUGUGGUCUCGGGCGCGUCAGUAGCGGCCACGACGACAAGAGGAGGUCGCGCCAUGGGCGGAGCUAGCCACGGGAGCCAGCAUUGGCGCGGCACUAGACACAGCCAGCCCACGACAUGCCGGGCACGGUGGCAAGAGAGCUUCAUGAGGCCAGAGCCGAGCUAGGCCUUGAGUUGCUCGCCGAGCAGCCAUGGAGGGCAUGGGGAGAUGAGAUGCACAGGGAGAGAGGAGUGGAGAGAUAGGAGGAGGCGGAGAUGAGGAUGGAGUGCUCGCUGGCAGCUGCCCUCAUGGUCGUCCGUAGCCGGCGUAAGUGCUCUCCGUUUAGUGUUAUUUGUACAGAGAGGGAGGGAGUGGAGAUGUGGUGUUUCUUUUGGUUAGCUGGAUGUUCAGACUCUCGCAUAGUCCCUCAAAUUUGUUCCUGUGAUAUCGAAAUUUGAACAUGUGGGCUGGUCCACGGAUAUUUAGAGGUCCCCACUUGAAGAAUAAAAGUGGUCUAGACACUACUAUCUGACAUUUUGCCCUUAGUAGUUGGUGGAUAUCGAUGUGCUGUCCCUCCAACCUAUAUUAAAAGAUUCAUUCACCAUCCGAUCCCUUCUACAAAACACGUCAUUGCUUUCCAUGAUUCUCUUUUGUCAAUGUGUGAAAUAUUAGAAUUUGAGUUGUUUGGUGAAAUGUACGAGCUGACCGCCAAAAGGACAGAUUUUUACUUUUAUUUUCUACUAUUUUCUUUAUUUUAUAGUUUUUGGCAAGUGCAUUUUCAUAUGGUCAAUGUCUAGACCAUUUGAACAGUUUAUUUUGAAUUUGUUUCUUCCAUUCUAGCUAAAUAUAAGAAUUUACAAUGUUCGUUUUAAUUCUUUGGAAUAAACAUUUAUUACUAGUAUUAAAAAGACUAAAUUAGCUGCCGCAUUUUUAUUCCCUAAUCAACUUGAAGGCUAUCUACACUUUGAUUAAAUUGUCAUAUAUUUUUUUGUGAUAUAUUGUUUCCAUUAUGUAUAUUAACUCCAAUAAAAAUGAUGAUAAUCUAUUCUCCUUAAGUUAUUAUGAAUGUACUGAAUAAUUAAAUAAUAAAAAAUUACUUACAAAAUAAUAACAUCUAAACAUGCCCUAUGAAUACCAGGUAGAUAUCUAACUCAGGCACUUGUCCGCAAAAUAAAUGUUCUUCAAAAAAAUAUUGAAAGUAGUCAAAUUAUUUAAAAUGAAUAAAAAGCACAUGCUCCAUUCUACUUUACCGCUCUAGAUGCACUGAUUCGUUGUGGCAAUAGAAACACUAAAUUUCAGUCCCACUUAUUAAAGUUUGCUAAGGGAUAUCUGACAAUAAAAAUUAAAAUAAAAUAUUUUUAUAUUAUUUUUUACUUAUUAAAUUAAUUAUUCUAUCUGUGUAAUUUUCUGUUACUUACAUAAAAUAGUUAACCAUAUAACAAUGUUGCUAAAUAAUAGUUAUAAUGUUUCUUUGUUAUAUAGUUGCAACAUAUAUCCGUAAAAUAGUUGAUUCAUAUUUAAAAGGUAUGAUAGAACAAAAGUUAUUUUUUCAAUCAAGUCUUGAAAUUGAAUAAAUUUAUAAUGUAUAUACAUAUAUUUCCAUACAUUUGUAUGUGUUUAUCGAGAUUUUAUUGUCAUUAAAUAUCAUGUUAGGGAUUUCAAAAGUGUGCUUUCUAACAUGUAUCUUAGUUGUAGUUUCUAGUGCAAUACUAUGUAGUCAUAUUUACAGAAAUUUCUAGAGCAUGAAAUAUAUGUCUUGCAAGUUGCAUUCCGUAAUAAGUUGGCAUCAUGACCAUGCUAUUGGUUACAAUUAUUUUUUAUUUUAGAUGAUAACAAAUAACAAAUUUUUUUAUAAAAUAUAAGGGUGAAUCAUGCAAGUGAGGAGAACACACCAAUGAUGAAAGACAUUGCAUUUCCACGUGGAAUUCAUAUUGACAAACCUUAAGAAUCACAUGCAUUUGUAUGUUUUUACAAAUUAUGCCUCAUUUGCGGGACUCAAAUACAAGUCAGUUCAGGGUGUGGAGCUACGAGAAAACGUAGCAUUCAAGACUAGAUGAGCCACCGACUUAAAAAACAAAUAAGUAAAAAUGGAGCAAAUAGGAGUAGCUGGAAAAUUAUUUGAAAGAUUAAGAGUAGCUGGAAAGUUAUUUGAAGGAAAUGGAGCAAAUAGCUAUGCAAGAAGUGCUCUCGCUAGAAAAUAAAUGUUGCAUUAGAUGAUCGACUUGAAAACACACAUAUGAAGUGGUGGAGCCAGAAUUUUCACAAUGGGUAUGUGAUACAUCUCCAACGUAUCUAUAAUUUUUAAUUGUUUCAUGCUAUUAUAUUAUCCAUCUUGGAUGUUUUAUAUGCAUGUAUAUGCUAUUUUAUAUGAUUUUUGGGACUAACCUAUUAACCUAGAGCCCAGUGCCAGUUUUUGUUUUUUCCUUGUUUUUGAGUUUUACACAAAAGGAAUACCAAACGGAGUCCAAUUGACUUGAAAAUUGACGGAGAUUGUUUUUAGUGUUAUUGGCAUAAUGCAUCGUGUAUAUAUCAUUUUGCUUUUUGUACACAGAUCGUCCCAUGCAAUGUGAGGUCAGAAUUCAACAAUCUGACUGGAGACUCUGUGACAUUUGAGGCUCCUGGGGGCCCCUACACUAUGGAUAUCGAGAAAGGACGAAAGAUGACGCGGGUGGGAGGAGAUGGAUGGGCCCGUUUCAUCGACAACAUGCGUAUCACCGGUGGUGAGUUGAUCAAGCUGGCCGUGAUUUAUAUCAACAAAGCAUAAGAUUAUGAGGAUGAUGAGGAUGAUGAUGACCCACUCGGUGAUGCCAUCAUAGCUCAAAGAAUGAAGUUGAGCGAGGAGGAGGUGUGCAACCUAUGGGACAUCAUUCCGCCACGUGCUGACUUCGUCGGGGUGCCAUUCGUGACCCGUCUGACAAGUACCAUGGUUGAUCGGCAUAUGAUGGUAUGUUGCAUUUACUGUAGUUUUUACAGUAAUUUGAUGAUAUGCUUUAUUGUUAUACUUAGUGAAGAGUCCGAUGAUAUAUAUGCAUAGUGAAUCUUAUAUGCUUUAUUGUUAUACUCUAGUGUAGAGUCCGAUCAUAUAUAUGCUUACUGAAUCUUAUAUGCUUAGUGAAUCUUAUAUGCUUUAUUGUUAUACUUAGUGUAGAGUCCGAUGAUAUAUAUGCUUACUGAAUCUUAUAUGCUUAGUGCAUCUUAUAUGCUUAGUGCAUCUUAUAUGCUUUAUUGUUAUACUUAGUGUAGAGUCCGAUGAUAUAUAUACUUAGUGUAGAGUCCGAUGAUAUAUAUGCUUAGUGUAGAGUCUGGUGAUAUAUAUGCUUCGUGUAGAAUGUGUGAGGCUACUUAUUAGUUGAUACGAUUUUCUUAUUCAGAAAUUGCCAAAGAGCCUAUCUGAGAGUUGUGGUAUCAAGCCUGAUGAAGAAGGCUCUGCUGGAAUACGCCUUACCGCAAGGGGCUCCGUCGCCACUUGUGCAUAUGGCGAGGACACGGACGGUCGCACACACUUCAACUCGGUUGGGUGGAAGAGCUUCCUCAUCGGCAAGAAUCUUCAUGUUGAACAGACAAUCCUAAUUACUAUCAGGAAUACCCACCGCCCAGGCUUGAGGAUGAUGGUCGUCAUCGACAUCAUCUAGAACUUCAUAUGCAUGCGUGUGGCUGUUGAACCAUAUAUAUUUGCUAGUAUGACUACCUAGUAGACUUAUCAACUAUGAUCUAUCCAUGCAUUGUUGACUACUAUAUGAGUUUGUGAGAUUGUGUGGUUAUAUUAAAUGUGGUACUGUCAUUAAUGUUUGUGAGAUGGUUCUGUGAACUUAGUUUAUUUGCACUGGACUUGUCUUGAUCUCCAUGAACAUUGCACCUGACUGCUUUUUUUUAUUUUUUAUUUCUGUUUGCCUAGUUAUAGCGUGGGGAGAAAAUAGGGUGCUACUACUACGUGAUGAUAGUAGUAGCGCUGGUGGAGGAAGCAUCACUACUAAUAAGUAUUUAAGCUGUAGCGCUUGUUCAGAAACGCGCUACUAUUGAAUAAUAGCUGUAGCGCCCUAGCAGUAGCGCGGGUGCCCGCGCUACUAGUAUGUAAAAAACCAGCACCACUAGUAAGCUUUUCUCUAGUAGUAUAGCCAUUGUUUAUGCCAGACAACUCUUCUUCCUGCUCGUCAGAUGCCAUGGAGAAAACUGUUCAAGGAGGAAAAUGGUGAGAAGAGGUCUGAUGCGGUCUUGCUCGACAUCUGACAUUGUUUAAACAGCGAGGGGACACGAGGAGCCAACCGGCGUUCUGUUUAAUGCCAGCCGGCUCGCGAACGGACAUGUGGCCGGAGUAAUUAUCCUGGCAUAAGCGCGGGUUUAAUGGUGGAAGGCGGGCAGUCUAUAGGAAUGAGGCGAGGAUGUGUGUUUAGCGGGCGUGCAGCGGGGCAGCACCCUUGGCUGGCGCGCCGCUUCCAUUGCGAAGGCAGUGAGAGGCCGCGUCCGCUCUGCAGUGGCAUGAAUACGGGCAGCUGGCGCGCCGCUUCCAUUGCGAAGGCAGUGAGAGGCCGCGUCCGCUCUGCAGCGGCAUGAAUGCGGGCAGCUGGCGCAGAGCGGGAACGCGUGCGGGCGAGGGAGGAGGGGGUUUGGGUGGGCACGGGUGGUCAGAAGCGGUUGUGGGUGUUGUCCGGACGCCUGCAAAGCCACCCUCCCCCAUGUUCGUCUCCGGUUUGCGGGAUAAAGUAUAUACGGAUCGCCCUGUGGACCGAUACAAGCCCGCAUUGGAUGGCACAACACGUCCAGACCAUGUGGUCCAGAUGGUUGUAGAUGGUUUAUUUGAGGGUCGGUGUUGGAUAUGCCUUAGAGUUUAUGAAUCCAUUGUGGUUUUCUAAUCAUAAAAAACACUUAUAAUAAGUUAUAAGGAAAGACACGUAUAUAUGUUAGGUUCACACUCCAGCUUUCCUCUUACAUAUGUUUUUUUCUGGUCCGACUGAUUCCAAUAGAGUGAGCCUAGCGUUGUUUUUCUAAAAACUCGAGGGAUAAGGAGACAUGCAUACACAUUGUUUCAAGCAAAUCACAUCCACUCUUUUUAACUCAUUUUUUCUUGUUUUAAUAAUAUAAUAAAUCAUUUUUAAUUUUUAUUUCAAAUAGUUGACGUGUAAUUUAUAUUGUAAUCUAAGGAAAAUGUUUGGAUUUUACUUUGAAAUAUAUUUCAAAUGGCCAUGAUGGAAUCACAUCCAUUUACUUUAUUAUUAUUUGGAUUUGAUUCAGAAGAUAAAUAAUGGGUAGAGGUCAUGUCUACUUUUCUGAGAAGUUUGCUAAUCAAAAUAUAAUUUUUAUCNNNNNNNNNNUAAUACAAUCCAUUAUUUGACUACUCUAUUUAUUUGUAUUUAAAAACAUCUAUUUUUAGCACGCAUGAAAAACAUAACACAUAUCUUUCCACACAUAAUGAACGGUUGUCAUUAGAAUUCAUGCCAUGCCACAGCCUCCCUCUGACCCUGCCAAUAUUGUUGCAGCUGCGCUCGCAAGCCUUGGCGUAGAUGAUCAUUUAUAUGAUUUGUGUAAAACAAAAUAAGGUCUACAAACGAAUAGAAGCUAGAGUAUACCUUGGCGUGCACACACAUUGCAAGCCAUACUAACUUGAUAAGUGUUAAUGACUUGUACAACAUAUACAACACUUAAGACAAGUAAAAGCAAUUUGAUGAGUCAUGGUCUAUCAAAGCAAGCCACAUUACUAGUCUAAUCCAUCUUAACAGGUCACGCAUGAUUACAAUCUUGUUUAUGUGCAAGUCAAGCCUAUCUAGUUUACACGUAACAACUUGUAGAACAUUACAAAAUUGAUGUUUGCUAAUAACUUCUAGAACACUACAACACUUGACAUGUAAAAGGAAUUUGAUGAGUCAUGGCCUACUAAAGCAAGUUACAUUACUAGUCUUAUCUAUCUUAACAUGCCACACAAGAUUACAAACUAAGUUCUGUGCCAGCCAUGCUUAUCUAGUUUAUGUGUAAAAAUUUGCAAAACAUUACAAACUUAGUUUCAGAAAAGUAGGCAAUCUAGAUUAGUGUUUGAGUUGUAAAGUGAACAAGAUGAGUCAUGCAUGUUAUCACACCUUUUUGGUGGUGGAAUGAUAGUGCAACAACAAGGAACUUUAAUGACCAGUCCAAGAAUACACUUGUAAGUAGUGCCACCAAACACAACAUACCAAAUUAUGAUUUUGGGAAGCAUCCAAACACUUUACACACAAGCAAAUGCCAAUUGUGAAAGAGAUCAUGCCAUGACAGCUAUAAAUAGGCCCGUAUCAUGAUGAUCAUCCUUCCUCAUCCAUCAUUCUUAUAAGUAGAGUGCAUCAUUAAAGCCAAGCAAGCAGUGGUCAAUACAAAUCCAUCAUGAAGACCUUUCUCAUCCUUGCCCUCCUUGCUAUCGUGGCGACCACCGCCACAACUGCAGUUAGAGUUCCAGUGCCACAAUUGCAGCCACAAAAUCCAUCUCAGCAACAGCCACAAGAGCAAGUUCCAUUGGUACAACAACAACAAUUUCCAGGGCAGCAACAACAAUUUCCACCACAACAGCCAUAUCCGCAGCCGCAACCAUUUCCAUCACAACAACCAUAUCUGCAACUGCAACCAUUUCCGCAGCCGCAACCAUUUCCGCCACAACUACCAUAUCCGCAGCCGCAAUCAUUUCCACCACAACAACCAUAUCCACAACAGCAACCACAGUAUCUACAACCACAACAACCAAUUUCGCAGCAACAAGCACAACAACAACAACAACAACAACAACAACAACAACAACAACAACAAAUCCUUCAACAAAUUUUGCAACAACAACUGAUUCCAUGCAGGGAUGUUGUCUUGCAACAACACAACAUAGCGCAUGCAAGCUCACAAGUUUUGCAACAAAGUACUUACCAGCUAUUGCAACAAUUGUGUUGUCAACAACUGUUGCAGAUCCCUGAGCAGUCGAGGUGCCAAGCCAUCCAUAAUGUUGCUCAUGCUAUUAUUAUGCAUCAACAACAACAACAACAACAAGAACAACAACAACAGUUGCAACAACAACAACAGCAGCAACUGCAUCAACAACGACAACAACCAUCGAGCCAGGUCUCCUUCCAACAGCCUCAGCAGCAAUAUCCAUCAAGCCAGGUCUCCUUCCAGCCAUCUCAGCUAAACCCACAGGCUCAGGGCUCUGUCCAACCUCAACAACUGCCCCAGUUCGCGGAAAUAAGGAACCUAGCGCUACAGACGCUACCUGCAAUGUGCAAUGUCUACAUCCCUCCACAUUGCUCGACCACCAUUGCGCCAUUUGGCAUCUUUGGUACCAACUGAGAAGAGAAGAACUCUAGUACUAGAUAUAUGAAACACCGUUUUCUUAGUCCAUGGUUUGGUCGUUGUAGCAGUGAAAAAAUAAAGUGACAUGCACUAUCAUGUAAGAACCCGAACUAUACUAGUUCAAACUUGGGAAUAAAAGACAAACACAUGUCUUGUCUACAUAUGAUUGUUUGUUUGAGUUCCAUUCAUGUGCCAUCACAAGUUCACCCCUAAUUAUAUAUAUUAUGCAUUAAGUAGAUAUUUAUGUUGCAUUAAUCUAAAGAUAAAAAAAUGAGUCUGAAACUUGAAUUAAAUUGAAGUAUUUUCUAGGACUUCCAAAUGGAGUAUUAUUAAAGUAGUAAGGACAAUCCACAUCCUUGGCUUGCCCUUUAUCAAUUAUUUCCAGAGAAGCAUUCAAUUCAUCAAUCAAUUACAUCGAUUUUUGUGGCUGGUACUUCUCCUCAACAUGAGUAUAUUCAUUGCGGCUACUCCAAAUCGUCAUGAAUGAGGUACUGGUGCUCUGGAGCAGUGCUAGCUGACUGCUUCUCAUGUGAAGGGACGCAGGUGCAGGAGAGGUGUUCCGGGUGGGCCAGGGGAGUAAGAAGUGGCCAUGGCAGUGGUUCGGACGCUUGCAAAGUCCCGUAGUUUGUAUAUGGUUUAUGGGAAAAUGCACAUUUGGACUGGCCCGCGGGCCGAUAUAGGACCGUAUUGGAUGGAGAAACAUGUCCUCAUCGUUGCGAGCGGUUUGAGGGUUAGGUUUGGAGAUAGCCCUUACUUGGCCCCUCAUUCUGAAAACAUGUUUGACGAUAGUUUUGUCUCGGUUCAAAUAUAUGUCAAGUUUAACAAAGUUCAUAGGAAUUUUUUUAUCAUAUCUACAGUACCAUACAAAUACACCAUAGACAAAAAACAUAUUUCACAUUGCACCAUGAAUUGGUCAGGUAAAUGUUGGGUAUGGAGACUCUAUUCUCUUUUGGCAUGAGUUGCCUCGGUCUCAAAAGUUUCAUGAACUGUUCUCUUUUGCCACUAAGAAAAAGCUCUCUUUGCCUGAUUUUAUUCAUAGUGACCAUAUGGCUCUCUAUUUUCAUAGGCAUAUCACCCUGCAAGCUCUUGCUCAAUUCAUUGACAUCAUUGACUUAGUUCAUCGAAAAAAUUCAAUAAAGGGAAUAAAAUAAUAUCACGAAGAUACCAAUUACACCCGUCCUCUCUAUCAACAAGAUAUCCAAAGACAUCAAGGAUACGCACAACCAGAAAAAAUAUAGAAGAAAAAAGACUGCUCCAAGGUGAUAAAUCACUAGCAUCAGUAGCACUCUAAGCACACCGAAGACAACGUCCCAAUUACAAAAAAGGUUCUCCAAAAGCAACCCCCCAAGAAGGAAACAAUGCACAAGCGUUGUCAUUAUCCGAUUGGAGAUCGUGGGUUUUCACCCUAGAAAAAUUCGAAGCUCACCCAAAAACAUUGCCUUCAACUAGGCCAUUGCCAGGUACAACCAAUAAAGGCUAGACCUUAGAUUUUUACCCUAGGAAUUGAGACUUAGUACUCGAGGAGUACAACCAAAAAUGCAGUCCUCUAGUGAUGGCGCCCCCGCUUGCCGAGCUCGCUGUUUUGGGUCACCAAACACCUGGCGCACAUUCUUUCUGGCAUCAAUUACACCCUUCCACCAAAUCUUCAAGACCUCCAAUCGCAGCCGCCAUGACUUUAUCCACCUCUAUCAAUGCCUUGAGAAUCUUCACUUGGACAUGUCCCAUGACACCAAUAAGAAAUCAAAGCUUCUUGCCGCGCCCUCUUGAGGUCGUGUUGGCUGAUAAUAUGAGCGUGCGCUACUGGAGCCUUUCCGAUCUAGAUAUCCAGGGUAGACAUACACCAAUCCAUAUAGAUCUCCGAUGGGAAAGACCGAAACUCGUCAACGACUAGAUCUAAGAUGUCGACAUCCAGCAGAAAGACGACUUGGCGGAAGAAUAGUACUAGGGCCAAUCCACCAUUAUUAGGCCAAACCUAACAUCCCCACAUGCCGCCCUCCUCUUGAUGUAGACCUACAGACAAAUAUCAGCGACGCCGCAUCGUGCCACCUGCAUCUAUUGAGGCCCAAACUUGGCAAGAUGCCAACCAUGGCAGGAGACUGGGACUAGCCACUCCUGGGCACUGAUCCGGCAAUUCCCUGGCCCACCCCUGCCACUACGGCGACACCGCGGGUAGCCUACAAGCCCAUCCACGACAAUGCCUGAUUAGAAGGAUACAUGGAUAUACAGAUGGAAAGACCCUUGUUAUCGCUCAAGCAAUAUAUAUAAAGCUUAAUGGGGCCUAAGAAAGCUCGCACAAUUUUACGGUGGCUAUGGAAAUGUAUUGCCAAACUGAGACAUAAGAUUUUCGUUUGGCAUCCAGACCGUUUGUGUCAUUCUUAAUUUAUGGUCACUCUAAUUUUUCCGGCUGGGCCUUCCCUGUGGUACCGCAGCAAGGCAUGCGUGUGUAUACGUUUCCUUUAAGUACCAUGUGCAGGAUGAUGAUUUACUGCACGCAUGUGCGGGGGCACUCAUGUCCUGGUGCCGGGUUUUUAUUUUGGCUUCCGAUUUUCAAACUUCUAUAUCUUCUAAGCCAAAAAUUCAAUUUAAGUUAUGUAUUCAUAUUCGUGUUUCUCGCGGCCAGCGCUUUCAAAUAAGAUCCAUUUUGAAUACAUUUUGGCGACUUUUUGAAACACUGUUAAGUUUCAUUGUUUGAAACUUAGUACGAGCGACCAAUAAAAUUCAAUUAUUUUGUGUCUACGACCAACGGAGAAAUUUUCUUAAAAUUACAUCUUUGAAACUUGUUGAAACCGGGCAUUUUUUGAUGCAAAAAGGUAAGUUUCAUCAUUGAAACUUUAAGGUUUUUGAGGGAUUUUUUUCCUUGUGGAGCUUUGGAAAUGAGAGAAUUUGAUAAAGUAAAUCUCGGAAACUCUUAUUGGACGAGAGAGAUUUAAUAUGAUAUUGGCAUGGAUUCUACCAACUAAACGAAGAAGUAUUUGAUUUGGUAAACAGACAAUUUCCUUUAAUCGAUGAACAUUUUAGGAAAAUUGGUGGAACAACUUUUGAAAUUCAAAAAAAAAUUCUUGAUUUAACGAACAUUUUUUAACUUAACGAACAUUUUUAAAAAAUACAUGAUCAUUUUUUUGAAUCUGUGAUCGUUUUAUGAAUGAAUAAACUAGUUUGUAAGUCAUGAACAGUUUUUAAAAUUUUAGGGUAUUUUUCCAUUCAUGAACAGUUUUUGAAUUGCUGAAAUUUUGUUCAAUUUCAUUAACAAUUUUUAGUACACAAACCUUUUUAAAAAAUCAUGGACAUUAACUAGUACGUGAAAUCCCUAAUUAUUUAAAGUAGAAAAAAUAGAAAAGAGAAAGUAAUGGAAAAUGAAGUUAAAAAAAUAGGCCGACCGAACAUGGGCCGGCCCAAACGGGCGCGUUGCGUCUUCUCCCAGCGUGUAGAGCGCAGUAUACGUGGUCCCUACUGCAUGGGUCGGCCCAAGCGGAAGAUUUGUCUGUGUGAAACUUUUUUUAUCACGUACUGGUGGCAUUGGUGCGUAAUGCAUGUUUGCAUCUUUAGGGGCACUUUUCCCGACGUACCGCUAGAAGCAAUAGCCAUUUUAUUAUUAGUUAGAGAUUAGGUAUAGAUAUGAACCACCGGUAAAUUAGGUAGACGAUAGAUGACGACUCUAAAGAAGAUCACAUGUGUCAAGCUUGGAAUAGGCUAACAGAUGUUAGGGCAUCUCAAAUGUAAACCCAUAAAACAGACAUCACAAAUGUCCUUGAACACAAACCGGGCAUGAUAGGGGAGGGAGACAUCAAACCUUGAUGGCUGCUACCCAUAUUUCUCUCACAUUUCUCCAGCAUUUCAUCGAACAGUUGAUGUGCAGUAGUAGGACACGUCUGGUUCACGCAGCUGGCGCGUCAUGGGAGUUCUGCCUCAUCGGGCAUGACUGAUGUGUCGCAGGACGACGGGUGUGGUCUCGGGCGCGUCAGUAGCGGCCACGACGACAAGAGGAGGCCGCGCCAUGGGCGGAGCUAGCCACGGGAGCCAGCAUUGGCGCGGCACUAGACACAGCCAGCCCACGACAUGCCGGGCACGGUGGCAAGAGAGCUUCAUGAGGCCAGAGCCGAGCUAGGCCUUGAGUUGCUCGCCGAGCAGCCAUGGAGGGCAUGGGGAGAUGAGAUGCACAGGGAGAGAGGAGUGGAGAGAUAGGAGGAGGCGGAGAUGAGGAUGGAGUGCUCGCUGGCAGCUGCCCUCAUGGUCGUCCGUAGCCGGCGUAAGUGCUCUCCGUUUAGUGUUAUUUGUACAGAGAGGGAGGGAGUGGAGAUGUGGUGUUUCUUUUGGUUAGCUGGAUGUUCAGACUCUCACAUAGUCCCUCAAAUUUGUUCAUGUGAUAUCGAAAUUUGAACAUGUGGGCUGGUCCGCGGAUAUUUAGAGGUCCCCACUUGAAGAAUAAAAGUGGUCUAGACACUACUAUCUGACAUUUUGCCCUUAGUAGUUGGUGGAUAUCGAUGUGCUGUCCCUCCAACCUAUAUUAAAAGAUUCAUUCACCGUCCGAUCCCUUCUACAAAACAUGUCAUUGCUUUCCAUGAUUCUCUUUUGUCAAUGUGUGAAAUAUUAGAAUUUGAGUUGUUUGGUGAAAUGUACGAGCUGACCGCCAAAAGGACAGAUUUUUACUUUUAUUUUCUACUAUUUUCUUUAUUUUAUAGUUUUUGGCAAGUGCAUUUUCAUAUGGUCAAUGUCUAGACCAUUUGAACAGUUUAUUUUGAAUUUGUUUCUUCCAUUCUAGCUAAAUAUAAGAAUUUACAAUGUUCGUUUUAAUUCUUUGGAAUAAACAUUUAUUACUAGUAUUAAAAAGACUAAAUUAGCUGCCGCAUUUUUAUUCCCUAAUCAUCUUGAAGGCUAUCUACACUUUGAUUAAAUUGUCAUAUUUUUUUUGUGAUAUAUUGUUUCCAUUAUGUAUAUUAACUCCAAUAAAAAUGAUGAUAAUCUAUUCUCCUUAAGUUAUUAUGAAUGUACUGAAUAAUUAAAUAAUAAAAAAUUACUUACAAAAUAAUAACAUCUAAACAUGCCCUAUGAAUACCAGGUAGAUAUCUAACUCAGGCACUUGUCCGCAAAAUAAAUGUUCUUCAAAAAAAUAUUGAAAGUAGUUAAAUUAUUUAAAAUGAAUAAAAAGCACAUGCUCCAUUCUACUUUACCGCUCUAGAUGCACUGAUUCGUUGUGGCAAUAGAAACACUAAAUUUCAGUCCCACUUAUAAAGUUUGCUAAGGGAUAUCUGACAAUAAAAAUUAAAAUAAAAUAUUUUUAUAUUAUUUUUUACUUAUUAAAUUAAUUAUUCUAUCUGUGUAAUUUUCUGUUACUUACAUAAAAUAGUUAACCAUAUAACAAUGUUGCUAAAUAAUAGUUAUAAUGUUUCUUUGUUAUAUAGUUGCAACAUAUAUCAGUAAAAUAGUUGAUUCAUAUUUAAAAGGUAUGAUAGAACAAAAGUUAUUUUUUCAAUCAAGUCUUGAAAUUGAAUAAAUUUAUAAUGUAUAUACAUAUAUUUCCAUACAUUUGUAUGUGUUUAUCGAGAUUUUAUUGUCAUUAAAUAUCAUGUUAGAGAUUUCAAAAGUGUGCUUUCUAACAUGUAUCUUAGUUGUAGUUUCUAGUGCAAUACUAUGUAAUCAUAUUUACAGAAAUUUCUAGAGCAUGAAAUAUAUGUCUUGCAAGUUGCAUUCCGUAAUAAGUUGGCAUCAUGACCAUGCUAUUGGUUACAAUUAUUUUUUAUUUUAGAUGAUAACAAAUAACAAAAAAAAUUAUAAAAUAUAAGGGUGAAUCAUGCAAGUGAGGAGAACACACCAAUGAAGAAAGACAUUGCAUUUCCACGUGGAAUUCAUAUUGACAAACCUUAAGAAUCACAUGCAUUUGUAUGUUUUUACAAAUUAUGCCCCAUUUGCGGGACUCAAAUACAAGUCAGUUCAGGGUGUGGAGCUACGAGAAAACGUAGCAUUCAAGACUAGAUGAGCCACCGACUUAAAAAACAAAUAAGUAAAAAUGGAGCAAAUAGGAGUAGCUGGAAAAUUAUUUGAAAGAUUAAGAGUAGCUGGAAAAUUAUUUGAAGGAAAUGGAGCAAAUAGCUAUGCAAGAAGUGCUCUCGCUAGAAAAUAAAUGUUGCAUUAGAUGAUCGACUUGAAAACACACAUAUGAAGUGGUGGAGCCAGAAUUUUCACAAUGGGUAUGUGAUACAUCUCCAACAUAUCUAUAAUUUUUAAUUGUUUCAUGCUAUUAUAUUAUCCAUCUUGGAUGUUUUAUAUGCAUGUAUAUGCUAUUUUAUAUGAUUUUUGGGACUAACCUAUUAACCUAGAGCCCAGUGCCAGUUUUUGUUUUUUCCUUGUUUUUGAGUUUUACACAAAAGGAAUACCAAACGGAGUCCAAUUGACCUGAAAAUUGACGGAGAUUGUUUUUAGUGUUAUUGGCAUAAUGCAUCGUGUAUAUAUCAUUUUGCUUAUUGUACACAGAUCGUCCCAUGCAAUGUGAGGUCAGAAUUCAACAAUCUGACUGGAGACUCUGUGACAUUUGAGGCUCCUGGGGGCCCCUACACUAUGGAUAUCGAGAAAGGACGAAAGAUGACGUGGGUGGGAGGAGAUGGAUGGGCCCGUUUCAUCGACAACAUGCGUAUCACCGGUGGUGAGUUGAUCAAGCUGGCCGUGAUUUAUAUCAACAAAGCAUAAGAUUAUGAGGAUGAUGAGGAUGAUGAUGACCCACUCGGUGAUGCCAUCAUAGCUCAAAGAAUGAAGUUGAGCGAGGAGGAGGUGUGCAACCUAUGGGACAUCAUUCCGCCACGUGCUGACUUCGUCGGGGUGCCAUUCGUGACCCGUCUGACAAGUACCAUGGUUGAUCGGCAUAUGAUGGUAUGUUGCAUUUACUGUAGUUUUUACAGUAAUUUGAUGAUAUGCUUUAUUGUUAUACUUAGUGAAGAGUCCGAUGAUAUAUAUGCAUAGUGAAUCUUAUAUGCUUUAUUGUUAUACUUUAGUGUAGAGUCCAAUCAUAUAUAUGCUUACUGAAUCUUAUAUGCUUAGUGAAUCUUAUAUGCUUUAUUGUUAUACUUAGUGUAGAGUCCGAUGAUAUAUAUGCUUAGUGCAUCUUAUAUGCUUAGUGCAUCUUAUAUGCUUAGUGCAUCUUAUAUGCUUUAUUGUUAUACUUAGUGUAGAGUCCGAUGAUAUAUAUACUUAGUGUAGAGUCCGAUGAUAUAUAUGCUUAGUGUAGAGUCCGGUGAUAUAUAUGCUUCGUGUAGAAUGUGUGAGGCUACUUAUUAGUUGAUACGUUUUUCUUAUUCAGAAAUUGCCAAAGAGCCUAUCUGAGAGUUGUGGUAUCAAGCCUGAUGAAGAAGGCUCUGCUGGAAUACGCCUUACCGCAAGGGGCUCCGUCGCCACUUGUGCAUACGGCGAGGACACGGACGGUCGCACACACUUCAACUCGGUUGGGUGGAAGAGCUUCCUCAUCGGCAAGAAUCUUCAUGUUGAACAGACAAUCCUAAUUACUAUCAGGAAUACCCACCGCCCAGGCUUGAGGAUGAUGGUCGUCAUCGACAUCAUCUAGAACUUCAUAUGCAUGCGUGUGGCUGUUGAACCAUAUAUAUUUUCUAGUAUGACUACCUAGUAGACUUAUCAACUAUGAUCUAUCCAUGCAUUGUUGACUACUAUAUGAGUUUGUGAGAUUGUGUGGUUAUAUUAAAUGUGGUACUGUCAUUAAUGUUUGUGAGAUGGUUCCGUGAACUUAGUUUAUUUGCACUGGACUUGUCUUGAUCUCCAUGAACAUUGCACCUGACUGCUUUUUUUUAUUUUUUAUUUCUGUUUGCCUAGUUGUAGCGUGGGGAGAGAAUAGGGCGCUACUACUACGUGAUGAUAGUAGUAGCGCUGGUGGAGGAAGCAUCGCUACUAAUAAGUAUUUUAGCUGUAGCGCUUGUUCAGAAACGCGCUACUAUUGAAUAAUAGCUGUAGCGCACUAGCAGUAGCGCGGGUGCCCGCGCUACUGGUAUGUAAAAAACCAGCACCACUAGUAAGCUUUUCUCUAGUAGUAUAGCCAUUGUUUAUGCCAGACAACUCUUCUUCCUGCUCGUCAGAUGCCAUGGAGAAAACUGUUCAAGGAGGAAAAUGGUGAGAAGAGGUGUGAUGCGGUCUUGCUCGACAUCUGACAUUGUUUAAACAGCGAGGGGACACAAGGAGCCAACCGGCGUUCUGUUUAAUGCCAGCCGGCUCGCGAACGGACAUGUGGCCGGAGUAAUUAUCCUGGCAUAAGCGCGGGUUUAAUGGUGGAAGGCGGGCAGUCUAUAGGAAUGAGGCGAGGAUGUGUGUUUAGCGGGCGUCCAGCGGGGCAGCACCCUUGGCUGGCGCGCCGCUUCCAUUGCGAAGGCAGUGAGAGGCCGCGUCCGCUCUGCAGUGGCAUGAAUACGGGCAGCUGGCGCGCUGCUUCCAUUGCGAAGGCAGUGAGAGGCCGCAUCCGCUCUGCAGCGGCAUGAAUGCGGGCAGCUGGCGCAGAGCGGGAACGCAUGUGGGCGAGGGAGGAGGGGGUUUGGGUGGGCACGGGUGGUCAGAAGCGGUUGUGGGUGUUGUCCGGACGCCUGCAAAGCCACCCUCCCCCAUGUUCGUCUCCGGUUUGCGGGAUAAAGUAUAUACGGAUCGCCCUGUGGACCGAUACAAGCCCGCAUUGGAUGGCACAACACGUCCAGACCAUGUGGUCCAGAUGGUUGUAGAUGGUUUAUUUGAGGGUCGGUGUUGGAUAUGCCUUAGAGUUUAUGAAUCCAUUGUGGUUUUCUAAUCAUAAAAAACACUUAUAAUAAGUUAUAAGGAAAGACACGUAUAUAUGUUAGGUUCACACUCCAGCUUUCCUCUUACAUAUGUUUUUUUUCUGGUCCGACUGAUUCCAAUAGAGUGAGCCUAGCGUUGUUUUUCUAAAAACUCGAGGGAUAAGGAGACAUGCAUACACAUUGUUUCAAGCAAAUCACAUCCACUCUUUUUAACUCAUUUUUUCUUGUUUUAAUAAUAUAAUAAAUCAUUUUUAAUUUUUAUUUCAAAUAGUUGACGUGUAAUUUAUAUUGUAAUCUAAGGAAAAUGUUUGGAUUUUACUUUGAAAUAUAUUUCAAAUGGCCAUGAUGGAAUCACAUCCAUUUACUUUAUUAUUAUUUGGAUUUGAUUCAAAAGAUAAAUAAUGGGUAGAGGUCAUGUCAACUUUUCUGAGAAGUUUGCUAAUCAAAAUAUAAUUUUUAUCUUAAUACAAUCCAUUAUUUGACUACUCUAUUUAUUUGUAUUUAAAAACAUCUAUUUUUAGCACGCAUGAAAAACAUAACACAUAUCUUUCCACACAUAAUGAACGGUUGUCAUUAGAAUUCAUGCCAUGCCACAGCCUCCCUCUGACCCUGCCAAUAUUGUUGCAGCUGCGCUCGCAAGCCUUUGCGUAGAUGAUCAUUUAUAUGAUUUGUGUAAAACAAAAUAAGGUCUACAAACGAAUAGAAGCUAGAGUAUACCUUGGCGUGCACACACAUUGCAAGCCAUACUAACUUGAUAAGUGUUAAUGACUUGUACAACAUAUACAGCACUUAAGACAAGUAAAAGCAAUUUGAUGAGUCAUGGUCUAUCAAAGCAAGCCACAUUACUAGUCUAAUCCAUCUUAACAGGUCACGCAUGAUUACAAUCUUGUUUAUGUGCAAGUCAAGCCUAUCUAGUUUACACGUAACAACUUGUAGAACAUUACAAAAUUGAUGUUUGCUAAUAACUUCUAGAACACUACAACACUUGACAUGUAAAAGGAAUUUGAUGAGUCAUGGCCUACUAAAGCAAGUUACAUUACUAGUCUUAUCUAUCUUAACAUGCCACACAAGAUUACAAACUAAGUUCUGUGCCAGCCAUGCUUAUCUAGUUUAUGUGUAAAAAUUUGCAAAACAUUACAAACUUAGUUUCAGAAAAGUAGGCAAUCUAGAUUAGUGUUUGAGUUGUAAAGUGAACAAGAUGAGUCAUGCAUGUUAUCACACCUUUUUGGUGGUGGAAUGAUAGUGCAACAACAAGGAACUUUAAUGACCAGUCCAAGAAUACACUUGUAAGUAGUGCCACCAAACACAACAUACCAAAUUAUGAUUUUGGGAAGCAUCCAAACACUUUACACACAAGCAAAUGCCAAUUGUGAAAGAGAUCAUGCCAUGACAGCUAUAAAUAGGCCCGUAGCAUGAUGAUCAUCCUUCCUCAUCCAUCAUUCUUAUAAGUAGAGUGCAUCAUUAAAGCCAAGCAAGCAGUGGUCAAUACAAAUCCAUCAUGAAGACCUUUCUCAUCCUUGCCCUCCUUGCUAUCGUGGCGACCACCGCCACAACUGCAGUUAGAGUUCCAGUGCCACAAUUGCAGCCACAAAAUCCAUCUCAGCAACAGCCACAAGAGCAAGUUCCAUUGGUACAACAACAACAAUUUCCAGGGCAGCAACAACAAUUUCCACCACAACAGCCAUAUCCGCAGCCGCAACCAUUUCCAUCACAACAACCAUAUCUGCAACUGCAACCAUUUCCGCAGCCGCAACCAUUUCCGCCACAACUACCAUAUCCGCAGCCGCAAUCAUUUCCACCACAACAACCAUAUCCACAACAGCAACCACAGUAUCUACAACCACAACAACCAAUUUCGCAGCAACAAGCACAACAACAACAACAACAACAACAACAAUAACAACAACAACAACAAAUCCUUCAACAAAUUUUGCAACAACAACUGAUUCCAUGCAGGGAUGUUGUCUUGCAACAACACAACAUAGCGCAUGCAAGCUCACAAGUUUUGCAACAAAGUACUUACCAGCUAUUGCAACAAUUGUGUUGUCAACAACUGUUGCAGAUCCCUGAGCAGUCGAGGUGCCAAGCCAUCCAUAAUGUUGCUCAUGCUAUUAUUAUGCAUCAACAACAACAACAACAACAAGAACAACAACAACAGUUGCAACAACAACAGCAGCAGCAACUGCAACAACAAUGACAACAACCGUCGAGCCAGGUCUCCUUCCAACAGCCUCAGCAGCAAUAUCCAUCAAGCCAGGUCUUCUUCCAGCCAUCUCAGCUAAACCCACAGGCUCAGGGCUCCGUCCAACCUCAACAACUGCCCCAGUUCGCGGAAAUAAGGAACCUAGCGCUACAGACGCUACCUGCAAUGUGCAAUGUCUACAUCCCUCCACAUUGCUCGACCACCAUUGCGCCAUUUGGCAUCUUUGGUACCAACUGAGAAGAGAAGAACUCUAGUACUAGAUAUAUGAAACACCGUUUUCUUAGUCCAUGGUUUGGUCGUUGUAGCAGUGAAAAAAUAAAGUGACAUGCACUAUCAUGUAAGAACCCGAACUAUACUAGUUCAAACUUGGGAAUAAAAGACAAACACAUGUCUUGUCUACAUAUGAUUGUUUGUUUGAGUUCCAUUCAUGUGCCAUCACAAGUUCACCCCUAAUUAUAUAUAUUAUGCAUUAAGUAGAUAUUUAUGUUGCAUUAAUCUAAAGAUAAAAAAAUGAGUCUGAAACUUGAAUUAAAUUGAAGUAUUUUCUAGGACUUCCAAAUGGAGUAUUAUUAAAGU